rnacentral:lncRNA from 1 species
UGAUAUUAGAUUUAGUAGUUAGAUAACCUCAAAAUUUGUAAAGUGUAAUUGACAUUAGAUGAUGAAUAAAAGGUGUUUUAUUUAUGAGUAAAGUGUUGCUAUCUCUUGUCAAUCGUUUACUAUAUUUCUUUUGCAUGUUUUGACUUCCAGAAUAAUUUUGUUUGGUAUAACAUAUUAUUCAAACCUCCACAGUCGGUCAUAUGUCGGAAGUAGGUAUGAAUCAAGACUGUCAUGAUUGGUUGCAGAGGUCUAAGGUGUUGGACAUGGCUACAACAAUCAUGAGUGCUCAUAAGUUCUGAGCAUUGGACUCAACCCACGCUCACUGGAAUCACUUCAUGGAAUUCUAUCUCGAGUGAUCGUGAGACGGUAAUAUCAUAUAAGUCUUCAAACCUAGAGAUAUGAUUUGUUACUUACAAGUUGGUUAUGCAUUGACUGUACGAAACCGCAUUGGUAACUCGAUGUUAUAAAACGUACUUUUGUGUGUAAUUCAAUGAGUGGUAGAACAAACAUAUGAGUCGAAGUUUAUCUGUUCCUUCUUGGAUUAGAAGCUGAUAUCUGGGCCCCUCGAUGAUUUUGUUUUGACCCAUGUACCGGGCCCGGUCAGAACUAAGUUGAUGUGUUCAAUUAAGUUCUAUGUCAAACAAAUCGGAAAUCGGGAAACAAAUGCUGGACAAUAAGCAAGACAUUGUUCCAUGUAUUUGUCCGGCUGAUAUCUAGAACAGAGGAUUAUAUGAUCACUUAUCUUAAAUGGCGUAUCAUCAUCUUCUCAGUUCCGAGAGACCUUGAAAGAGCUACGAUUGCCGGUCGGUUCCUGAAGUACUAGAGAUAUAGUUAUUAGACUUAUCCAAGUGGGAGACUGUUGGAUAAGGUGUCUAAGUCCAUAACUAUUUCGGGCUUGUACUUGACCCGACCCGGCAUGGUCCAUUUGGGUUGCAUGGCACCAUGCAAUUGGAUAGACUAAAUGAGAGAAAUAACACUUGGGAAUUAUUAAUAUAUUAUAAGUUCUAAUAUAUUAAUAAUAUUAUUUAAUUAGUUUGAUCAUGAAUUACUUUAGAAUUAAUUAAUUGAUCAAAAGAUAACUAACUAAAUAUAUGGGUUGAUUAUGUAAAUCAUCCAUAACUUGUAUAGUUGGAUAAGAGGCUCCAUGGAUUAUCAAGUUGGGUUCCACCCAUAGGAUGCUCCAUGGGAGUUACAAACCCAUGGGUCAUGGAAAUGAAGACUCAUGACACAUUAGGGUUUACAUGGUGUAUCCCUAGAUGUGUCAACACUAUAUAAGAAACCCAUUCUCCACCAAAAUUGGCUACACAUAUGAAACAAGAGGGCUAGGCCGAUUUUAGAAGUGUGUAUUCUCUCUAAAGUCAUUCCAAAAGCAUUUGGUGUUGUGUGAAGCAUCUGAGGCAUCACACUUGGGGUGCUAGGCUCACAAGGUUUCAAGGAUCAUAAGCAACAAUAAGGUAAGUUAUUCUAUCUUACAUUCAAGUUAAAAAUUGUUCCCCAUGUAUGCUAGAUAUGAAUAUAACCUUGGAAUUCAACUUUGCAUGAUAAUUAGACAAACAUAGAUCCAAGGUUACUAGGGUUGCAUGUACACUUAAGAAGUGUUAGAAUGCUCAAAACCCAUCACGGAGGAUGCCAUGUACAGUAUCAUAACAAUUGCAUAAUAGUAAAACAAGCAACAACAUCCAUUGAAUUUAAAAUACAGUUAAUACAUGUUUGUUCUUAGAAUUGAUUGUAUGACACCAAAAAUGUAUAGCAAAAUAAAAUAAGAGUCUUGAACAGGCUCCGUCUUCUCAAAAACCUGGGUGAGUAUACAUGUUUACUGGUUCCCUGAGAAUACAAGUUAUUGUGAAAAAAGAGUAUCAACAUUUAAGUUGGUGAGUUCAUAAGCAUUUAGUAUUUGAAGUUUGUAUUUGUUCCAUGAAAAUGUUAGUAUGUUCCCCAGAAAAUCCAAUAUUUUCUCUAUUAAAUGAAAAGUAGUCUUAGGCCUUAAGACCAAAAUAUUUGUAUGAUUUUGUACUCUGGAAUAGUGUGAGUGUGUGUCUUCCAUAAAUAUAUGUUUUCCGUGAUACAAAAUAGUGUACUGCACCUGUAUGAACUCUAUAGUGUAAUAGUUCAGGAAAGUAACGGUAGGUAGUCCUACUACUUAAAAUAAAACCACUGGAGUAAUGUUUGUUUUGUAAACCAAAAUGUUUUAGUUAACAUUAAAUGUGAAUGAGAUUAUAACCAUGCUAAACUAACUAGUGGCUUACACAAAGUUCUUCAGGCAUCGAAAAGUUAUGACAUUUGUCACAUGUAGACCUGCCGGUCCAACUAUAGGUAACAAUCGAGGUGCGGGAUUGUCAGUCCCGUAAAGAUCUAUACACAAAUUCACGCUCUCCCUCUAGGAGACUCUGGUUAUAAAAGGACUUACCAAGAACCUUACUAAGUACCUUGAAGUAGUGUCUCACAUUCUAGUAUUAACUCGUUUACAUAUAGUGUGUAUAUGUUUUCUUGUUUUUGUAAAUGAAUAAUGUACUUGUAAUGAAAAGUAAUUGUACUUAUGUAUUGAUUCAUGUAAUGUAUUGUUGAACUAGAUAAUAGUGUGAAUGGAUCUCAAAACUAUACCUAUUAUAGUUUACAAAUGUUAUGUUUGUAUUGAAAUGAUUGAAAAUGUUAUUGAAAUAAUUUUAAUACUCAUAUAUUUACUUGGCAUGUAUAAUUAAGGUUUAACUGACAGACGGACCCGUGAUCCUACCUUAAACCCACAACCAAACAAGGAACAGGAGUCAAGCCACGAGCAAUAGUCUUAUGUAUGUUAAAUCCUAAUUAUACAUAAAGAUAUAUAUGAAUAUGACUUGAUAAAAACAACAAUUUAAGAGUUUGAAAACAGUUUAAAAUAGUUUAAUAAGUUUAUAAAAGCAUUAAUAUCUUAAAAAUGGAUUGUAAUCGCAUGUAAGUGUUAACACAACUAUUUUGUGUUUUGCUUGUAUUCUCCCCCUAAAAGCAUUUAAAAAUGGUAAAACAUAAGGGUAUGAACUCACCUAAUGUGAGUGUUCGAGUGAAGAUACGGUGUAAUAUAGUUAAUUCCACAAGUUAAAUCUCGUAACAAAAUCAAGACCUAAUAGCAUUUCACGCAAUAUAUAUGUAUAUAAUUAGUGAAAAUAGUGGUAAAUAUGAUAUGGUAUAGCCUAAAAAGUAAGAAUCACUUACAAUUAGGGGUAUUAGAAUGGAACUGAAAGCGUCAUAGGUGAUUUCAGUCACCUUUGGGUUUUCGGUCACUUGAUGAUUCAAGUGGUGUUCUUGGUGUUCUUGGUGAAACCAAGAGGAUCAAGGUGUUUUCGGUUGGGUUUAAGGAGAUAGAAUGAUGAUUGCUUGAUGGUAUGAAGAACACUUGAAGAACUCAAUAUGAUCCUAUGAAGAUUCAAGUGGUUUUCAGAUGAUAGUUGAGAGAGAAUGGUGGGUUUUCGGUUGUGUUCUUGAGAGGGAAAAAAGGUGUUUUUGGCUAGAAGGUGUGAUAAGGAGGUAUUGAUUUCGGUCCCCAUGUAUAUAUGGCCGAAAACAUGAUGGGACACCUGCUUUGGGAAUAGCAAAAAACUUAGAAUCUCAUGCCAAUGGAUAGGAUUUACGGGUUCUCGGUCAGGAACUCUAUCCGAGAAGGGUUUUCGGCCAAGAACAGUUUGCUGUCUGAACGGUUUAUGGUCGAGAGCUUGAUUUCACUUAUGCAAAGGUUUUCGGUCCUCGCAUUUGGAUGAUUUAUUUGUAACACUUAUUAAUAAAAAGGGGUUUAGAAGUCUGAGAUGAAUAGCAAAGUUGAGAUGUCAGAUAGCGAAUGUGUGAGUCCAGAGAGCAGGUCGAACGAAAGUGUUUGAUGGAAACCACUUCAAAGUCUCCAAUAAAUGAGAAGGUAUGUAAUUUUAUAAUCCCACUUAAUAUUUCUUCAAGUUUUUAUGAUUCUAUUUUAUCAAAUAUAGAUGAUGCUUGUGCUUACCUUCAUGAUUUGUUGAUUUCUAUGAGUAGUAUGUGGAAAACAAGGAAAGUUGAGAUUUAUGUGCAAAAAAUAGAGUUGAGGAGAAAUUUUAUAGAGUAGAAACUUUAAGUUUCAAACUGAGUAAUGUUACAUUAUAUCAUUAUUCUAUAAGGUUAGACAUUAUAUUGUUAACUAAACAGACAAAUAUUUACUGUAAUAAUGCCAAAAGACUCUAUGGAAAUCUCACAUUACUAUAUCAUUCAUCUAAUAUCUGUAAAAAAAAUAGCAUCAUAAACUUCUACCUUUUAUUCAUUUUAGAAAGGAAUUAGUUAAUGAGGUUACAUUUGAUUGUGGGAAUAAGGUUUCUCCAAUGAUCAAGUACCAAAUGAUUCUUAUGCUUAUGGUGUUGUGAAUAUUGAUGAACAUUUGGAUGUUGAUGAAUUGGUUGAUAUUAUUAAUGAAACUUUGAGUAAGGAUGAACAAAUGAAAAUUUUUAACAAAAUUGAAUCUUCAAAACAAUAUUCUCAAGAAAAUUUUUCUGAUAUCGAAGAUGAAUCUUAAAAAAUAUGUGAAUUUAAAGAAGAGGAAUGUGUUGAUUGUUCGAAUAUAUCAGUCACUAAAGUUGGUUCACUAGCUAAAAGCAAACGGAUAGUUGAUUCAAUAUCGAAGCUUAAUGUUGAUUCAUCUUUGACAGCUGAAACUAAAUUUACUCAAGUGAAAAUUAAUAUUGAAUAUAUCACAAAAAAUCAAAGUAUAUUUGAUGAUGUUUCUGGUGAUAAGGAAAUUUCAAGAGUUGUUGAAGCAAAAGUCUUUUAGUAUACAAAUGAGUAUACAAAAGUUUUGAGUUAAAAAGGGAAGAAUUUUCUAGAAAUGGAGAUACUAGGAACUCAAGUUACAAGACUUGUUGAAUGAGGAAAACAAGAAAGUUAAUUAUGGGGAUUUUACUCAAAUGAAAAUGUUGUGAAAAUGAUUUGAAUCAAAGAUCAAAAAGUUUUCAAUGUUAGAAAAGUCAAAUAUUGUAUUCCAAAGAUAACAAAAAUGACAAAAACGGUGUUUAAGUUGUGAAAGAAACUCAAUCUUCUGUUAACGACAGGUAAAAAUCCAUUGAUAAGGGUAAUCCAUGUUAAAAACAAAUUUGAUUAUGUUGCAAAUGUCAUUGACCAUAUUUUUAGCAUGAAUUUUUUUAUUGGUUGAAAAACGAUUUUGAUUCCUUUAAUCACAACAAAACUUCGACUCUUGUUUAAAAUGAUUUUUAUUUUUAUUGUCAUCUCUUCCAGAAGAGUUAAAGGAUCAAAACUCAAAGGUCCAAAAGUUACAACAAAAAGAAUAAAAAUCAACUUGAAGAAUAAUCGAAACUUUCUCAACAAAAUUCACAAAAUAAAUAGACGUGAUCUUCAAAAUCAAAAACUUUCUCAACAACAUUCACAAAAGUGUUCACACAAGAAUUACCAACAUCAUCUUCAAAACAAUUCACCAAAUAAUUUUCAAAAAGGUUCACAAACUCAUGUUCAAAAUAAAAAUAAAAAUCGUUUUAAACAAGAGUAAAAGUUUCGUUAUAAUCAAAGGUAUCAAAAUCCUUUUUCAACCAAUAAACAAAUUCAUGCUAAAAAAUGUGGUCAAAGAAGUUUCCAACAUAAUCAAAAUUGUUUUCAAAAUGGAUCACGCUUUGGAUAUCAACAUAGAUAUCAAACUCGAUUUCAACCGAAACCUUGUCAAUCUUUUUCAAAAUCAAAUCAAGAAAAACACACAACCAUGUUUUUUAAAUCCAAAAUCGACACAACCAUCUAUGGUUCCCUUUUCUAAAGAUAAAACAGAUUUCGACAGUUUCAACCAUUGGUUUGAGCACAAAGGUAAAAGAUAUCAAUCAUAUGAGUUUUCACAAGAUCAAGUGAAACAAGCUUUUGAGAGUGACUUGUGUGAAUCUACAAAUGGAAGUACUUCUUCAAAAAAAACAUUGUCAAAUCCAUUAAAAUGGAGUGAUCUAAAAUCCAAAACAAAAGGUGAGUUUUCUAAAAAUAAAGUUGAAAAAGAAUAAAUCAAUGUUGAUGCUUCGAUAUCGUAUGAAUAUGUUCCUUUACCAAAAAAAAUAUUGAAGGUUAUUUAAUGAUCAAUUUUAAAUUCAAAGUUCAAAAUUAAAUUUUUAAUUCUACUUUUCACACUACAUUCCAUGCUAAUUCACAAGGACCCAACAAGCCUUGGGUACCUAAAUCUCUCUAAGUGAUUGCAUGUAGUAUGUGACAAGUAAUACGAUGAGAAUUGGUACAUUGAUAGUGGUUGUUCUCGUCACAUUACUGGAUGGAAAGAGUGUAUGAGAGAUUUUAGGAAGCUUCAAAAUGAUGGAGCAGUGAAGUUUUGGAAUAAUAACAAAUACAAGGUGAACGGCAAUAGAAAGAAUCACAAAAUGGAAAUUUUACAAUAAAAAUAGUUGCUUGUGUCGAUGGUUUGAAACAUAACUUCAUAAGUGUAUCUCAGCUGGUUGUUGGAACGGGAAAUCAAGUGUUGCUCAUUGAGAAAGCAAGUGUGAUCUCCAAUAAAAUAACAAAAGAAGUGUUAUUGAAAUCAAAAAUAAAAGGAGAUGUGUUCACAUUGGACAUAAAGCCCAUUGAUGGUUUAUCAUUAAUUUGCUUAUUGUCAAAGGAUUCGUCAGAUUUAAGUUGGCUUUGGCAUCGAAGAAUUUAACAUUUGAAUUUCAAAAAUCUUAAUAAACUUGUUUUAAAUGAUCUUGGUCACGGAUUACCUCUACUUAAAUUUGACAACGAUUCUUUAUGUGCAACUUAUGAGCAAGGUAAACAACAUCAACAAGGACAUUCAAUUGUCAUCAACUCGAAGAUAGGUGAGCCUGUUGAAUUACUACAUAUUGAUUUAUGUGGUCCCUCGACAAUUGAGUCGCUCAAUGGGAAAAGUAUAUCUUAGUGACAGUAUGUGACUUUUCACAUUUUACUUGGGUUUAUUUUCUCUGAAAAAAGUUUGAAAUCGCUCAAGUCAUGAUUUAUUUCAUCAAAAAUAUCUUAGUAAGCUUGAAGAGAACAAUCAGGAGAAUCAGAAGUGAUAAUAGGACCGAAUUCAGGAUUCGAGUUCUUGAUUCAUUCAUGAUUAGUCAUCAAAUUUCUCAUACACUUUCAGCUCCAUACACAUCACAAUAAAAUGAAGUAGUGGAAAGGAAAAUUUGAUCUUUGUGUGAAUCAACUAGAAGGAUGCUUACAUAUACGAAUCUAACAUAAUAAUAUUGGGAUGAGGUUGCUUCUACUACUUGUUUCACUCAAAAUCAUUCUUUCAUACAUUGAAGAUUUAAUAUCACCCCUUAUGAAAUGAGUAACAAAAGGAAACCUAACAUCAAUUUUUUACAUGUUUUUGGUUGUAUAUGUUUCAUUAUGAAUUUGAAAGAUCAUCUUUCCAAAUUUCAAGUGAAGGAUGAUGAAGGAAUAUUCCUUGGAUAUUCAUAGAACACAUUAUCCUAUAGGGUGUCGAACAAACAAGCAAUAAGGAUUGAAGAGUGUGGCAACCCGAACCUUUUUUCGUUAACAUUAGUCCGAUUCUGUUAAAUAAAUUUUGAAAUUUUUGAUGGGUUUUGAGCAUUCUAACACUUCCUAAGUGUAUAUGCAACCCUAAUAACCUUGGAUCUAUGUUUGUCUAAUUAUCAUGCAAAGUUGAUUUCCAAGGCUAUGAUUCUAUCUAGCAUACAUGGGAACAAUUUUAACUUGAAUAAAAGAUAGAACUACAUACCUUGUUCAUUUUGAUCCUUGAAACCUUCUGAGCCUAGCACCCCAAGUGUGACGCGUCAAAUGCGUCACACAACACCAAAUGCUAUGGAGUAAACUUGGAGAGAAAGUAUAACACUCUAAAAAUCGGCUCUAGCCCUCAAGCAUGCAUGUGUACCCAAUUUUGGGAGAAACAUGAACUUUAUAUAGUGUUGACACAUUUAGGGUUACACCAUGUAAACCCUAAUGUGUCAUGACUCUUCAUUUCCAUGACCCAUGGGUUUGUAACUCCCAUGGAGCAUCCAAUGGGUUCAACCCAACUUGAUUAUCCAUGGAGCUUCUUAUCCCACUAUAUAAGUUAUGGAUUAUUUACAUAAUCAACCCAUAUAUUUAAUUAGUUAUCUUUUGAUCACUUAAUUAAUUCUAAAAUUAAUUCUUGAUCAAACUAAUUAAAUAAUAUUAUUAAUAUAUUAGAACUUAUAAUAUAUUAAUAAACCACAAGUGUUAUUUCUCUCAUUUAGUCUAUCCAAUUGUAUGGUGCCAUGAAACCCAAAUGGACCAUGUCGGGUCGGGUCAAGUACAUACCAGAAAUAGUUAUGGACUUAGACACCUUAUCCAACAGUCUCCCACUUGGAUAAGUCUAAUAACUAUAACUGCAAGUAUGACUUCAGGAACCGAUCGGCAAUCGUAGCUCUUUUCAAGGUUUCUCGGAACUGAGAAGAUGAUGGUACGCCAUUUAAGAUAAGUGAUCAUAUAAUCCUCUGUUCUAGAUAUCAGCCGGACAAAUACAUGGAACAUUGUCUUGCUUAUUGUCCAGCAUUUGUUUCCCGAUUUCCGAUUUGUUUGACAUAGAACUUAAUUGAACACAUCAACUUAGUUCUGACCGGGCCCGGUACAUAGGUCAAAACAAAAUCAUCGAGGGGCCCAGAUAUCAGCUUCUAAUCCAAGAAGGAACAGAUAAACUUCGACUCAUAUGUUUGUUCUACCACUCAUUGAAUUACACACAAAAGUACGUUUUAUAACAUCGAGUUACCAAUGCGGUUUCGCGCGUUCAAUGCAUAACUAACUCAUAGUUAACAGGUCAUAUCUCUAGGUUUGAAGACUUAUAUGAUAUUACCGUCUCGCGAUCACUCGAGAUAAAAUUGCAUGAAGUGAUACCAACGAGCGUGGGUUGAAUCCAAUACUCAGAACUUAUGAUCACUCAUGAGUGUUGUGGCCAUGUCCAACAUCUUAGACCUCUACAGCCAAAUCAUGACAGUCUUACUUCAUAUCUACUUCCAACAUAUGACUGACUGUGGAUAAUUUGAAUAAUAUGUAAAACAACAUAAAUAUUCUGGAAGUUAAAACAUGCAAAAGAAAUAUAGUAAACGAUUGACAAGAGAUAGCAACACUUUACUCAUAAAUAAAACACCUUUUAUUCAUCAUCAAAUGUCAAUUACACUUUACAAAUUUCUNUAUCUAACUACUAAGACUAAUAUCAUCCUUUAGCCCUAUGCUCCUAGCAUGCUGGAGAUGCUUAACCCUACCCAGUCUCUUCGUGAGGGGAUCCACCGGGUUCUCAUCCGAUGAUACCCUCUUUGCCAUGAGAAGUCCUUCUUCUAUAUGAUGUCUGAUGAAAUGAUAUUUUCUGUCAAUGUGUAUGGAUCUCCCGUGAUCCCUUGGUUCCUUGGCUAAGGCAACAACACUUUCAAUAUCACAGAAAAUCUCUAUAGGCUUCGAUAUAGCUAGUACAACUCCAAGGUCUCCGAUGAAGUUCUUUAGCCAUAUAGCCUCUUUUGCCGCCUCGCUUGCCGCUAUAUACUCUAAUUCGAAAGUUGAAUCAGCCACUGUCUCCCGCUUGGAACUUUUCCAAGAGAUUGCUCCUUCGUUUAAGGUAAAGACCCAGCCCGACUGAGAGCAGAAAUUAUCCUUAUCAGUCUAGAAGCUUGAAUCACUAUACCCUACGACUCUCAAGUCAUCAGUCCCACCGAGGGUAAGGACCCAGUCCUUAGUCCUCCGCAGGUACUUGAGAAUGUUCUUUACCGCUGUCCAAUGAGCCUUACCAUGAUUCCCUUAAUACCUGCUAACCAUGCUUAAAGCAAAGGCUAUAUCAGGACGAGUACAGGUCAUAGCAUACAUGAUCGAGCCUUCUGCCGAAGCAUAAGGUACUCGACUCAUUUCUGCUAUCUCAUCCUUAGUACUCAGGCUCUGAGUCUUACUCAGUCUAGUGCUACUUUGGAUGGGUAACUCUCCUUUCUUGGAAUCUUGCAUGCUGAAUCUCUUCAGCACCUUAUCCAAGUAUGUACUCUGACUAAGUCCAAUUAGUCUUUUACUCCGGUUUCUAAAAAUCCUUAUUCCUAGAAUAUAGGCAGCUUCUCCUAGGUCCUUCAUAUCAAAACACUUCCCAAGCCAGGACUUAACUUCCUGCAGAGUUGGGAUGUCAUUUCCUAUGAGUAGUAUGUCAUCCACAUAGAGUACCAAAAAGCUAACUAUACUCCCACUAGCCUUGACAUAUACACAAGAUUCAUCUUCACUCCUAGAGAAGCCAAAUUUUUUGACCUUCUCAUCAAAGCAAAGAUUCCAUCUGCGAGGUGCUUGCUUUAAUCCAUAGAUGGAUUUCUCAAGCUUACACACUCUAUUAGGGUACUCGGUGCUGACAAAACCCUCUGGCUGACUCAUGUAAACAUCUUCAGCCAACUUUCCAUUAAGGAAAGCGGUUUUGACAUCCAUCUGCCAUAUUUCAUAGUCAUGAAAUGCAGCUAUGGCUAACAGAACCCGAAUAGACUUAAUCUUGGCUACCGGAGAAAAGGUCUCAUCAUAAUCCACUCCAGGAAUUUGAGAGAAGCCCUUUGCAACCAGUCUAGCCUUAUAAGUGUGUACUUUACCNNNNNNNNNNNNNNNNNNNNNNNNNNNNNNNNNNNNNNNNNNNNNNNNNNNNNNNNNNNNNNNNNNNNNNNNNNNNNNNNNNNNNNNNNNNNNNNNNNNACUGGUGAAAAGGUCUCAUCAUAAUCAACUCCUGGAGUUUGAGAAAAGCCCUUUGCAACCAGUCGUGCCUUAUAAGUGUGUACAUUACCAUCCAUGUCGAUCUUCUUCUUGAAGAUCCAUUUGCACCCAACUGUCUUACGACCUGGCACAUUGUCAACCAAGUCCCAGACCUAAUUGUCAUACAUGGAUUGUAUCUCGCUAUCUAUUGCCGCUUUCCAUUUAGCAGACUCAGGGCCUAACAUGGCUUCCGCAUAGCUGUUAGGUUCAUCCAGGCCUACUAUUGUCUCAUCACUAAUAAGUGUCUCACCUUUCGCAGUAAUAUGGAAACCAUAGUAAUGCUCAGGUACAUUCCUAACCCUUGUGGAACGCCUCAGAGGUACAAACUCAUCAAUUGGCUGAUCAACNGCCAAUGAAAAUACACCUCUCGCUUCGAGGUUCGAGCUUGUCAUGAGUCUCGCGUCUCACAAAAGCCUCGCAACCCCAAACCUUGAUGUGGGCUAGACUAGGAACUUUUCUAGUCCACAUCUCGUGAGGUGUUUCAACAACCUUCUUUGUAGGGACCAGAUUAAGGUUAUGGGUGGCAGUCUCUAACGCAUACCCCCAAAAUGAGAUUGGUAGCGUAGCUCGACUCAUAAUGGAACGAACCAUGUCCAACAAGGUUCGAUUACGCCUCUCAGCUACACCAUUCAACUGUGGUGUCCUGGGAGGUGUCAAUUGUGAGACAAUCCCACAUUCCUUAGAUAGUCGAGGAAAUCAGUACUAAGAUACUCACCACCACGAUCGGAUCGAAGCAUCUUAAUGUUCCUGCCCAAUUGAUUCUUGACUUCUUGUUUAAACUCUUUAAACCUUUCAAAAGUAUCUGACUUAUUCUUGAUUAAGUAGACAUAUCUAUAUCUACUAUAAUCAUCUGUAAAAGUCACAUAAUAACUAUUAACAUCCCUUGUGGCAGUUUUGAAGGGUCCACAUACAUCCGUGUGUACAAGAUCCAACCAACCUUCACCCCUCUCACAUUAACCUGUGAAUGGUGACUUUGUCAUUUUUCCAAGUAAGCAUGAUUCGCAACUCUCAUCUAACUUUAGGUCAAAUGACACCAAGACUCCAUCCUUUUGGAGUUGGCCUAUGUGUUUCUUGCUUAUAUGUCCAAGACGACAAUGCCAUAAUGAUGCUUUAUCCAAGUUAUUAUUAUUAGUAGAAUCAAUACACAAUACAUUAUUUCCUAAGUUAUCUACAACAGACACAACUUCAUACACACCAUCACAAGGUAAUGCUUUAAAAUAAAACACAUUAUUAAAGAAAGCAUUUAUUCCACCAAUUUCAUUAUCAAAAGAACAGGUAAAACCUUGUUUAUACAAAGCAUGAAAGGAAAUAACAUUUCUUGCCAUUUCUGGUGAAUAACAACAUUUAUUCAAAUCUAAAGCAAAUCCACUACUAAGCAACAAAGUAUAAACUCCAAUCUUGGUGACAGGUGAAACUUUCCUAUUCCCCAUGAUCAAGUUUAUCUUUCCAUGCUCCACAUUCUCACUUCUUCUUAGUCCCUGCAAUUCAGAACAAAUAUGAAUACCGCAACCGGUAUCAAGGACCCAAGAGUUAGAAUAGAGUGAAUUAUUAGAUGAGAUAGUGUAAAUACCUGCAUGGUUGGGUUUAACUUUCCCAUCCUUCACAUCUUGCUGGUACUUUCGGCAGUUACGCUUCCAGUGCGCCUUUUUGUGGCAGUAGAAGCAUUCAUCCUCUUUGGGAUCAGAAGAAGGUGUAACGAAACCUUUCUUGGUUCCACUAGAAGAGGAGCCAUCAAGAGUCUUACCCUUGGUACCCUUCGAAGGGUUCUUUCUCUUCUUCCCUCUACCUUUCCCGAUUGCCAGGACAGGUGCUGAGUUUGGAGUAGUAGCAGGAGUGGUCACAACCGACUUGCCUUUAAGACCUGAUUCUGCGGUCUUUAGGAGUCCCUGAAGUUUGCUAAGUGUAACUUCCUCCUUAUUCAUGUGAUAUGUAAUGCGGAAUUGAUCAUAACACGAAGGUAAGGAGUUCAAAAUAAUAUCUAUUGCUAACUCCUCGGGGAAGUUCACAUUCAACUUCAUCAAUCGAUCCGCAUACCUUUGCAUUUUCUGCAUGUGGCUUGUGACGGGUUCACCAUCUUACAUUUGGGUGGUGAUCAUAGAGGAGAUGAUUUCAUAUCGCUCUUGACGAGCACUCUGAUGGUAGCAGUCCAUCAAAUCCUGGUGCAUCUCAAAAGGAUAGUAGUCUUCAUAGGACUUUUGGAGCUCGGCUGUCAUGGUUGCCAUCAUGAUGCAUGCCACUUUGGUAGCAUCUCUUUCAUGUGCCUCAUAUUCAGCAAACUCCUCAGGAGUAGCAGUUGGCUCAGGCACCUUGAGCUCCUUGUCAAGAACAUAUUCCUUGUUCUCGUAACGAGUGACCAUCCUGAUGUUUCUGAUCCAGUCAGUAAAGUUGGAUCCAUCAAAGAUGACUCUCCCACAAAGGUUCAUGAGAGAGAAGGAGCCAGUAGGGUUUGAGCCAGGAGUAGAAUUAUUAGAAGACAUCUGAAGAGAAGAAAGAUGAGUUUACUAUAGAUAUAGGGAUAGUCCUUAAUAAGACACCCAAAUGUAAUAUUUAAGACUAGGAUCCAAUCACAAUAUAUUAUAACCUAGAAGAGGGAUGCCGUAAUCCAAGUUAUAACAUAUUUGAAAGGUAGGUGAAUGACGCUUCACCAUUUUCCACCAUGACAAUGAAAUAUAAAUUAUUAGGUUUUAUUUGGUUUUUAGAAAUUCCUAGAUUCUAUGAGACUCAUUGAACUUUUCAAUGGCAUGUUUCAAUCUCGAGUGUGCCCUGCAUGUUUUGUGACUAGGAUAUCGAGGAUCGCAAAACAAGGUGUGAAGUAACGAUGCAAAUUACUUGGUACCCUUAAUCUUUUUCACUUAAUCGUUGUGCCGGUAAACCACACGCGCUCCUUCCGACCUCAUGAAAAACCUUAAGUCACCCUUUUCCUUCCUUGUUAAGUUCAAGUUAGUGUGUCGGUAAACCACACACGCUCCACCAAUGACAUAAACAAGGUGCAAAGUGUAAUAUCAUGGAUUAGAACCUUAUUCACAUUUUUCCUAAAGUAACUAAGAUUGGGAAUUUAUAAAACAUUUAGUUACUUUAUAAUAAUCAUUAUACUUUUAAUGAGAAUUUUUAAGUCAUUGUCCUACCCGUUCGGCUAACGACCCUCCACCAGUCAAGCAAGCGGUGGGUGAGAGUGGACACUCAUUAAGUUGCCAUUUUAUAGGCAACAACCUUAUACCCACCUUAUAGACUGGCUUCGUGAAUGAGGCGUACUAGCGGUAAUACAACUUUGAUCUUAUACAUAUAGAUAUUAUUAUUAACUUAUAAUAUUAUAAGUAUAAGGGUUGAAUUUUAACUUUUAAAAUUCUAAGGGUUGGAACUAAACUUUUAAUCAAAACUUUACUUGUUCCAAAACAUGAGGGCAAGUUUUGUAAACUUUCAAAACUUUUCAUUUCUUGUAACUUAUGAGUUAAUUAGAGUAUUAAAAAAUGAAGACUCUUCAUUUUUCUAACUCUUGUGUUCUUUUAAUGGUUUUAAUUCAAGUGUGACUCUUGGUUUUCCAUAACUUGAGGACAAGUUAUGGACUCCAUUAAAACACAUUAUGAUCAAGAAUUAAACUACCAUGUAGGUUACAAGUAAUUCCUAUGAUCAUCUAAAUUCAUAAGAUCAAGAAAAUGAAUAUCCAUAUCAAAGUUUCAAGACCAUAAGAACACAUAUAAUCAUGAAAAAUUGAUAUUUGCCAUUGUAAAUGGAUUAGAACAAACAUUAUACCAUCAAAAACAAGUUUUAUAACACCAAAACAUUUUAGGGUAAUGUUUCUAGUCCAUUUCCAGCAGCAAAAGUCGAAAAUCUGCAUUUUGUAGCUCCUACUCUCCGAGUGCACGAACCUACUCGGCGAGUAGGUUGAAGAUACACAUGAACUCGGCGAGUCCCCCCAUGGACUCAGCGAGUUCAUCAGGCAGAUUGCACAAAAUCGACUUUUUUCAAAUAUUUAGCACAAAUAACAAACAAACAAGCCUAGGCUCUGAUACCACUGAUGGGUUUUGAGCAUUCUAACACUUCCUAAGUGUACAUGCAACCCUAAUAACCUUGGAUCUAUGUUUGUCUAAUUAUCAUGCAAAGUUGAAUUCCAAGGCUAUAUUCCUAUCUAGCAUACAUNCAAUACAUGGGAACAAUUUUAACUUGAAUAAAAGAUAGAACUACAUACCUUGUUGUCAAUUUUGAUCCUUGAAACCUUGUGAGCCUAGCACCCCAAGUGUGAUGCCUCAAAUGCUUCACACAACACCAAAUGCUAUGGAGUAAACUUGGAGAGAAAGUAUAACACUCUAAAAAUAGGCUCUAGCCCUCAAGCAUGCAUGUGUACCCGAUUUUGGGAGAAACAUGAACUUUAUAUAGUGUUGACACAUUUUGGGUUACACCAUGUAAACCCUAAUGUGUCAUGACUCUUCAUUUCCAUGACCCAUGGGUUUGUAACUCCCAUGGAGCCUCCAUGGAGCAUCAAAUGGGUUCAACCCAACUUGAUUAUCCAUGGAGCUUCUUAUCCCACUAUAUAAGUUAUGGAUGAUUUACAUAAUCAACCCAUAUAUUUAAUUAGUUAUCUUUUGAUCACUUAAUUAAUUCUAAAAUUAAUUCUUGAUCAAACUAAUUAAAUAAUAUUAUUAAUAUAUUAGAACUUAUAAUAUAUUAAUAAACCACAAGUGUUAUUUCUCUCAUUUAGUCUAUCCAAUUGCAUGGUGCCAUGCAACCCAAANCCCACAUGGACCAUGCCGGGUCGGGUCAAGUACAUACUGAUGGGUUUUAUCCAUAAGAAAAUCCUAUGUGCUCACGCGAACCCUAAUGCUUGGAUCUAGGUUUCUCUAUUGUACAUGCAAUUCAUCCAAGAAUAUAAACCCUAGAUCUAGUAUAUGAUAAUCAAUACAACAUAUGAAUUAGGAUUUAGAUCAUACCUUGAUUGUUAUGUAGUAAUAACAAUCUCAAAUCCUCCUUGUAAUGACUUUAGAAAGCUUAGAGUCACAAAUGUCACUCCUCUAAUGGUUCACAAACACCAAGAGCAAGAGGAUGAAGAGGAGAAGAGAAGGAGGCUGCCCAAAACAUGUGAAAACCCUAGAGAACAAGUUCACCACGUUUUUGGGGCUUAAGGGUUCUUUAAAUAGUGAGGCUAUUACGGUUUUCUAACAAGCAAACCCUAAUUUGGAUGCUUAGGCCCUAAGCAACCCAUGGACUCCUUCCUUAAAGGCCUAGGACGAUUUCUAAUGGGUUUCCCCAUAGAAUUCGUCCACCCCUUUAAUAUGGAGUCCAUUAGCUCAAUAUUCAACUAUCACACAAUUGACAGUAUUAGUCCCUUAUUCUUAUAAUAUAUUAAUAAAUCAUAAUUAAUCCUUUCUCUCCAUAAUUCAUCCUAUCAAGUUGCUUUGAUGAAGGCAACCCAAAAGGACCAUGCACCAUCGGGUCAAGUAUAUACCAAAAUAGUUAUGGACUUAGACACUAAUCCAACACAUACCAGAAAUAGUUAUGGACUUAGACACCUUAUCCAACAUUUUUAUCUAGUUCCGUCAAAUUCCUAUGGUUUAGAAAAUCAUUUAAGUUAUAUAAUUGAAUUUUAUAUAAGAGUCGGAACCAAAAUUGCGCGAAAACCCAAGUUUCCUUCGAAAAUCAGCAGAUUUCAGCCUAAGUGGUGUUCACGAUUGUGAACUCGAUCAAGGCUGUAAACCCGUUCAUGGUUGAUGGACCCCACCACCGACCAUACACCCAGCCUAUAUAUAAAUGACUCCUACCUGCAUUUAUACUUUCUGGCCAUGAACACCCUUUCUCUCUCUAAAAUCAUCACCCGAAAAACUCAAGUUUUCUUUUCCUCUAUCACUUAAAUCCAACUUAGAACACGUUUUGGAGCAUCAAACAUCUGUCUUUUCAUCAAGUCAAACAUUGUUGUUCUUGCAUGCACGACCAUAAACCCUUCAAAUCUUCAUAUUUUACCAAGAACAGAUCGUGAACCCUUCCAAGACCGUAAACCCUUCACAUACCGUUCACGGCCGCAAUCAGCAUCAAUUGGAAUCUAGGUUGAAAACCUACUUGUUCCACUUCGAUCGAGUCUUGGUGACAUUCCAAAACUAAAAUCAAGUGUUUUCUAACACUUUAAUUAAUGCUCUCACUAAUUUAAAUGCAAAUAUGUGUUUAAUCAUUAUUAGGAUUUUGUUAACUUCUCAUACAACAAACUCGAGGGUCAUCAUAUCCAGUCUCGUUGUCCGGCACAUACAUGCAACUAACGGUGAGUUCAUACCCAUAUGCUUUUACAAGUAAAAGCACAAGUAAUUAGUUUUUAAAAAUAUAAUUUAAUUAUUAUAUUUCCUUAUCGUUAACACACAUUUGAACGCAGAACUUACUAAAUAUGAAGUAUAAACAAAGCUAUUAUUUUCAUAAGGAUACAUGUUAAUAACAAAAAGGGGUUUUCAUAGUAUUAUUCGUGAAUUCAUUGAGAGAACUACAUUGUGAGACAACACUUUCAGUAUACAGCACAAUACGUUUUCAAUUAGUUUUAUUUUAUGUAAUCAAACUACUAUACUUUACAAGUAGUAGCCAAGGUUUUCAUUCAGAGCAAUGCUUUAAUAAAAUAAGUAAGGAAGAUACUUGUACUUUUCAAUUUUUAGAACAAUUAAGACAACAGCUCACACUUAGGGAAAAUAUAGGAUUUUCCAGGACAAAUGUUAGUACUUUACAAACAAUCGGUUUAUCAUCCAACUAACAAAUAUUCAUUAAUAUUUCUAUAAUCCUUAGUUUAUGCAUCCAGGUUAUGUAAGAAGAAUAUCUGAUAUGUCACACCCCCGAACCAGACGGCGGAAACGUCCGGGGGCUAUCGUGACUCAAUUGAAUACCAUCACAAUGAAUAUACAUGAAACAUAACAUCAUACAAUACCAAGCAUUGGAAUAUUACAACUGGUAGCGUUUACAUUCAGUACAUAGUUUCAAAAUAUUACAUUCCCAAAAGUAAAUUGUUCGAUAUUAAUUAAACAACAGCAAAACGUCAUAGAGUACAAUUCUUCCUUCACUUUAUCUGUUACCUAAGAAUACAAGUAUUUUAAAAACGUCAACAUAUGAAAUGUUGGUGAGUUCAUAAGUAAUGUUUGAAAUCCAAUAUUUUGUAUUGUUUUGAAAACCACCAGAAAAAUCUGAUAUUUUCUGAAAAUUGUAUAGUAUAAAAGGUGUGAAGAUCCGAAAGUAUGCUUGUUUGUUUCUAUAAAUGUAAGAGUACGAUUUGUAAAACUCGGUAUGUAAUUCGUAGGUGUAUUAAUUGAAAACCCUAGGAAAACCCGACGUUUUCCCAUUGCUUUGCAUUAAAUAAUUUUAUGCUUCGUUAUUUCGUUACGACAGGUGUAUUCGUUACGACAGGUGUAUUCGUUGAGCUCCGGGGACGUUGGAUUAAUUGUGGAUUGUGAAUUGUUGUAACGUACAUUAAUGAAAACGACCAGUUGACAACCAUACAAACGAUCCCUUAGGCGUCGCUUGCACUUAUUCACUUAACCCAACCCCCCGGACUCAUGUAGCCCCACGACCGAGGGGAAAAAGAGGGUGCAAAGCCCCGGUAUUUCCCUACGUCGUUCAAGGCUAUAGUGAAUGCGAAGGGCCCUUAGCCCAACUCGCAUUGGUGAAUUCUCGACUUUGCUAGCAGUACCGAAGGACCCUUGGGGACCAGCAGCACGUUGCCAUUGAAAGUCCUUUUACNNNNNNNNNNNNNNNNNNNNNNNNNNNNNNNNNNNNNNNNNNNNNNNNNNNNNNNNNNNNNNNNNNNNNNNNNNNNNNNNNNNNNNNNNNNNNNNNNNNNNNNNNNNNNNNNNNNNNNNNNNNNNNNNNNNNNNNNNNNNNNNNNNNNNNNNNNNNNNNNNNNNNNNNNNNNNNNNNNNNNNNNNNNNNNNNNNNNNNNNNNNNNNNNNNNNNNNNNNNNNNNNNNNNNNNNNNNNNNNNNNNNNNNNNNNNNNNNNNNNNNNNNNNNNNNNNNNNNNNNNNNNNNNNNNNNNNNNNNNNNNNNNNNNNNNNNNNNNNNNNNNNNNNNNNNNNNNNNNNNNNNNNNNNNNNNNNNNNNNNNNNNNNNNNNNNNNNNNNNNNNNNNNNNNNNNNNNNNNNNNNNNNNNNNNNNNNNNNNNNNNNNNNNNNNNNNNNNNNNNNNNNNNNNNNNNNNNNNNNNNNNNNNNNNNNNNNNNNNNNNNNNNNNNNNNNNNNNNNNNNNNNNNNNNNNNNNNNNNNNNNNNNNNNNNNNNNNNNNNNNNNNNNNNNNNNNNNNNNNNNNNNNNNNNNNNNNNNNNNNNNNNNNNNNNNNNNNNNNNNNNNNNNNNNNNNNNNNNNNNNNNNNNNNNNNNNNNNNNNNNNNNNNNNNNNNNNNNNNNNNNNNNNNNNNNNNNNNNNNNNNNNNNNNNNNNNNNNNNNNNNNNNNNNNNNNNNNNNNNNNNNNNNNNNNNNNNNNNNNNNNNNNNNNNNNNNNNNNNNNNNNNNNNNNNNNNNNNNNNNNNNNNNNNNNNNNNNNNNNNNNNNNNNNNNNNNNNNNNNNNNNNNNNNNNNNNNNNNNNNNNNNNNNNNNNNNNNNNNNNNNNNNNNNNNNNNNNNNNNNNNNNNNNNNNNNNNNNNNNNNNNNNNNNNNNNNNNNNNNNNNNNNNNNNNNNNNNNNNNNNNNNNNNNNNNNNNNNNNNNNNNNNNNNNNNNNNNNNNNNNNNNNNNNNNNNNNNNNNNNNNNNNNNNNNNNNNNNNNNNNNNNNNNNNNNNNNNNNNNNNNNNNNNNNNNNNNNNNNNNNNNNNNNNNNNNNNNNNNNNNNNNNNNNNNNNNNNNNNNNNNNNNNNNNNNNNNNNNNNNNNNNNNNNNNNNNNNNNNNNNNNNNNNNNNNNNNNNNNNNNNNNNNNNNNNNNNNNNNNNNNNNNNNNNNNNNNNNNNNNNNNNNNNNNNNNNNNNNNNNNNNNNNNNNNNNNNNNNNNNNNNNNNNNNNNNNNNNNNNNNNNNNNNNNNNNNNNNNNNNNNNNNNNNNNNNNNNNNNNNNNNNNNNNNNNNNNNNNNNNNNNNNNNNNNNNNNNNNNNNNNNNNNNNNNNNNNNNNNNNNNNNNNNNNNNNNNNNNNNNNNNNNNNNNNNNNNNNNNNNNNNNNNNNNNNNNNNNNNNNNNNNNNNNNNNNNNNNNNNNNNNNNNNNNNNNNNNNNNNNNNNNNNNNNNNNNNNNNNNNNNNNNNNNNNNNNNNNNNNNNNNNNNNNNNNNNNNNNNNNNNNNNNNNNNNNNNNNNNNNNNNNNNNNNNNNNNNNNNNNNNNNNNNNNNNNNNNNNNNNNNNNNNNNNNNNNNNNNNNNNNNNNNNNNNNNNNNNNNNNNNNNNNNNNNNNNNNNNNNNNNNNNNNNNNNNNNNNNNNNNNNNNNNNNNNNNNNNNNNNNNNNNNNNNNNNNNNNNNNNNNNNNNNNNNNNNNNNNNNNNNNNNNNNNNNNNNNNNNNNNNNNNNNNNNNNNNNNNNNNNNNNNNNNNNNNNNNNNNNNNNNNNNNNNNNNNNNNNNNNNNNNNNNNNNNNNNNNNNNNNNNNNNNNNNNNNNNNNNNNNNNNNNNNNNNNNNUGAUUUUUAUACUUUGUUGGGCUAGUUUAGGUUAAUUAUGGUUCAUAAUAUUUAAUUUAUUUCAUUCUAGGCCCAAUAUGGCCCAAAAUGUUGAAAUAAAUGAAUGUGGGUCCAAUUAGAGCCCAUUUAAAGGUUCUAAUCCCAUGAUAGUCAAAUUGGAAGCUUAUUGGCCCAUUGAGUCCAAUAAGGAAGUCCUAGUCCAAAAUGGACCUAAACAAGAACUUCUAGGGUUUCCAAUUGCUUAUUGACUAUUUGUAGCACUUGUAUGGUGUAUUUGAUUGAAAUUCUGUUGUCAUAGAGUAAGCAUCAUACAUGCUCUUUGAGUUUUUGAUUCUACAUUUUACUUGAGUGUAGUGAUUACAAGACACAAAAUUUCUAGUUGUGACAUCAUCCCCCCGUUAGAGGGAAUUUCGUCCCGAAAUUCUGUUUGAAAGCUAGAUUUGAGAAUGCUAGAAUAGGUGAGGGUACUUUUGCUUCAUUUGGUCUUCGCGUUCCCACGUGAAUUCUGGCCCACGCUUCGCGUUCCACCGUACUUUCACGAUCGGGAUGCGACUUUGCUUAGUACGCUUCACCUCCCUGUCCAUGAUUUCAACCGGCUCUUCAACGAACAGGAGAUUCUCAUUGAUUUCGAUCUCGUCAAGGGGAAUGACGAGUGUUUCAUCCGAUAGGCACUUCUUUAGAUUAGAGACAUGGAACACGGGGUGAACACUGUUUAGCUCUGCGGGUAGCUGCAGUUUAUACGCCACUGGACCUAUUCGGGCGACGAUCUCGAAAGGUCCAAUGUAUCGUGGGUUCAGUUUUCCCCGUUUUCCGAAACGAAUAACUCCUUUCCAGGGUGAGACUUUCAACAGUACUCGAUCCCCGACCUGAAAUUCUAAGGGCUUUCGUCGUUUAUCGGCGUAGCUCUUUUGUCGGUCGCACGAUGCUUGUAAUCGAGCUCUGAUUUGGACGAUCUUUUCCAGGGUUUCACGAAUGAUCUCCGGUCCUGUUAGUGCCUUGUCUGAUGUAUGCGUUUUUGCUAGUUGGGUAUCACCUACCUCAGCCCAACAUAACGGUGAUCUACACUUACGCCCGUAUAGUGCUUCGAAAGGAGCGACCUUGAUGCUCGAAUGAUAACUAUUGUUAUACGAGAAUUCGAUUAAAGGUAAGUGGGUAUCCCAAGACUUCCCAAAGUCUAUCACGCAUGCGCGGAGCAUGUCUCCGAGCGUUUGGAUGGUUCGCUCGUUUUGACCAUCCGUUUGCGGAUGAUAAGCGGUGCUCAUGUUGAGAUGAGUUCCCAUUUCCUUAUGGAGUGAUUGCCAAAAACGUGAAGUGAACCUACUGUCCCNNNNNNNNNNNNNNNNNNNNNNNNNNNNNNNNNNNNNNNNNNNNNNNNNNNNNNNNNNNNNNNNNNNNNNNNNNNNNNNNNNNNNNNNNNNNNNNNNNNNCCGCCGGUGGUGACGUUGUUGUUGUUGCGAUUGUUGUUGUGGUUGAUGAUUCCCUGUUGUUGCUCCAUCUCUAAAGAUCAAUACCCCAAGGAGGGGUAGGACCGGUGGGGCCCACAUGGUAAGCAGGCACCCUGAUCGGGUAAGGGGGGUUGAUGACUUCGAACUCUGCGUCCGAAUCACCCCCUUCACUAUCAUCGGGUUCCUCUUCGAAGUUCUCUUCGUCUUCUUCGGGUUCGGCAGGCUCGCCUUCAUCUCCAGCCUCUGGUUCCCCGUCAGAUUCCUUUUCGGGGUCUUCCUCAGGCUCUUCCUCUAACCAUCCGUUAUUCCCCUGAUUAGGGAAAUAAGGGUCUCCAGGGUGAUGAAAACCAUCCAUGCUGUCUGCGUNUGUCUGCGCGAGUAUGUAAAUAUGCUAUCAUUAUUCCUAGAAUGCUACAACUAUUGUACAGACUAAACAAACGUUCUCUUUUUGGUGAUAAAAGGGUAUAGUUUUAGGUUCCCUAGCUAUCCCGAUCUCAUCAGAACGUGUGUUAGUUAUACUUUGGAGAGAAUGUAGUUGAUCAGGCUACAUCCACUCCUUGGUACCACUAAGAACAGUCCUGAAUUAACCGAGAUACUAGCAUUAUUUUGUUUGGUUCGGCGUUAUGUUCCUUGUUCCUAAUGCAAGCAAAGAUGUUUUAUUGUUGUAUUUUACUUGUUUUGUUCAGAGUUAUGUUAGUCCCUCUUUUGGUUUAUAGUUGCAUAUCAAUGUAUGGUUCGAUAUGCUAGUUCACUAUAAACAGAGCUCUGAUACCAACCUGUCACACCCCCGAACCAGACGGCGGAAACGUCCGGGGGCUGUCGUGACUCAAUUGAAUACCAUCACAAUGAAUAUACAUGAAACAUAACAUCAUACAAUACCAAGCAUUGGAAUAUUACAACUGGUAGCGUUUACAUUCAGUACAUAGUUUCAAAAUAUUACAUUCCCAAAAGUAAAUUGUUCGAUAUUAAUUAAACAACAGCAAAACGUCAUAGAGUACAAUUCUUCCUUCACUUUAUCUGUUACCUGAGAAUACAAGUAUUUUGAAAAACGUCAACAUAUGAAAUGUUGGUGAGUUCAUAAGUAAUGUUUGAAAUCCAAUGUUUUGUAUUGUUUUGAAAACCACCAGAAAAUCCGAUAUUUUCUGAAAAUUGUAUAGUAUAAAAGGUGUGAAGAUCCGAAAGUAUGCUUGUUUGUUUCUAUAAAUGUAAGAGUACGAUUUGUAAAACUCGGUAUGUAAUUCGUAGGUGUAAUAAUUGAAAAUCCUAGGAAAACCCGACGUUUUCCCAUUACUUUGCAUUAAAUAAUUUUAUGUUUCGUUAUUUCGUUACGACAGGUGUAUUCGUUGAGCUCCGGGGACGUUGGAUUAAUUGUGGAUUGUGAAUUGUUGUAAACGUACAUUAAUGAAAAUGACCAGUUGACAACCGUACAAACGAUUCCCUUAGGCGUCGCUCGCACUAUUCACUUAACCCAACCACCCGGACUCAUGUAGCCCCACGACCGAGGGGAAAAAGUGAGUGCGAAGCCCCAGGUAAUUCCCUACGUCGUUCAAGGCUAUAGUGAAUGCGAAGGGCCCUUAGCCCAACUCGCAUUGGUGAAUUCUCGACUUUGCUAGCAGUACCGAAGGACCCUUGGGGACCAGCAGCACGUUGCCAUUGAAAGUCCUUUUACGCUGUGUUGGAUCAUGUAAGACCCAACAACUCGUAAGGUUGAUGUCUUCGGGCCUAAAGAUCAGGUCAUUGGGCUAGCUAGGCCCAACAAACAAGAUUUUACACUUUUGGGCCCAAAGAUGGUGUAUCGACGUCUGUGCACUCUCACGUGUGUAUUGAAUUCCCAAAUUUUCCGUGUAUGAAUCGAGUUGUCGUCGUGUUAGUAGUUUCGGAUUUGUUAUUGAUUCGAGACCGAAUCAAUUCGUUUGAUAACGAUUUUUGGUGUUGUUGUGUGUUGUAAUUCGUCGGUAGUCGCAGUGUCAAUAUUUGAUCACAACGGAUGUAUUGAAUUAACAUUGAAAUUUUUCUGUUUACAGCCCCUCUUUAUUUUGUAAAUUUACUUUUUCAACCCUUUGAAUAAAUUAAUUUCCGGUUUAGUCCUUAAACCAUUUUUCUUGGCAUUCUAACACCAAAACUUAUUGAAAUUGAUAUUUUUCAGCACAUUUUUAGUUGAAAACAGUUUUAGUCCCUCAAAAUACAGUUUUCUCGGCUGUAACCUCUCUUUUUCGCAAUUUUUACACUUUUGGCCCAAAUUGGAAAAUUUUUGCAACUUUGGUCCUUUUUAAUUAUGAAAAGCAUUUUUAACCUUUGAAAAGGACUUGGAACACUAGUAGUCCACUGUUUUACGGAAAAACACAGUUUCAGCCCCUCAAAUUGGAAAAUUUCGCAUAUUGGGCCCUAUUGGGCCGAAAAGUUCAUUUUUAGCCCAUUAAGUUUAGAAAUUUACAUUUUAAACAUUCUAAAGUGUAUAUUUCUGGAAAAAUUCCUUUAUGAAACUGUUUUGACACUUCUUAACCUCCAGAAUUUGUAUUUUGACAUUUUGGGCCCUUAAACUUCAUAUUCUUAGCAUUUUAAGUCCAAAAAUGUGAUUUUUAGCCCAAGAUGUUCAUCUAAACCAACUUGGUUAUUUUUCUAGUAAUGGCUUAUGUAUGAUGAUAUGUUUUAGCACUUGAUUCAUGCAUCAUAACACAAAUCUCGAUUUUUAGGUCCUUUUGACUAGUUUCAACACCAUAAACACACAAAAGUAUGUAAAUAAACAUAGAAAUCAUACAAGGCAUACACAUAAUGAUAGAUCUACACAUUUGCUUGUAUUCUCCCCCCCCCACAAAACUUAUAAAAACCGAAAAUAAGGGGGUAUGAAGCUCACCUUUGGAUGUGGUCUCGGUUUUGAAGAAGAUUUGUGGAAGUUUGGUGCUAUUUUCGGCCCUAUCAAGUUCCUUGGAUGGAUCUCGAACUUAGUGGGUUCUAAGAUGCAAGAUCAUGAACUUGAAUGGAUUAAGAGAUGAUUCUUGAUGAAAAGAAUUAGCUAGAUUAUGGGUCUAAGCAAUAUCUUACCUUAGAUGAUGAUUUUUAUGGAAGAAAUCCCUUGAACACCUCUUAGAUCUCGAAAAUUUGGAGAGAAAUGGAGAGAGUUUCUUGAGAGAAAAUUUUUAAGUGAAGUGUGUGUGUGUUUGUUUGGUUUCGGCCGAGAGGGAGAAGAGAGGAAAGAAGAGAGAAUGAGCUUGCAUGGAAAGAUGAGAAUACAUGGAUGUUUGAAGUGUAAUAUUUAGAUAUCCUCCAAACAAAGAUGAUGUGUCAUGCAAGAAGUCAACUCCUCCCUUUUAUUUGGGCUUGGGCCGAGAAUGGAGGGGGAAAAGAGAAUGUUUGGGCCUUAAAUGCUUAAGCCCAAUUUUCAUGGUUAUGUUGAGUGAUUUUUGGUCCAAAUAAAUAUAAAGGUGAUUUUUAUGACUUGUUAGGGCUAAAUUAGGUUAAUUAUGGUUCAUAGUUAUUAAUUUAUUUCAUUCUAGGCCCAAUGUGGCCCAAAAUGUUGAAAUAAAUGGAUGUGGGUCUAAUUAGAGCCCAUUUAAAGGUUCUAAUCCCAUGAUAGUCAAAUUGGAGGCUUAUUGGCCCAAUGAGUCCAAUAAGGAAGUCUUAGUCCAAAAUGGACCUAACAAGAACUUCUAGGGUUUCCAUUUGCUUGUUGACUAUUUGUGGUACUUGUAUGGUGUAUUUGUUUGAAAAUUAGAUGUCAUAGAGUAAGCAUCUUACAUGCUCUUUAAGUUUUUGAUUCUACAUUUUUACUUGAAUGUAGUGAUUACAAGACACAAAAUUUCUAGUUGUGACAUGAUAGGUCAUGGAAUGUGUACUUUCCGCCUCAUUCCCGGUUCCUUGUUUGGUUGUGGGUUUAGGGCAGAUUCACACAAUUAACUAUCUGUUUGAUAUUGGUUUAUACAUAGCUAGUGUGAGCUAAGUGGUUAUAGAAGGAAUUGGUAUUAUCAUACUUUUACUAGAAAAAUAUUGGAUUUUCUUGAGAAAAACUUUCAACAGAUAUCAAAGGACCAAUACAGUCAAUUUUUUAAGUAUCUAGUGAAUACUUAAGGGUUAUGUCAUGAGGAUCCGACAACCAAUGGAAUGUGUGGCCUCCACCUCAUUUCUUGUCCUUGUUUGGUUGUGGGCUUGAGGCAGAACCACACAAUCGAUUGUUUGUUUGAUCUAGAUUGUAUAUGAUUUGUAUACACUAAGUGCUCGCAGAAGGAAACUGGUACAAAUCUUUUCACUUAACAUUCAUUGCAUCAAAAAUUAUAAGGUUUUUCUGGAGAAACACAACGUACUUUUCAAGAACAUAGAACCUGUUUUCUAAAAUAAAACGCUUAUUAACUCACCAGCUUAAAUGUUGAUACUCUUUCAAAACCUACUUGUAUUCUCAGGACACUAGUAGACAGAUACAUUCGCAUGGUUCAAGAAGAUGGAGCAUAGUAGCCUCGAGUCUUUACAUGUUAUUUACUUUUGGAGUCAGUCAUAUAUGAUUCGAAAACAAUGUAAACUUUAUUUUAUUAAUACAAUGGUUGUUGUAGCUUUUAUUACUAUUAUUCAAUUGUUGUGAAACUAUACACGACGUCGUCCGCCCCCGAAUGUUUCCGUUGUUCCGGUUUGGGGGGUGUGACAAAGAGACAUUUAAUUUAACUUUUAAUGACUAUUAUUUUAAGAGAUUCGAGACUAUUUUUCCUCAAAAUCCAAUUCAUUCUAAUUCAAAGGAGGUAUUUGAACAAAUUGUUGCUUUGAUAUUGAUAUUGAUUUAUUUUUUGGUAUUUCUGAUAAAGCAAUCAAUGUUAAUGUGAAUAUUAAAGAUAAUCAAGUUCCUAAGGCAUUAAAACAUUCAGAUGACUCUACAGUCAUAGAUAAAAGGUCAGAUGACUGCAUAAAUUUGAUACAUGGUGAUCAUGUCAAAGGGUAUCAAUCUUUCAUACUAUUUCCACUUGAGGGGAGCAACAUCUUACAUAAACUCAAUUUUAGGGGGAGCGACUGAUAUCGAAUUCUAAUGUUGAAGGCGAUCAAUAUAUAGCUAAUUUAUGUGUUUAGGGGAGCAAGUUUGAACACUUGGUGAGGAUGUCAAUCAAACAUAUGUCAAAGUUAGACAUUAAACCAAUGCCUAAGUUGAGCAGGAUGCUCAAGACGAUGCAAAUAUAUAUGAUCAUAUUAAUGAUACUCUUUCUGUUGUAGAAUUGUUUUCUUAAUCAUAAGAAAUCUAUGAGUAUGUUGAUCUUCACUUUGAUUUAUCUUAUCCUCCAAUGGAGAAGUGGACUCGUGAUUAUCCCAAAGAAAAAAAUUCAUGGUAAUUGAUAAGUUAUAAAACAAACGAGAAGAUCGAUUAGAUCUUUGUAACAGGUAUUGCGAUGAACACAAAACAAUAAAUAAGACAAGAGUGGAUCAAAAUAUGUCGAAUGAUUAGAUCAAACAAUCCUCAGCAGAGCUUGACUAAGAACUUCCGCUGUAGAGGAUUUAGGGUUACAAGAACGAUAAUAAUAAAAUUCUGAAUAAUGCUCUGAUCAUUCUAUUCUAUCGUUAACCUAAGAUGCAUGCAAGCACCUAUAUUUAUAAUAAACCCUACUAAACUCACGGAUGGACAGGCCCAUACCGGAGAUACAAAAAUGGACUUGCUAACGAGCCCAAUAGAUGCAACAUAUAAAACACGACCCAACAAUCUCCCCCUUUGCAUCAAAUUGGAGAGAGACUACUUCUUUUUCUUGCUUGGGCCAGCAACGGAAACUUUCUUCGUAGUAUCAAACAGACGAGAGAUUAGCGCGAGAAUAGUCUGUCUGAACCGAAUGUACCAUUGAAUCAUGUCAUCGAAGUACUUGACAUCAUCCGCUGUGUUCUGCUUGCAUCUGUGGAUGAUCCCCAAAACAUGCUCUAAGCAAGCAGUGGUGUAGAGGUGUUUGUCAGCCAAGGCGAAAAGACAUUUCUGUCCUUCGUUCCUGGUGAACAUGACCGAAUUCCUUCUCGAGUCAAUUUUACCCAUCUGCAUUUGGUUGAGAUCACUGGCAGAGCCAACAGGAGAUAUUGUUGGUUUCUUCUUAAAUACGCUUGCAAUCUCCUGAUCCAUCAGUGCAACUUCCAUGAUGUAGCACACGAGCAUCCUCUUGAAAUGGUCGAUGAUCGGACCGUAUUCAGCUUCGUUGGUGAGUAGGAUGUUGUGCAAGAUAAUCCAAUCAUGGGGAUUAAGGUUUGGAAGAUCUGCAAGGGAAAUAGCAUGUUCGGUUUUGGCAGAUCCCCGAAGUACCUUGAACCGAAUGUUAAUGAAGUUCCCUUCACUAUACAGCUUCAAGACCCGAACGUUGACAAUUUUCUCAGCGCUCCAAGUCUGAUAUUGGGGUUGAGCAGCCUUCAGAUAGAAAUUCAUCAAAUCCUGAUCAACCUGUGGAUGAGGAUGAGGGAUUUUUGCAACGUUGGAGAAGGCAUGAAAGAUGAACGCCUUUCGGGUCAGUGGCAUGUCGAACUGUGAGUCGACAGUGUUGGAACAAUCUAGAGAGAUUACAGGUUCCAGCCACAAGAUACUCGGUGUGUCAAUGGCUUCUUUUAUCAUCCUCUCGAGAGUCCAGGCAGGAAAAAGAGUUUUCCUACUCUCAAGAAGGUCGUGGGCUUCCUUCUGUUUUCAUUCGGAUUCUUCAGCCUCCCUAGCCACACGAGCAUUGAUAUCAGCAUCAUUGUUUCGACUUUUUCACUUCAACAAUUCAGUGAUUGUCUCUCUAUCUUCAUCUUCAUCUUCCUCAGCAAUCUUCUUGCAUUUAUCUUUCACACUAGAACCGGAGUGCGUUGCCUUUGAGGAAGGAGGUGGUUAAGACAUUGAUUCCUUCUCUCCCCCUUGUUUUGGAAUGGACACGAAAUCAAGUAGCCCUUCAAUUUUGCUGAGUAGAGCAAGGGCGGGAGCAAGCUUCUCUGCAAGGUCACGCCUCACAGUGUAGUUUAGAAUGGGAUCAUGUGCUUCGAGGAUGUUGGAGAUGGCAGAGUGGACAUCCAAAACACAUGACUUGAUCACCUCCCUUUUAGACCGAAGAGAGUCAAUCUCCUGUUGAGAGUUGGAGAGUUGAACAUUCUUGACCUUCAGAGCGGUGGUCUUCUUGGCUAGAACAUCCAUAAGAGAGUUCUCGGCAGCCAAAUCUUCCUGUAGCUUCGAGAGACGCUCGUCAAUGGCUGUGCGAAAGGCUGAGUUGUCGUCUGAAAGCGUUUGACGAAAUGAAGCGAAGGACUUCAACUCAGUUGAGACUGACGUUUCCAGCUGAUGAACAAUAGGUUCCAGCGUAGUUUUUGUAGCAGUGGCACUCUCCUGUAAAGACUUUAACAAGGUAGAGGCAUCAGAAAAUAGUUUAUCGUCUUUUUCGGUCGCAGCCUAACAGGCUUUUGUUGAGGCAUCUAUAGCGGAGGUUGCAGAAGCAAUGGAAUCUUGCUGAGCUCUGGAGAAAGUGUUAACAAGCUUCUGAACUGCAUCUUCAGAAAGGGAUGACUGAGAAGUGGAAGAGGUGGCGAUGAGCAAGGCAAUCUUGUCAUGGAGCUCCUUGAGAUGUCUUUUUGUGACGGCAGCUUUGUCAUCGUCAUCACUCUGUACUUGAAACGGACUAUAGUAGACCGAGUCAAACGUCAUAUUCUCCCCGCCAAAGAGUGGUUCUUCUCCCUCUGAAGCAUGACCAGGAGAAGGUGGUGAUGGUGAAGUUGGUGGUGCAGAAGUAUGGGUAGGUUCGGGUUGGGUUGUUUCAGGUGUUGGUGUAGGUUCGGGUGCUAUUGUGGUUUCGGGUGCUGGAGUGGUUUCGGGUGCAUCAGUAUGAACCCCCGUAUCAGAUAUGUUGGCUCUAACAUCUGCAGUGGAUGUUGUGGUUGCGUCGGUGAAUAUUGGUGUUGGUAUUGGGAUGGAAGUGGGUGGUAUUGAAGUAGUGGAAGUUAUGGGGGGAAUAGAAAUAGGAAUGGUUUUGGGUGGAGUGUUGCCACGUGGAGAGUCAUCAGAAUCUGAACUCUCACCCUCAGACUUGCUUGAGGAGGAAGCGAUAAUCAGCUUUCACUUCGGAUGAGUUUUUCUUCUCUUAAGCUGUGGAGACUAAGCAGGCUUGGUGGGUUUCCUCUUCUUUGGAGAUGGGCCUUUUGCCCCUUUUGCCACCUGUUUCCCCUUAUCAGCCUUUUUGCCUCUUGAAGCAGGCUUGUCGGCAUCAUGUAUUGACUUCAACAUCUCCGGAGUAAGAUCCCUCGGACCAGAACGCUUGAAUUCCUUGUAUGUCCUGAUAAUCCGACUAUCAGCAGGAACAUCACCAUACAUAGUUUCCAGAAUAGAACCGUUGAAUGGAAACUNAGCGUCCGACACAAUGAUCUUCGUGGUAUGGAAGGUACCAAUCGAAGACAUUGGAGCACCAGCGACAAUGGGGACGUGGUACUUGUCCAUCACCCAUUUCGUGAUAAGAUUCCAGAACCUCGCAUACGAAAUCUCUGAAUGCCUGAAAGUAGAGGAGAGACUCUGGAUGAGUUGUUGCCAUAGAACAGACCCAUAAUCCAUGUUGAUCCCAUUGUAGAUACCAUACAUUAUGGAUAGAAAUAAACGGCUGGAACCAUCAGAUCCAACACUUCUUUCGGAUAACCCCUUGAAGAGAACAGUGAACAUCCCAUUCCACUGUGGAGGUAGGCACGACUUCUNAUGUUAUAAACAUGUUGAACAAGUGACCCAUUGGAAUCGUUUCAGGGUUAACUCUCGAAGAAUCAGGUUCAAACCCUAAUAACGAGCAAAACCUUUGCUUUGAAAUUGACGCCUUGUGCUCAAAGACAUUAAAAAAAAUUCUGUCAACGACCUUGUCGUAGUGAGCGGUCGCAAAGAUCUGUGACAAGAACUCCAUCGGAACAGAUUCAGCCCUGGUAAGUGCAGGAGCGAUUGGAGAAAACUUCAGACACUCGAUGAUGGGGAACAUGAAGGUGUCGUAAGCAUGAGGGGUUAAAUCAAUGAUUAGGCUUUGUUGUGGGCGAAUGGGCAAAAUGUGGGAUGUUGCGUGAACGGAAGAUGAAUCUGCCAUUGCUUGAAGAAAGUGGAGAAGAUGAUGAACAGGGAAGGAUUAAGGAAUUUUUGCUCUCUGGGAAUUUUAAUUGCAGUAAAGAGGUAAACAAAGGAUUAUGUUGCCUUUUAUACUGGGGGUUAAAGAGAGAGAAAGAUCUUCCCAAAUCUUCGAUUGAAAAUCGAAGGGUUUUUCGGAGUUGACUGAUGCGUGACAGUUAGUGUUUCCGAUGAUCACGCAUGAGAGAGAAUGUCAGGUCCCUAAUAACACGCCUUCCCAUCAGGCGCCGUUUGGAGACGAGACGGUUCAGAUUCACACGCGCCCCUCUUGCGCCGUUUGGAGAUGAAACGGUUCCGAUUCGCACGCUUUCCCUUUUAGCGCCGUUUGAAAUCAAAUCGAUUAGACUACCGCCUGAGUCAGCAUGUCAUCAUCUUAUCCCUUUAAAUUGUAAUGGCAUCUUUUGAAAAAUGCUCCCACGUGGAUUAAAAUCAACCACAGCCUUUAAUCAACCGCCAAUCCAAGUAAAAUGCCUUGUAAUUAAUAGAACCUGAAUUUAGGAAAAUCAAAGAUUUUCGUGCUUAGCGUGUAAAAGAAAAGAAACAACGCAAUAUUUUUGGGAAAAUAUGUGAUGUCAAUAAAGACACGAAACAAAUGAUCCCGGGCACGAAUCUCUUCCUUCAAAGUCAAGAGAGACCUUAAAGUGUUUGUGUGGUUUCCCGUUGAAUAACGAUCAAACACUUAUUAAGAAGUGUUGAAAGGCUUCUUUUAACUAGGCUUAUUAGGGUGGCUUUCGCUUCGAUUCAAACUUCCUAAUCUUGAUAUAAGAUAGAAAGCGAACGAAGUACUUGUGAGACCGGUGUAGUCUAUUGAACAAGUAGGUUGGAGAUAAUUUAAUUUGGCUAGGAAAUAUGUAUAUAAAAUCUCAACAAAAAUUUAAAACUGGAUCCCAAGGGAAGAAAUGUUAUUGGUGUUAACAAUUUCAUAGGAAUCACACAAAAGAAAAUUUUGAGAUUUCAUGGAGGUACGUCCGUCAAUGCAUUAGUGAAAACUAGAGCAAAUUAAUUGUUCACCGUCAAUUCGUAUUGGGUAUUGAAUUUUGGGUUUCACUUAGAUCGUAGUGGCACGAAACUAAGAUCAUGAACACAGUAAUUGUGUAACCAUAAACCUCAGUGGUAAUUUCUGAGAGUCUCAAGGGUUACGUUUGUGAAACGAAUGUGAUGGAGAAAUGCAAUUUAGAUGGUGUAAGAAAUCAAAGUACCUCUGCUGUGAAAAAUAGGACCAAGCAGAAAACUCUUAUCUCAUGUGAGAAGAGAGUUAGGUAGCUCAUGAUUAGAAUAAAUAUGAUAGCCUAAUUGGGAAGACAAGGUUUGUGUAUACCAAGUCAUUAAGGCUAUUAUUCAGAAUCAGGUGAGGCUUUGGACACAUACAGCAGCAUGCUUCUAGGGACACUUAGCUAAUUCAACAAUUUCCCCAUAAACGAACACACAAAUAAAAUUAAAGCCAAAAAGAAAAUAAAGAACAAAAUAUUUUUGGAGUUUUUGAAUUUAUAUAAAAAAUAUAUUUUUGGAAUUUUUUGAUAAUAAAAAAAAAUAAAAUGAAAUAAAACAUAAGACAAAAAAAAAAACAGAAAAAAAAAAUUGGAACCGAUCCCGAACGUUCGGUGUAUUUUGGUUGUGAAAAACUUUGGAACCGAACCCGAGCGUUCGGUCUAUUUUGGGUGAGAAAAAUUUUGGAACCGAACCUGAACGUUCGGUAUAUUUCGGUUGCCAAAGAAAAUAGGUUUUAAAAAGAGAAUAACUUUGACAAUAAGAUAAAUGCAUUUGGAACAAUUAUACAUAAGAUCUACAACCAAGAAAACUACCUUUGAUUGAUGAGCGAAAAGCAGAUUAUUCAACCGAACCCGAGCGUUCGGUUCAUUUCGGUACAUUAGUACAAGACCCGAACCCGAAUGUUCGGUCUAUUUCGCUUCUUACUUUUGAGUUUGAGAGGUAAUUUUUGGUACUGACUCCGAUUCCAUCAUACCUAGCCCCUGUAGAAUUUUGUUGAACGACGCUUCAAGAAGAGCUUUGGUGAAGAUGUCAGCCAGUUGAUCAGUGGUUCGAACAAAAUGAAUUUCGACGUUCCCAUCUUCCACAUGAUCCUUAAUGAAGUGAUACCUCAGUGCUAUGUGCUUAGUCUUGGAGUGUUGCACUGGGUUAUGACAGAUCCUAAUUGCACUUUCAGAGUCACAAUAUAGUGGGAUCUUUUUCAUAUUGAGUCCAUAGUCCUGGAGUUGACUUUGGAUCAAAAUCACUUGAGAAGUACAGGAGGUAGCUGCAAUGUAUUCUGCUUCAGCUGUAGACAAAGACACACAAGUCUGUUUCUUUGAUUGCCAGCUAACUAACUUCCCGUCAAGGAAUUGGCAGCCUCCUGUGGUGCUUUUCCUGUCUAGUCCACAUCCUCCCAGGUCUGCAUCUGAGUAGGCUUGAACGAAGAAGCCUGAGUUGGAUGGAUACCAUAGGCCUAAAGAGGUAGUUCGCUUGAGAUAACGGAGUAUGUUCUUCACUGCAAGCAUAUGAGGUUCACGUGGAUUCGCCUGAAAUCUAGCACAGUAACAAACAGAGAACAUUAUAUCAGGCCUGCUAGCAGUAAGAUACAUCAGAGAACCGAUCAUCUGGCGAUAUAGCGUAAUAUCAACUGCUGGCUUAUCCAAGGAUGGAGUGAGCUUGGUGCCGAACGCCAUUGGAACUUUAACCUUUGAAUCUCCCAUCAUGCCAAAUUUUGCAAGGAGAGUCUUCGUGUAAGCUUCCUGAUUAAUAAAGAUGCCUUCGGGUCCCUGUCUAAUAUUUAAACCAAGGAAAAAGUUAAUUGGACCCAUUGAGCUCAUUUCAAAUUUAGUCUCCAUCAGCUUUCUGAAUUCAGCCGUUAAGCUAGGAUUCGUUGAGCCAAAGAUGAUAUCAUCGACAUAAAUUUGAACAAUCAUAAGGUGGUUACCUUCCUUCUUACGAAAGAAGGUUGGGUCAACCGAACCUUGUUUGAAUUUGGACAUCUUUAAAAACUUGGUUAGCGUUUCAUACCAGGCCCUCGGAGCUUGUUUCAGUCCAUAUACGGCUUUGUCCAAAAUGUAACAGUGAUUGGGGUACCUUUCAUUGACGAAUCCAGGAGGUUGCUCCACGUACACCGUUUCUUCAAGUUCUCCAUUUAGAAAUGCGCACUUGACAUCCAUUUGGUAGACCUCAAAGUUUUUGUGUGCAGCAUAGGCAAGAAAUAUUCUAACGGAUUCCAGCCUAGCUACAGGAGCAAAAGUUUCUUCAUAGUCGAUUCCUUCCUCCUGACAGUAUCCUUUCACCACCAGACGGGCUUUGUUUCGUAUCACGUUGCCUUCCUUGUCCAUCUUAUUUCUGAAGACCCAUUUGAGACCAACAACUGAGGCAUCUUGAGGAGUUGAAAUGAGGCACCAAACUUUAUUCCUUUCGACUUCAUUCAGUUCGUCUUGCAUAGCUUAAACCCAAUCGGAGUGAUCAAGAGCAGUGUUAACUGUCUUUGGUUCAACUUUUGAGACGAAGGAGUUAAACAUACAGAAUUCUACUUUUGAAAAUAAGGAAGUUUGUUUUGCCUUUAGCUGUGAUCGGGUCAGGACCUUUUCAGAGACAUUACCGACAAUCUGGGAAACAAGAUGAUCUCUGGUCCAUUUGACAAGAGGAGGGUAAUUUGGAUCAUAAGAUGGAUCCAAUUCAGCGUUUACCAUCUCUUCUAGUUCAGAUUGACUGUCAUUGUCAUAAAGCAUAUCGGCAUUCUCCCCCUCGACAGAUGAGGUUUCAGGUGUAUCUUGAGUUUCCGGAGCUAUAGGGGUUUCGGGUGGUGUCGAGCUUUUGGGUGUUGACGCACCUUCGGGUGUUGUAGCACUUUCGGGUGUUGUAGCACCUUCGGGUGUUGUAGCACUUUUGGGUGUUGUAGCACCUUCGGGUGUUGUUGUGCGUUUGGGAGCAGCUUGAGAACUGUUCUCCCCCUCAACAUGUGAGCUCGGCUGUGAUGAAGAAGAUGGGUCCUUCCCCUCAACUGAAGCAUCGUGCUGUGGAGGUUUGUUGGAACAUGAUCCUCUUUCAUUCAUUUGCUUGGCAGUACAAUUCGAUUUGCAAUCGUAGCUCUCAAAGACGCUGNNNNNNNNNNNNNNNNNNNNNNNNNNNNNNNNNNNNNNNNNNNNNNNNNNNNNNNNNNNNNNNNNNNNNNNNNNNNNNNNNNNNNNNNNNNNNNNNNNNNNNNNNNNNNNNNNNNNNNNNNNNNNNNNNNNNNNNNNNNNNNNNNNNNNNNNNNNNNNNNNNNNNNNNNNNNNNNNNNNNNNNNNNNNNNNNNNNNNNNNNNNNNNNNNNNNNNNNNNNNNNNNNNNNNNNNNNNNNNNNNNNNNNNNNNNNNNNNNNNNNNNNNNNNNNNNNNNNNNNNNNNNNNNNNNNNNNNNNNNNNNNNNNNNNNNNNNNNNNNNNNNNNNNNNNNNNNNNNNNNNNNNNNNNNNNNNNNNNNNNNNNNNNNNNNNNNNNNNNNNNNNNNNNNNNNNNNNNNNNNNNNNNNNNNNNNNNNNNNNNNNNNNNNNNNNNNNNNNNNNNNNNNNNNNNNNNNNNNNNNNNNNNNNNNNNNNNNNNNNNNNNNNNNNNNNNNNNNNNNNNNNNNNNNNNNNNNNNNNNNNNNNNNNNNNNNNNNNNNNNNNNNNNNNNNNNNNNNNNNNNNNNNNNNNNNNNNNNNNNNNNNNNNNNNNNNNNNNNNNNNNNNNNNNNNNNNNNNNNNNNNNNNNNNNNNNNNNNNNNNNNNNNNNNNNNNNNNNNNNNNNNNNNNNNNNNNNNNNNNNNNNNNNNNNNNNNNNNNNNNNNNNNNNNNNNNNNNNNNNNNNNNNNNNNNNNNNNNNNNNNNNNNNNNNNNNNNNNNNNNNNNNNNNNNNNNNNNNNNNNNNNNNNNNNNNNNNNNNNNNNNNNNNNNNNNNNNNNNNNNNNNNNNNNNNNNNNNNNNNNNNNNNNNNNNNNNNNNNNNNNNNNNNNNNNNNNNNNNNNNNNNNNNNNNNNNNNNNNNNNNNNNNNNNNNNNNNNNNNNNNNNNNNNNNNNNNNNNNNNNNNNNNNNNNNNNNNNNNNNNNNNNNNNNNNNNNNNNNNNNNNNNNNNNNNNNNNNNNNNNUUAGUAGUUAGAUAACCUAGAAAUUUGUAAAGUGUAACUGACAUUUAAUGAUGAAUAAAAGUUGUUUUAUUUAUGAGUAAGGUGUUGCUAUCUCUUGUCGAUCGUUUACUAUAUUUCUUUUGCAUGUUUUGACUUCCAGAAUAAUUUUUGUUUGGUAUAACAUAUUAUUCAAACCUCCACAGUCAGUCAUAUGUCGGAAGUAGGUAUGAAUCAAGACUGUCAUGUUUGGUUGUAGAGGUCUUGGACAAGGCUACAGCAAUCAUGAGUGCUCAUAAGUUCUGAGCAUUGGACUCAACCCACGCUCACUGGAAUCACUUCAUGGAAUUCUAUCUCGAGUGAUCGUGAGACGGUAAUAUCAUAUAAGUCUUCAAACCUAGAGAUAUGAUUUGUUACUUACAAGUUGGUUAUGCAUUGACUGUACGAAACCGCAUUGGUAACUCGAUGUUAUAAAACGUACUUUUGUGUGUAAUUCAAUGAGUGGUAGAACAAACAUAUGAGUCGAAGUUUAUCUGUUCCUUCUUGGAUUAGAAGCUGAUAUCUGGGCCCCUCGAUGAUUUUGUUUUGACCCAUGUACCGGGCCCGGUCAGAACUAAGUUGAUGUGUUCAAUUAAGUUCUAUGUCAAACAAAUCGGAAAUCGGGAAACAAAUGCUGGACAAUAAGCAAGACAAUGUUCCAUGUAUUUGUCCGGCUGAUAUCUAGAACAGAGGAUUAUAUGAUCACUUAUCUAAAAUGGCGUAUCAUCAUCUUCUCAGUUCCGAGAGACCUUGAAAGAGCUACGAUUGCCGGUCGGUUCCUGAAGUACUAGAGAUAUAGUUAUUAGACUUAUCCAAGUGGGAGACUGUUGGAUAAGGUGUCUAAGUCCAUAACUAUUUCUGGUAUGUACUUGACCCGACCCGGCAUGGUCCAUUUGGGUUGCAUGGCACCAUGCAAUUGGUUAGACUAAAUGAGAGAAAUAACAUUUGGAGAUUAUUAAUAUAUUAUAAGUUCUAAUAUAUUAAUAAUAAUAUUUGAUUAGUUUGAUCAAUAAUUAAUUUAGAAUUAAUUAAGUGGUCAAAAGUGAACUAAUUAAAUAUAUGGGUUGAUCAUGUAAAUCAUCCAUAUCUUGUAUAGUGGGCUAAGAGGCUCCAUGGAUUAUCAAGUUGGGUUCUACCCAUAGGAUGCUCCAUGGAUGCUCCAUGGGAGUUACAAACCCAUGGGUCAUGGAAAUGAAGAGUCAUGACACAUUAGGGUUUACAUGGUGUAACCCUAGAUGUGUCAACACUAUAUAAGAAUCAUAUUCUCCACCAAAAUCGGCUACACUAAGAAAACAAGAGGGCUUGGCCGAUUUCAAGAAGUGUGUGUUCUCUCAUAAGUAUUUACAAGAGCAUUUGGUGUUGUGUGAAGCAUUUGAGGCAUCACACUUGGGGUGCUAGGCUCACAAGGUUUCAAGGAACAAAAGCAACAACAAGGUAAGUUAUUCUAUCUUUCAUUCUAGUUAAAAUUGUUCCCCAUGUAUGAUAGAUAGGAAUAUAACCUUGGAAAUCCAACUUUGCAUGAUAAUUAGACAAACAUAGAUCCACGGUUAUUAGGGUUGCAUGUACACUUAGGAAGUGUUAGAAUGCUCAAAACCCAUCAUCUCUUUCUUCAGCUUCUUUUACAAUUUUGUCGUUGAGAUCGAUUUCCCUUUCCCUCGCCUUCCGCUUCAACGCAUCAGCGAUUGUUUCCUCUUCCUCAUCAUUGUCAUCCACUAUUGGACCCUUGCCUUUAUCCUUAGGACCCGAACCUGAAGCAUGCUCAGUCUUUUGUUGUUCUGGCUGGGAAGUGGGAGGAGGUUGAAACAAAGAUGUGCGUCCUUCUCCCCUUGUUUCGGAGGUACCAUCGCCUAUGAAACACCUUCAAUGCGACUCAACAUCCCAAGGGCAGGACGGAAUUUGUCAGCAAGAUGCGUCUAACAGAAAUAGUCAGAAUAGGGUCAUGAGCCUCCAAAACGCUCAAGAGAAUAGCGUGGAUAUCGGAGACACAGCUUUUGACGACAUCCCUUUUAGAGCGAAGCUGAUUAGCCUCGUUGUUCGCCUGAGAAAGUUGGAGAUUUUUGGUCUUGAGUUGAGUGGUCUUGCGAGCAAGCUCAUGCAUGAGUGAGUUCUCCAUGGCUAGAUCAUCUUGAAGCUUGGUGAAACGCUCAUUGAGAGAGGAAAAAAGAGCAACAUUGUCCUUUUGAAUAUCUUGGCGAAGAUUGACAAAAAUUUUCUUCUCAGCGGCAAAUUCUUCUUCGAGCUUGGUUAUUGAGUUGGUCACUUUAGAAGCGUUCAACUCAGCUGCUCCCUAUAAGGACUCAAGAAAAAUGUUAGCAUCUUGAAUUAGUUUAUCGACUUUUUCGGUCGCGUCGGUACACACUUUGGUUGAAGCGGUAAUAGCAUCUAUGGCACGAGAAAUGGAAGCCUCAUGUGCUUUGACAAAGGAGUCAAGCAUUUUCUGAAUAGCAGAUUUAGAAUUUGGAUUGUGAGAGGAAGAAGAGGCCAUGAGAGUGUCAAGUUUUGAAUUCAGCUCCUUGCAACUCUUUUUGGUAAGAGGAGCAUCAUCAUCUUCAUCACUUUGAACACGAUAAGGGUUGUAGUAGAAGGAAUCAAAUUCCAAGUCUUCUAUACCAAGGACAGUGUUGGUUUCGGUUGAAGGUGUGGGAGAUAAUGGUUUGGUUGUUUCUUGGACUGAAGACCGAACCCCUGUAUCAGAUACGUUGGUUUGAUCUCUAGUGGUGGUUGUUUUGGUUGCUUGAGAAAAGAGAGGAGUGGGAAUAGGAAUGGUAGAGGUAGGUUCGGAUGUGAUAACUGGGAAGGUUGUUGGUAAGGAAAUUGGAAUAGAAGCAGGUGGAGAAGAAGGAACUGGGGAGCGAACAGGUACCUCAGGUGUGGGUGAUCUAGGUGGAGUAUCACCACGAUCCGAAGCCUCCUCGUCAGAUCUUUCGCUCUCUGAUUCUGUAGGAGUAGGAGGUUUGUUGCCUGGAGGAACAUACUCAGAAUCUGAAUCACUAGAGGAUUGAAGAAUAAGUCUUCGGGCUGGAUUUUUGAGCUUCUUCUGCUUAGGCUUUGAAGGAGCAGUUUCGUCUGACUUUUGCUUCUUUGGGGUUUGCCCCUUAGCUGGUUUAAUGACUCUCACAUCCUUUUAUUUUUCGGGUUUCUUUCCCUUCUUGAAUGACGUCAACGAGUCAAUUUCGGGUCAGGUCAAAGUCAAACGAAGUCAACGAGAAAAACUGGUCGACUCAAUUAAACCUUGUAUAUUAGGGUUUACUUUAUGUAAUUACUGUACAACUCACUAUUUUAAUAAGAAAGCAUCAUUUGGAAACUCGUGUGUUUAAUUUUCCUUAGCCUUGAUAGUGCUAAAACAUGAACCAAAGCGAUAAAACACUAUUUCACACUCAUCGGGAGUGUGUAGUACACUAAAACAUGGCUUAACGAGGUUUACAAACAUUGCGUUGCGAAUCCGGAUACUUAAAAAGGUCAUAAAUGGAACCACUCUUAAAUCUCUUUCACUCUAUCUCUCCAUAUUAGAAAUCUCUCCCAAAUCUCUCCAAGUAUGUCAAAUCUCUCCUAAAUCUCUCCAAGAAUAUGGAAUCUCUCCCAAAUCUCUCUCAAAAGUUUCUGUAACUUUUUGUAAUCAUUUGGACCAUCCCGACCCAUAACCGGGUCAAAAACGGCUUGAAACGGUGUAAAAACGAGUAAAGUAGCCAUAAGGACCCGAAACCUACUCUAUAGGGCCGAACCCUCUUAGAGCCAAAAGUCCUCUUAAGGACCGAACUGCUGAGAAGCGAACUCUAGGUUCGAACCCGAAGCCUCGAAGACUACAUUUACACAUUAAUCAAAAUAUUGGAUUUUCUGGAACGCACACUACUUUUAAAAGAAAAGGAUUUCAUAAUUGUAUACAAAAACUUAUGAACCCACCAACCUUUGUGUUGACACUUUUUCAAACCACUUGUAUUCUCAGGGAAUCACUAAAUAGGUAAUCAAGUUCUUUUGAGGAUGGGACGUUAAGGCGUCAAACAUUUCACAUUUUGUCAACAUAUUGUAAUUGAUUUGGAAACAUGUAAUUCAUACAAUGAUGUAACUUUUUCAAUUAUAUAUAUGUUGGUUGUGUUUGCUUAAAUCACUAUUGCAAUUGUUGUUAUCAUGCUAUACAUGAAGUCCUCCACCCCCGGACGUUUCCACCAUCCUUGGUCUAGGGGUGUGACAGACACACAGGCAUACAUAGCUUCUGGAAUCGAUCCAAUGAAGAAAAACUUGGAAGGAUCUGUGACGAUAAUCUUUGUUGUGUGAAAUGUUGCGAUAGAUAAGAGAAGGGAGUCCGCCAUGAUUGGAACGUGAAGGCGAUCCAUUGCCCACUUUGUGAUAAUUGACCAGUACUUGCCACAUGAAAUCACAGAAUGGGGAGAAGAAGAGUAUAAACUCUGAACACGUUGUUGCCAUAUGACCACCCCAAAGUCCAGAUUUACACCAUUGUACAACCUAUAAAGCAUAGUCAUAAAUGACUUGCUUGCUCCAUCUGAUCCAGCGCUACGCUCUGAGAGGCCCUUGAAUAAGAGAGUAAAGAGGCGGUUCCAUUGUGAGGGAAGGUAAGACUUAGGGUUUCAGUGUACCCCAUUUGGUAGAACAUCGAGAACAGUUGACCAGUAGUGAUGGAGCCAGGGUUUACCAAAGUGGCUUCGCAAGCAAGACCAAGUAGGGCACAAAAGAGAUUCUUUGAAAUCGAGAUCUUCUCGUUGUGAAUGUCAAAGUGAAUCCUCUCAGCAACCUUGUCAUAAUAAGCGGUUGAAUAGAUGUGAGAGAGGCAAGUCAUGGGAACCACUUCCACCUUUGUAAGAGCAUCGAUAAUUUGAGAGUAUUUGAGACAUUCUACCACGUACAACAUGUAGGGUUCAUAGACGAAUGGUGUAAGGUAAAUGAUGAGGUUUUGUUGUGGCUUAAUGGUCAGAAGGUUGGAGUGAACAGAGGUAUCUUGAACAGAAGACGAUUCCGCCAUUGAUGAAGCUUGAGUAGAAGAUGAUGAACAGUCAAAGAAAUCGCCUUUUUCUUUUAGAAGAUUUUUGAGUGGUAAAAGAGUAAAGUUGAUCGUGAGAAACCCUUUUAUACGUGAGAGUAGGAGAGAGAAUGAUCCGGCUAAAAUCUCAUCCUUUUGUUAAACGUUUCCUGAUGCGAUGAGUAGUAGACAGUUGGCCACCCCGAUGAUGACGCAGGAGAGAGAAAAUACGUUUCAUUUUUUACGCGCCUUUCCAUAGAAAGUACCUUUUUCAAAUCGACGAAACGAUUGGAUAAUAGCUGACUCAUCCAUUAUGAUUUAUCUGAAAUGUCACCCACAUAAUUUACAUGAACCGUUGUCAUUCUUAUUAUAUCGAUUGAAAAUCAUCAUAAUGCUUUUUAGAACCCAAGCUAUAAAGUUAGCUCAUAUAUAAAAUAGAACCAGACUUUUGGAAAAUCAAUGAUUUCCAUGCAUAGAGUGUGAAUGAAAUAGAAAUAAAUCGAACUUUAUGGGAUAUUGUGAUGUCAAGUAAGACAUGAAACAGUAGAUCCCGGGCACAAAUCUCUUCCUUUCAAGUCAAGAGAGACUACAAAGUAUCUCUGUGGUUUCCCAUUAAAAUACGAUCAAAGACUUUUGAAGAAGGAAUGAAACGCAUCUUUUAGAUAUGAGGCAUGUAAGGGUGGCUUGCUCUCUAAUUCAAAUUUCGGUACUCGAUAUAAGACCAAAAGAGAAUGAAGUACUUGUGAGACCAAUGUGGUCUGUUGAACAAGUAGGUUUGAUAUGUAUUUAGUAGCUUGUUGAAACUGAGAAAUCUCAAUAUAUAUAUAUAUAUAUAUAUAUAUANNNNNNGAAACUGAGAAAUCUCAAAAAAAUAUAUAAUUGGAUCCUUGGGGAAGAAAAGUCUUGGUGAUAGACAUUUUCAAAAGAAUCUCUCAAAAUAAAAAGAGAUUUCAUUGGUGAAAGCUAGAACAUAGUAAUUGUUCACCGUCAAUGCAUUAAGAGUAUUGAAUUGUGGGUUUCACUUAGUACAUAGUGACACGAGACUAAGAUCAUAAACAUACAUUUUUGUGUAACCAUAAACCUCAGUGGUAAGUGCUGAUAGUCUCAAGGGUUACAUGAGUGAGAUGAAGUGUAAUGGAGAAAAAUGAUGGAGGUGGUUUAAGAAGCAAAUGUACCUCUGUUAUAAAAGUAGGACCUAGCAGAAAACUCUAAACUCAAUAUGAUAAGAGUAAGGUAGCUCUCGAUUAGAGUGAACGCAACAGCCUACUUUGGAAAACAUGAUUUGUAUCUAUAAAAUUAUUAAGGCUUUACUCAAAAUCAUUUGAGGCUUUGGUCAACAAGCAGCAACAUGCAUCUAAGGACACUAAACUAGUCUUAUGAAAAGAAUUUAUACGUUUUGCAGCUCCAGCAUAGAGAGUAUUUUUGAAAUAAAAUGAAAAAUAAGUGUGAAAGAAAAAAAAUAAGAAAAUUGAAAUAAAAUGAAAAAUAUUUUUGUAUUUUGUUAAAAAUUUCGAAAGAAAAAUAAAAGCAAAAACAAAAUUAUUUUUGUAUUUUAUAUACAUACAUAAAAAUUUGAAAAGAAAAACCUAAAAAUAAGUGUGAAAAAGAGUAUACAAAAGAAUACAUCCAAAGUCCCUUUUAAUGAAAAAGUAGCGAACGAGUUCAGAAGGAUCGAACCCGAAAUAGACCGAGCGUUCGGUUCAAUUCGGUUCCCGGGUGGACCGAACCCGAAAUAGACCGAGCGUUCGCUCUAUUUCGCUUCUUACCUUUAAUGAAGCGAAGGCGAUUUUGGUACUAAUUCUGCUUCCAUCAUUCUUAGGCCUUGUAAGAUCUUAUUGAAACUUGCUUCAGGUAAAGCCUUGGUGAAACAAAGCUGGUCUUUGAUCAGUGGUCCUAACAAAAUGAAUUUCUACGUUACCAUCUUCCACAAGAUCUUUGAUGAAGUGAUACCGCGGUGCUAUGUGCUUUGUCUUCGAGUGUUGCAUUGGGUCAUGAAAAAUCCUAAUUUGCACUUUCAGAGUCGCAAUAUAGUGGGAUUUUCUUCAUGUUCAGCCCAUAGUCCCUAAGCUGACUCUGUAUCCAAAAAACCUGAGAUAUGCAUGAGGUGGCGGCUAUAUAUUCAGCUACACCCGUGGAGAGAGAGACACGAGUUUGUUUCUUUGAUUUCCAGCUAACCAAUUUACCAUCUAGAAAUUGGCAUCCUCUAGUAGUGCUUUUACGAUCCAAUCCACAACCCCUUAAGUCAGCGUCUGAGAAUGCCUGGACAAAGAAACCUGAGUUGGCUGGAUACCAUAGACUGAGAGAGGAAGUUUGCUUCAGAUAGAGAAAUAUGUUCUUCACUGCUAGCAUGUGAGGUUCGCGUGGGUUAGCUUGGAAUCGGGCACAAUAGCAAACUGAGAACAUGAUGUCGGGUCUGCUGGCUGUGAGAUACAUCAGUGUCCCAAUCAUCUGACGAUAAAGCGUUAUGUUAGCAGCUAGCUUGUCCAAAGAUGGUGUAAGCUUAGUUCCAAAAGCCAUAGGGACUUUCACUUUGUAGUCUCCUAACAUCCCAAACUUGGAAAGUAACGUCUUUGUAGAUGCCUCCUGAUUGAUAAGAAUGCCUUCGGGUCCCUGUCUAAUAUUUAAGCCAAGGAAAAAGUUAAUUGGACCCAUCGAGCUCAUCUCAAAUUUAGUUUCCAUUAACUUCCCGGAUUUAGCUGUUAGAUUGGGAUUCGUGGACUCGAAGAUGAUGUCAUCAACAUAAAUUUGGACUGUCAUAAGGUGGUUACCCUCUCUCUUACUAAAGAAUGUUGGGUCAAACGAACCUUGUUUAAAUUUAGACAGUUUUAAGAAUCGAGUUAGGGUUUCAUACCAUGCUCUGGGAGCCUGCUUCAGGCCAUAUACUGCUUUGUCUAGAAUGUAGCAGUGAUCUGGAUGCUUCUCGUUCAUGAAGCCUGGCGGUUUCUCAACGUACAUAGUUUCUUCAAGUUCUCCGUUGAGAAACGCACACUUUACGUCCAUUUGAUAAACCUAAAAGUUCUUGUGUGCAACAUAAGCAAGAAACAUUCGAACCGACUCUAAUCUUGCAACUGGAGCGAAGGUCUCUUCAUAAUGUAUACCUUCCUCUUGACAGUAUCCUUUCACCACCAACCAGGCCUUGUUGCGAAUCACAUUCCCUUCCUUGUCCAUCUUAAUUCUGAAUACCCAUUUCAGACCGACAAUCGAAGCAUCAUUUGGAGUUGGAAUUAGAACCCAUACUUUGUUUCUUUCAAACUCGUUCAGCUCGUCUUGCAUGGCUUGAACCCAAUCAGAAUGAUCAAAAGUUGCAUUCACCAUCUUCGGUUCAACAUUGGAGAUGAAGGAGUUGAACAUGCAAAAUUCUACUUGAGAGAAUAGUGCAACUUGUUUCGCUUUCAGCUGUGAUCGAGUUAAUACCUUUUCAAAAGAUUCCCCAUGAUUUGACUUUGAGGAUGGUCUUUGGUCCAUUUAAUGAGAGGAGGUUAAUUUAGAUCACAAGAGGGAUCCAGUUCUGCAUUGAUUUCUUCUUCCAAUUCUGAUUGUGUAUCAUCAUCAGUGACAUUCGUAUUCUCCCCCUCGAAUGAUGACACGAGUUCAAUUUGUAGAUUAGAACGCUCCCCUUCGUUUGGACUUUCGGUUGAACUUGAUGAUUGUGAUGAUGAAUUCUCCCCCUGAAAUGAUGAACCUUGAUCAUUUGGUAGAGACGAACCCUCCCCCUGGAUAGAAGAACAGUCACCAGAAGGUUCGCUUAAGUCAGGCCUUUCAGUUGCCCUUGGUUGUUCAGUUGCCAUCUUAUGUGCAACAUCGUCAAUAAUUUUCUUUAAACUGUUGAUUCUGUUAUCUUCAGCCUUGGACUCAGAAUCAAUAGAUUUUUUUGGUUCAUCGAAGAGAAGCAUAUAUUGCUCGAAAAGAUUUGAAAUAGGCACAGUGACUUGACUAGACUUUGGAAAGAUAUCCUGCAUUGCACCUUCAGUUGCCUUCAACUUCUUGACAUAAUUGUCAUCGAAAGUGAUAUAGUAUGUAUCUUCAAUCUUCUUUGAGCGUUUAUUCAGAACUCUAUACUCCUUAGAGUUCAAGGAGUAGCCCAGAAAAAUCCCUUCAUUAGCCUUAGUAUCAAACUUGUUUCUAUUCUCCUUUGAAUUGAAAAUGAAGCAUCUUGAACCGAACACGUGAAAGAACUUCACAUUUGGCUUACGGUUGUUCAAGAUCUCAUAAGGAGUGAUUAAGAAUCGCUUGUUUAGAUAUGAUCUAUUCUGAGUGUAACAAGCAAGAGAAAUAGCAUCAACCCAUAAAUAUAAAGGAAAGGAAGCGAAGCUCAGCAUAGUUCGAGCCGCUUCGAAUAGAGAACGAUUUCUCCUUUCGACGAUUCCAUUCUGCUGUGGAGUAUAUGGAGCAGAGAAAUUGUGAGUUGUUCCCUUCUCAGCUAGAAAUCUUCUAAAUUCUUGUUCUAAAAUUCCAAGCCAUUGUCGCUUCUCACAUUACGAACCACUUUUCGUAGUUGAACCUCUACUUGCUUUAUGAAGAGUUUGAGCUUGGGAGUUGCUUCUGAUUUUUGCUUCAAGAACAAUACCCAAUUGAAGCGAGAGAAGUCGUAUAAGAUGACAAGAAUUUACUUGUUUCCACCAAUUCUUUCAAUGGAGGAAGGACCACAUAGAUCGAUAUGUAGCAGCUCUAAUGGUUCUAUAACCUUUGUGUUGAUAAUAGAAGGAUGACUUUGUCGACUUUGCAUUCCAAUUUCACAAGCUGCACAAAGAUGUUCUUUGUCAAAUUUGAGAACUGGAAGACCUCGAACGUGAUCUCCAAGUACCAGCUUGUUGAUAUCUUUGAAAUUAAUAUGAGAGAGCCUUCGAUGCCAUAACCAACUUUAAUCUGAGUGUGCCUUCGUUAGCAAGCAAACAGCUAGUUUCCCUCGAAUUGGAUUGAGAUUCAAAGGGUACAUUUCCCCCUUUCGCAUCGAUUUGAACAAUAUAUUAUUUGACUUCUUUUCGACAAUCUUUGAGCCUUCUUCAUCAAAGGAGACCUUCAAUCCGGUCCCAACUACCAGCUGUGAGACACUGAUGAGGUUGUGCUGCAACCCUUCUGUUGGGUUUUGAGCAUUCUAACACUCCUAAGUGUACAUGCAACGCUAAAUACCUUGGAUCUAUGUUUUCUCUAUUAUACAUGCAAAUAUGAACAUCCAAGAUAUUAUCCUAAUCUAAGCUAUAAAACAAUGAAUAUAACAAGAUAGAAUACAUACCUCUUUAAUGUAGAAUGUCUUCAUGAAGCUUGAGUGCCUAGUUCCCCACGUGUGACACCUCAAAUGGUUCACACAACACCAAAUACACUUGGAAUAACUUGAGAGAAAUCUACACUUCAUGAAAUCGGCUAGCCCUUCUUUUUCACUCACUAGUGGCCGAUUUUGGUCAAGAAUAAGAUGCAUAUAUAGUUAGGGUUACACCAUGUAAACCCUAAAUGUCAUGGUCUUUCAUUUCCAUGAUCCAUGGGUACAAAUACACCAUGGAGCAUCCAUGGACCAUCCUAUGGGUUUUAGCCCAACUUGAUUAUCCAUGGAGCAUUAGCCCACUAUACAAGUAUGGAUGAUUUACACAAUCAACCCAUAUAUUUAAUUAGUCUUCUUUUGAUCACUUAAUUAAUCCUAGAUUAAUUCUUGAUCAAUACUAAUUAAAUAAUCUUAUUAUUCUUAUUAUUAAUAUACUAGAACUUAUAAUAUAUUAAUAACCAUAAGUGUCUUAUUUCUCUCAUUAUAGUCUAUCCAAGUGCAUGAUGGUAUGCAACCCAAAUGGACCAUGCCGGGUCGGGUCAAGUCUUACCAAAUAUAGUUAUGGACUUAGACAUUAAUCCAACAGUCUCCCACUUGGAUAAGUCUAAAACUAUUAUUGCGUAUGACUUCAGGAACCAACCGGCAAUCGUAGCUCUCAAAAGCUUCUGUCGAACUCUGACCUUGUAGAUGAACUCUGACCUUUGUCAGUGACUUGUCCAUUAGAUAAGGGAUCAAAUAUUCCUCCAUUCUAGAUAUCAUAUGGACUAAGACAUGGAUUAUAAUCAUUCUCUCUGUCCAUUUGUUGUUUCCCGAUUUCCGAUUUAUGAUGACUGACUAAUUUAACAAAUCAAAUCAGUCCUGGCCCGACCAAGCACUUCCAUUUGUCUUCAUCAAAUCAUCGAGGGGCCCACAGAUAUCGCUUUUAUCCCGAAGGUAAAAGGAACGGAUAAACUUCGACUCAUAUGGCUUGUUCUACUACUUGUUGAAUCAUACACAAAGGCACGUUUUAUAGCACCGAGUUACCAAAUGCGUUUUCGUGCAAUCAAUGUACUAUCAACUCAUAGUAACAACUCAUAUCUCUAGGUUUGAAGAAUAUAAGAUAUUAUCGUCUCAUGAUCACUCGUGAUAAAAUCCAUGAAGUGAUUCCAAUGAGCGCGGGUUGAAUCCAAUACUCAGAACUUAUGAGCACUCAUGAGUGUUGUAGCCCUUUGUCCAACACCUUAGACCUCUACAAGCCAACCCAUGACAGUCUUAAUUCAUAUCUACUUCCAACAUAUGACCGACUGUGGAUGGUUUGAAUAACUUAGUCAUUCCGGAAGAAUAACCUAGUUUAUUCGGGAAGUCAAAACAUGCAAAGUGAAACACAAUAAUAAUUGAAUCCAAUAUGGUAUCAAAACUUUGAACAUAAAUAAAACACCUUUUAUUUAUCACCAUAUGAUUACACAUUAUUCAUUGUAUACUGUUUCAGCUAUCAACUUUAUUCUUGAAUUUAAAACAAUAGUUGUCCCAUGCUCCAAGCAUGUACACUAUGUUUUCUUAAACACUAGUCAUGCCACACACCAAGUAUGCAUACUAUGUUUGUCUAUGAUCUUUACUUUGUGAACUAGAUCAAUUGAACAUAACUUCAAUGAUUCUCUUUUCACACUCCCAAAUCCUUACUGCAAAUGCAAGAAUUCCAAAUUCAUGCCAUUUACUGAAAUCUGUUAGAUUCUAAACUUAUAUGCAUUGAUCCUCUUGUAAUGAUUAUGCACAAAGUCAGAAAGACUUGACAACAAUCAUUACAGAGUAUUCCAAAGGAGAUCAGCUCCUUGGAAACAUCCUUCUUGCAUUAAGUUUCCUAAUCUUAAACAGAUUGAAAAUUCUAACUUUGAAACAUUUCCAGAUUCCAUUUUGACUAUCACUUCUGAACAAGAGUUGCCUCCUUACAGAUUAUGUCAAUAUGGUCCUUCCAGAAUUAUCACUAUACUUCCAACUGUCCUUGAGCAACCAAUCUUUGGUAAACCUUAGAUUGUCCUCGACAAUUGUUUAAUCCUUUUAGUCAUAUCCAGUUCUAAACCUUUUCCCUUCUUAAUGCCCCAGGCAUUUGGAAAAUUUUAGAACGGAUGAAUAUAGCACAUGUAAUCGAUCCUAUAUCCGAAGCAUAUGGGACACGAUUCAUGAUGUCUCACAUAAAGACUAAACCAGUCUUUUGCUAUAACAUUUCCAUUUCUAUUUGCCAAGUUCUCAUAAUUCAGAUUAUGAAAAGGGAUGCCGUAAUCAUAAUCAAAUUUUAGAACGCAAAUAAUGGACCCAUAUACAGAAUUUCUUUAUGUUGAGCCAUUCCAACAUGAAAUUCAUAUAUAUAUAUCCUUGACUAAAUACGAUUAAAACCUCAAUCUAACCUUUUAGAUUUGAGAUGAAGUAUAAUUUCCUCUCCCUUAAUUAUAGCAAAACAAGUUUUCCCAAUUGAAACCUUUUGUUUUCUAUAAAAGUAAAUUAAUGAAAUCGUCCCUAUGGUUUGGUCAAAAUUACACGUUUGGUCCCUAACUUUUUUUUGCACUCGAAUCCUCCCUGUGGUUUGAUUUUGUUGCGUUUUUCGUCACUAUGGUUUGGUAAAAGUUGCAUAUUUGGUCCCUAACUUUAUGUAUGUAAGGGACAAAAAAUGCAAGGGAUGAAAAACGCAACAAAAUCAAACCAUAGGGACGAUCCGAGUGCAAAAAAAAGUUAGGGACCAAAAAUGCAAUUUUGACCAAACCACAGGGACGAUUUNCUUUUGUUUUCUAUAAUUAACAUUGCUAACUUGCAAUACUUAUCAUAAUUAUCAUGCUCCCACUAACAUGAUGAUUAUUAGCAUGACACUUAUGCUCCCACUAGCUUUGACAUGUACUCAGAAAUUAGCUGACUUUCUUACCAAAGUUCAGAUUUCUGAUACUAGAUUGUUUUGAUAAAACCUUAUCAUAAUCAUACACGUUCUCUUAGAUAGCUUAUAGGUGUGUCUAAACAAUUUCAAUAACUAUGAAAGGGAUGCCGUAAUCAUAGUGUUGAUUGUUUUGACCUUUGCCACUUCUCAGAAGUCCAAGUUAGUGUGCUGGUAAACCACACACACUCCACUAACGACUUUGAGAAUGCAAAUAUCACAAUUGCUAUCUAACUAAANACUUAGUGAAAGUGUUUCCUCACCAUCAUUUUCAUGAAUCGGAGAGAAACCUUAUGACACUUAGAUUUAAUGGUGUAUGUGUUCUUAUCCAUGUGAAUUGUCAAAACCAUAGUCACAAGACAAGGAUGAUGACAAAUCCAAACUCAUAUGGACUGAACUCAAUCUUAAUUGUUGGCCACCUGGCAGCUCAAGGGCCUGCCAUUGCUUCCAAGUUGUUGUGCAACCAAUUGAGAACUCUAAGAACUCAUAUGCAAAGCCAACUUUAAUUGGAAUGGGCACAGAAUAUGUCAACACGAUAGGUUAUAAACCUAAAGUCGUGUGCUAGUGACAAACUUCAGGUGUUAUUCUUGAUUAGUUCUUGAGACUUUCAAGUACCUUUAAGACUCCCACUGUCCUCUUGACCUAUAAGACUCCCUUGUCAAACAUCCAAGAGAUAGUGCAGAUUCUAAUCAAGACAAACACUUCACACAAUUGUCGUUAGUUGGUCUUUGUUUUAUCCAAAACAUCACAACUUACCAAUUUCAAAUGUACAAGAGUAGGAAACUUUUACUCUUACAUUUGACAAGUGUUUUAAACCUUCUUUAAGACAUGUCACUCAAAUUACAAUCUUGGAGUAUGACUCUAAGACUUGUAUUGGAACGAAGUAUGACUCAUCUUCUUGAUUUAACCAUUUCAACAAUUCAAGAUCCCUCUUCUUAGUCAUAAGAAUGCACUAAGAUUUCCUUAGAGAACUAAUUGUGCUAUGGUUUCUUAAUCAUUAAGAUGAUCACAAAACUGAUACUAAAGUACUCUCCCAUCUUUUCAGAUUUGAGAAACUUCUAUCCUUCUGCCUAAUUUGAUUCUUCUUAUUCGCUCUGCCAUACAUUGGAACCUUUUCCAAUGUCUCAGAGUUACACUUAAGCUUGUAAGUAUAAUCAUAUUUACUGAGUUUUAGUAAACUAUGACGAAUAGUCUUAUCGAUCUUUUGUGGUGGACUUGACCAGUGCACAAGAAUGUGUACUCAAUCCCUUAGUCCUUCACUUGACUCACACAUCCAUGUGAAGAAGUAGUUAGUCUUAAUUUUUUCAAUGCUUGAAAUUUCUCAUUAAUCAUGCUAUACAACUUGCAUGAUUCCAAGUUUCUAUCCAAUUGAAACUUGGGUGAUGAGAAUCUUUCCUUAUUUGGUAAAUUUAGACAUUACCACAAAUGAAAGAAUCAAAUUCAUAUUUCCACUCUUGCUUUUAAUGGAAUCAUAUAAGCAACAAUUUUUCCUCAAAUGCCAUUGCAAGGAUAUUUUAAAAUCAAUAAAAUCAUCAUUUUUCCUUUUAUUUUAAAAACAUUGCAGAAAAACUAUCCUUACAAUGCAAAAGAGCAUGAAAACUUUGUUGUUAUCUAUUCCUAAGCAAUAUCUCAAAACUCCUAAGAAGUAGCUCAAGAAUCCAAUCUUCAAACUAUGUGAUAGAAAUCCAUCUACGCGAUCAUAUUCAGCAUAUUCUUUCUUUAAGUUCCUUUGCUUUUCUUUGAUUCUUAAAACAUCAACAUGUGACCAAGUCACAUCAUGUAUCAAGAAUCUCAGAAUAGAAACUUAUUAGAGUUGAUAGUGAACUUUACCUGAAGUAGAGUAAAACUUAUUGACUUUAACAUCCUUAGGUAAAUUUGGCAGCUUUGUAACUAAUGCCCCUUCCUUUGGCAAUAUAAACAUAUGGAUCCUUUGGUAAUGGUACACGGAACUAUCACAGACUUAACUUUUCUCUUUACCAUUUGGUCAGCUGAGUUGACUAUGGCCGAUCCCUUUCCAUUGGGAAGAGAAAGCUUUACUGGAUAUCCAAUGUCAUCAUUGUUAAUGUCCAUAAACUUUUAGGAAGUUGAUCUUAGCAAAUAGAUAAGAUCAUUAAGGGUCUUGCGAUAGUCUAUUUCAUUGGUGUCCCAAAGGAACUCACUAUGUGACUUAGAAAGUGAUUGAGCCACCAACUUUCUCAAGACUUUGACACCCAACUCUCCCGGCUUGUCAAUAUGUGUCUACAUCUCCAAGAUGUGACCACACAUAGACCUUUACUUUCCAAUAGGGCUUGAGUGACCUUAAACUUUUCAAGAACUUAUGGGUUAGGGAGAAUAAUUGGAGGAGGUGAAAGAAGUAAGAUUUCCAAGGGACAUCAUCUUCAUUUAGGAAAGCUUGUUUCAAGAGAUUUGUGAAGAUCAUAACUGUCUAAACCAAACAUCUUUUGGGAGAUAUUCAAGAUAGUUGAUCUAAAGUCCUUAAUAUGACACCCAAUAUGAAAUAUUAAGGCUAGGACCCAACAAACUAUUUUAUAACUUAGAAGAGGUAUGCCGUAAUCCAAGCUAUAAAAUAUUUGAAGGUAGGUGAAUGACGAUUCACCAAUUUCCACCAAGAUAAACGAAAUGUAUUAUUAGGUUUUAAUUGGAUUUGAAACUCCUAGAUCUUUGAGAUUCAUUGAACUUUUCAAAGGCAUGUUUCAAUCUCGAGUGUGCCCUUCAGGUUUUGUGACUGGGAUGCCGAGGAUCACAAAACAAGGUGUGAAGUAACCAUGCAAAUCACUUGGUACCCUUAAUAAAUUACCCCUCAAUCGAUGUGCCGGUUAACCACACACGCUCCAUCGAUACUAUGAUAAAUAUUAAGUCACCCUUUACCUACCUUGUUAAGUCCAAGUUAGUGUGCCGGUUAACCACACACGCUCCACUAACGACUUAGACAAAGUGUAAAGUGUAAUUUCAUGGAUUAGCACCUUAUUCACAUUUUUCCUAAGUAACUAAGAUUGGGUAUUAUUAAGAGUUUAGUUACUUAGUAUUAUCAUUAAUACUUUUAAUGAAGGGAGAAUUCUAGUCCUGUCAAACCCGUUCGGCUAACGACCCUCCACCAGUCAAGCAAGCGGUGGGUGAGAGUGGACACCCAUUAAGUUGCCAUUUUAUAGGCAACAACCUUAUACCCACCUUAUAGACCGGCUUCGUGAAUGAGGCGUACUAGCGGUAAGACUGACUUUACUCUUAUACAUAUAUAUAUUAUUAACUUAUAAUAUUAUAAAGUAUAAGGGUUGAAUUUUAACUUUUAAAAUUCUAAGGGCUAACUUGGAAUUAAAGUAUUCAUAAGUGAAAACUUUACAAAUUCCAAAACUUGAGGGCAAGUUUUGAAACUAUUCAAAACUAAUUAAUUCCAUAACUUAUGUGUUUAAAGUAGUUUUAAUCCAAAAACUCUUCAAGUUCCAUAACUUGAGGACAAGUUAUGGAAGACUUUAAACUAAUAAAAGAAUUAACUUUUCUUUAUUUUAUAACUUAUGGAAUUAAUUAAGGUUACACUUUUUUUUUUUUUAUUUUAUUUUAUUAAAUGAAGAGACUCUUGGUCCUCCAUAACUUGAGGACAAGUUAUGGAGUCAUAAAACCAUUUAAUUAGAACUAGACUCUUCAUUUUUGUAACCUUUGCCAAUUUUUAUGAGUUUUAUGAUUCUUAAAUGUGACUUUUCAUAUAACUUGAGGACAAGUUACAAAAACACAUUUUAGAAUCAAUUCUUAGAUUAAUUUGGAUUAAAACCAACUAUCACAUAAUUUUAUUCAUUAAUCUAAAUUCACUCAUAAAACAAGGUAACACAAAAAACUUUUGGUGAUCCAUAACUUAUUCUUAAGUUAUGGAAUCCUUUAAAACAUUAACACCAAAUUUUGUAACUCCAAAAAAACUUUGAAUCAAUUUUUUUUUUAAAACCUUUUCAUAUCCAUAACUUAUGGAGGUUUCAAAAAAUAAAACUCUUUAGAUCAAACUUUUAAAACUAAUAAAAUAAUCAUAUUAUUUUAUCUUUUAUUAAAUUUGACCUAAUUCAACUCAUAAAGCAAAUUAUUCAAAUUUUACAAAUAAUUAGUUUUUCACAAGAACAAGUAAUUAUCUUAAAAUUUGACAAACUUCAUGUUUUUUUUUUUUUUUUUUUUCAACUUUGAAAAUAAAAUAUUUGCAUCAAUAUAACAGAAAACAACCCGUGGCUCUGAUACCACUGUUGGGUUUUGAGCAUUCUAACACUUCCUAAGUGUACAUGCAACCCUAAAUACCUUGGAUCUAUGUUUUCUCUAUUAUACAUGCAAAUAAGAACUUCCAAGGUAUUAUCCUAAUCUAGCAUACAAAACAAUAACUAUAGCAAGAUAGAAUACAUACCUCUUUGGUGUAGAAAGUCUUCAUGAAGCUUGAGUGCCUAGUGCCCCAAGUGUGACACCUCAAAUGGAAUCACAAUCAUCAAAACACUUAGAAUGACUUGAGAGAAUUCUACACUCAUCAAAAUCGGCUAGCCCUUUCUUCACUAUCUCUAGUGGCCGAUUUUUCCUCAAUAAUAAGAUGCUUAUAUAGUUACACAAUUAGGGUAAACUCUUAAUUGUCAUGGCUUUCCAUUUCCUUGGAUCCAUGGGUACAAAUACACCAUGGAGCAUCCAUGGACCAUCCUAUGGGUUUUAGCCCAACUUGAUUAUCCAUGGAGCAUUAGCCCACUAUACAAGUAUGGAUGAUUUACACAAUCAACCCAUAUAUUUAAUUAGUCUUCUUUUGAUCACUUAAUUAAUCCUAGAUUAAUUCUUGAUCAAUACUAAUUAAAUAAUCUUAUUAUUCUUAUUAUUAAUAUACUAGAACUUAUAAUAUAUUAAUAACCAUAAGUGUCUUAUUUCUCUCAUUAUAGUCUAUCCAAAUGCAUGAUGCCAUGCAACCCAAAUGGACGAUGCCGGGUCGGGUUAAGUCGUACCAAUUAUAGUUAUCGACUUAGACAUUAAUCCAACACCUUCAACGUAUGGUACCUUUCUGAUUGAGAAAUCGCCAUUUGUAAUCAUCCCAUAGCCUUUGAUAGUGCCAAACAAAUUAUUUCCAUAUUUUACCAUUCCACCAUCCCCGAGAGACCGAAACUCCCUCAGUUCUUCUCUUCUUCGUAUCAUGUGAUGCGAGCAGCCACUAUCAGUGUACCAUUCUUUGUUAAACUGCUCGUCACGUAUAACCUGCAAAAUAUCAAGCAGAUUUAGGAACCCAAAGUUUCUUGGGUCCUUGUGAGCCUUGAACAGGACAUGGAAUAGUAAGAGAAACAUCAACCAGAUAACUUCUUUUUAUUAGAGUUGUUUCAUCUCUUCUUUUUAUUGUAAAAACUUUGAUUUUGUUUGAAUUAGACUCAUUUGAUUUAGAUGUAGGAUUUGUAGUUUUGAAGUCUGCAUGCUUUUGGGUCUCUUUCGGCCAUCUGUCGUCUUCUGGAAAGAUAUUUCCUUUCCCCUUUGAAUGUUUAGAAGAAGAAGAAUUAGAAUAAGAAUGAGAAGAUUAAGGUUUAGAAGCAAUAUUAGAUCGUCGAUUAUUCCUCUUCCUUGGUUGAGAAUGAAAAUAUUCUUCCCUUCGGUUCUUCUAAUUGAACCUGGGACUGAACCCAUCCUUUCGGCUGCUUACAUGUUGAGGACCGAAACCUUCCUUUCGGUUACUUGCAUGUCGAGGACCGAAACCUUCCCUUCGGUUGCUUACAUGUUGAGGACUGAAACCUUCCUUUCGGUUGGCUCUUGGUUCUCCUUGUGACUUAUUUGUCUUUUCAUACCUUACGUAAUGAGGAUUCUGGGUCGCCAAAACUGGUUUCUUUCUGAGAGAUUCUUCUUGUAUCUCAGGUUACAUUGGUGUUUUCGUUCUGCCACCGGUUAUAGAUUUUUAUGAAUAUUGUCCUUUUUCUUCGGUACUUGAGCAUGGCUUUCGCUCUUUGAUGAACUCGUCUCACUGGACGCUGUCACUGGUUCGCCCGAAGAUGUUUUGGUGCCGCUUGUGCUUGGUACAUCAUAUCUUGUAGGUUCAUUAAGUGGUUCUGCCACAUACUUACCCUUCACUCUCCACGAGGUUUUCUGAGAUAGACCUUUUGUUUCAUAAGUGUUAUCUAUAGGUGCUGACCAGAAAAAUUCAUCACAUCCAUUAGCAUUAUCUUCUUCUACCAAUGCUAUCAGUUCGGCUGGUUGUUGUGGUGUGAUUCCUUGAACUGUGUAAACUUGAUUUGGAGUGGUUUGAAUCUUUUGAUAUACAACAACUUUUUCCUUGAGGAUUUUGGUCUUGUCUGUCGAUGAGCGAGUGAACUCAACGGAGUUUUUAGAAGUUAUAUUUUUACUAGUUUCGGGUUCACUCUUGACAAAUUCAGAACAGUCCACCACGUCCUCUACAGAUAUUUCACUCAUGUCAUCAUCCUCAUUAAGUUUAGAUUCAUUUUUGAACAUCAAUUUUAUUUUCUGAACUUAACUUGGCAUUUAAUGAAUAAGAUUUCGGUAUAGUUUUGGUUCUCAGUUUUAGUCUGUCGUUUUCAUCCAACAGAUUUUUGAGCAUGUCCUUAUGGUCUUUUGACUUUAUGUAGGACUCUAUUUUGUCAAGACCAAUUUUGUAGGUAGGAGAUAUUUCGUCAGAAGAUACAACAUUUUCAUAGUUGUAGGCUUCGGCAUCAACUUCAUCCUCCUUUAACUCAAGGAAGGGUAAAAUCAUGCAAUGUAUCUUCUUUACUAUUUCACAAUCAAGAUGUGACUGAGUGAUAUUAAAAUAUAAUCUUUUCGCAAUCAAACAAAAACAUUUCGUUGUUUUAAAAGCUUAAGAUUGUCUCGUUGCAAAUAGAUUAACUCAUCCUUAGACCUAAUUAAUUCCUUCUCCUUCUAAUCAAUCCAGAUUCUCCUCUCCUCACUCUUCGAUGAUAUCCUGCUAAUUUGAUCAGUCAGGUUAGAGUUUGUGACACGAGUUUGGGUAAGACUACUAUUUAAACUAGCGAAUUUAGAUUUUAAGCUAUUUAGUUCCUUUUCAUAGUUAGUAGUAGGAAUUUUCAGAGAAGUGAGAAUAUUUUAUACCUUCUUGAUCAACUCAUCACAUCCGUUGAUCUGUGCACUGACAGGUUUCGCAGCGAAACACCUGUCCUCUCACUCCUUCUCUUCAUCCAGCCCACCAUCUGUUGUGUAUCCUCGCAUCUGUGAUACACCUUCCAUCACCAUCAAACAUCUUCCCUCAACAUUUUCUUGCCAUGAGUCAGCUUUCUCACUUCUUCGUCCUCUGAAUCUGUGGACCACACCUGCACUCCACCAAAUUCAUCAUUAUCACCUGUAUCCUGUACAAUCAAAGCAUUCAUGGUGUUAUUGUUAGUUGCUGAUUUCUUUUUCUUGAUCUCCUCCAAUCUUCUCAUGAGAUUCGCUUCCUCAUCGUCUUCAUCAAUUUUUUUCAGAUUUCUUCUUCAACACACAGUCUUUGACAAAGUGGUUCUUGCCUCCACAAUAAUGAAAGUCAAAACCUGAGUCACCACCAAUCUUUGUUUCCUUCUUAGAUUCUUUAGACCUUAAACCCAUCUUUGGUUCCUCCUUCACCUUUCAGAACUACAACUUCCCUGCCAGUUUCGGUUCUUGUUGGCGGGGAACUUCCUUUUGAUAAACUUUCUUGGAUUCGAAACCAUCAAGGCAUAGUCUUCACCGGUUAGAUCAUAGUCAGCUAGAUGUAAUUCUUCUUCUUCUUCAACAACACUCUUUCCAUUGGAGAUAAGAGCUAACGAACCCAAGCUGGAAACUACAUUCGUUUCCUUUGAUACCGCACUUUCAUGUGACUUCAGAACUCCCACCAGUUUCGCCAGAGAGUAUGAUUUGAACUGUUCGUGUGCCUUCAUUGUGGACACAACUGUCAUCCAAUCGGGUCCAAGACCAUUCAUGAAGGUAACCUUCUGCUCAAUAACCUUCCUUUCGAUCCCGUGCUUUAUCAUCUUACUGAGAAGAUGAUUAAACUGAUCAAAGGCCUAAAUGAGUUUCUCUUUAGGCUUCUGUUUGAAAUCACCAAAUUCAAAAAGCAGCAAGGUUUGAAUCAAUGUUCCAGAUCUUCAUCACUAGACUUAAAUUCCUUUAACCUAUCCCAUAUUUCUUUUGUUGUAGCACAUGAACUCACCAAUCGAAAUGUAUCCGAUUAUAAAGCAAACCUAAUCAUUCUUAAGGCUUUAAUGUUGCACUGGAACUUUUCUUUCUCAUCUUGAGGAAUGUCUUUCACAUCAUUCACGAGCUGAUUGUACUCCUUUUGAGUUUUGACAAUCUUUGAAGUGCUUGAGUGAGCAAACGGACCAACUAUGAUUGCUUCUGAGAUCAAGUACCCAUUAUCCUCUGAGCCGAUUACUUAAUCUUCAAAGUGGUGCAUCCAAACUUCAUAAUCCUGAGUGUAUAAGAUUGGAAUCUUUGUUGUUGAUCCAAUACUGUUAGAGAUGUUGAUUGGAUUGGAUUGUGUAGAGUCUAUGUGUUGUAAAAGUCGAAGUGUUAGUUUCUUUAAGUUUCGCAUGUUAGUUAUGUUACUAAGUCACAUUUUGUGCGAAGUGUAUUGUAAUAGACUUAGUAUAUUUUUUGUUCACUCGAGUUGCCUAUAAAUAGGGACUGAGGUUAGAAGUAGAAAGUGCUUCUCACGAGUAUUCAUACUGCUUAUUUUGUAAUCAGUUCUUUAUCAAUAUAAGAUCUGAUUAAUAUUUACUCUCACUGUUCAUACUUUUCAUUCAUUCAAACAUGAUUGCUUUUUAAAUCUCAAUAACAAUUCUCUUCAAUUGGUAUCAGAGCAGGAUUCAAACUGCAUUGAUCUGAUUUUUGUCUUAGAAUCAUUUGCUUUUUGAGUAGUAACUUUACUCAAAAUUUUCCGCGCAUUUUGGUUUUGAAAAUCACUCUUGAUCUUCAGAUUUGAAUCGAUUAUGCAUUUGAAUUGUUUAGUCGAGUGAUCGAUUAGCAAUCUGUGAUCAAUUCGUUUGAUCAAUUCACAAAUUCAUCAGGUUUUUCAAGAUUUCUAAAAAUUUCUCGUGUUCAUCAAUGCCGAACAUCAACAUGAAUACCAUGACAUCCUUCUCUCACUUACUCGGUUCUUCAACCAAAAUUCCGAUGUUAAUCCCUGAAUACUAUGAUUAGUGGGCUGAUAGGAUGGAGGAUUACUUAAAUGGAAUCGAUGAAGAGCUCUGGAAUUGUAUCAUUGGAAAAGGUCAACUUCCUAAUAAUGUUCAACAACAUGGACAAUCUACUUCUUCAGAAGAAGUUGCUAAUCAAGAAAUUCGCAUGAAGCAAAAAGAGAAGAGAUGCAUGAGGGAACUAAGAGGUGCUUUUGCCUCCUGUAGUCUACAAUUACAUUCGUAGUUGUAAAACAGCAAAGGAAAUCUGGAUCACUUUGAAAGAGAAGUAUCAAGGUAGCGUAAAGAUGAAGAUCAACUCUGUGAAACAAUGUCUUGUUGAACUUAAGGAAUUCAGAAAAAAGGAUGUUGAAACUCUCAAAAACUACUAUGAUCGUCUGAAUGAGCUUGUUUAUCGCUGCAAUUAGUAUGGAAUCUCAAGGUCUCUCAUGGAAUUCAAUCUAACAUUCAUCAUGGGCCUUCGCAAGGAAUGGAGAAGUGUGAGUAUGAUGAUAAAGAAUCAACAAAGUUUUGAUACAACCAGCUUGAAUGAUCUCUACAACCAGCUGAAAACACAUGAAAGUGAAGUUUUAGAAAUGUUUGAGGAAUCAAAACAAAGUCUAGGAGGUCCUUUGGCUUUAGUUUCAAAGGUUACUGAAAUUGAUACUGGUGAAAAGGAAGGAUCAGAUAAUGAAGGUUUCUUAAUGAACUCUGAUGAUGAAGCUGUUGCAUUCUACUCAAACAACAUAGUUAAGAAAUUUUUCAAAAAGCCUUUUAGUCCAAAAGGAAAGUCAAAUGAUGCGAAGAGUGGUGUUGCAAAAGCUAGAGGUGAUGAGAAGAAGAAAUUGGAAAAGAUUAAUGAAAAGCAAAAAGAUGCGAAGGAUGUGAAGAAGCUAAAAGGUGAUUCUGGAAUUUAUUGUCACUACUACAAUGGUGCAAAUCACUUCGCAACUGAUUGCAUGCUGAGAAAGAAAGAGGAGAAGAAGAGCAAAAUUAAAGAUGAAGCCUACUAUUCCGAAAAGCUCGAAGAAGUGCGUGCAAAGGCGAAAGGAAUGUCAUUAGUAGCAAAAGGAGAGUCUGAUGAAGAAGAGAGUGGAACAUAUCUGAUCUGGUCUUCAGGAUCUGAUGAUGAAGAAAUGAGGCAUCCAACUCAUGGUGCAAUGUUCGCAAGCUUUGAAGAAAAUUAUGAAGAGAAUGUUGCAGGACGAUGCUUUGAGUUUAAAUCCACAGACAAAUCUCCAAUGACUACCAAGGUACGUGCUAUUCUUGAAUCUUUUAAUAUUCCUUUCUCUGCUUAUGAUGCUGAAAUUACUUCAUUUGAUGAUAUUGUGGCUUAUUUUGAUUUUGUUAUUGUGUCUGCUAGUACUGAAGCUCAAAAAUUAAAUAUGCAACUAGUUGAGACACAGAGAGAAUUAGAAAUAAAACAAAGCAGAGUAGAUAAACUUGAAUUGCAGAUCAAAAAUGUAAAUUGUGAUAGAGACAAUCUUGGAAAAGAUGUUAGGUUGUUACUAGCACAAUGAAAUAUCUAUUGUAACUCUGCUAAACAUUUGUAUGCGAAAUUAACUGCUUUACAUCAUUCAUCUGAAAUUAGCAGAGAACAACAUAGGAAACUUUUACCUUUUCUUGAAUAUGAACGUGAAAAAGUUUGUGUUGUUUCUUAUGAUUGUGAAAACACUAUUGCACAAUUUGACAAAGUACCUGAUGAUAGAUUCGCAUAUGGUAUUGUCAAAAUUGAUGAAUUCUUGAAUGUUGAUGAGUUGGUUGAAAUUGUUAAUGAAAGUUUGACAAAGAAUGAACAAGUGAAAAUCUUAAAGAAAACUGAAAACUCAACUCUUGAUUCUCAACUCAAUUAUGCUGAUGUCGAUGACAAUUCAGAUAAUGUGAGUGAAAUCAGUAAGAUUGAAGAGGAAGAAAAGGUUGAUUGUUCUCAAUUGUCAAUCAUUAAUAUCACAUCUAAGAUCAAAGGUAAAGAAAUUAUACUUGAUUCAAUAGUAAAGGAUGAAAAUGAUAAACCCUCUACUUCACAACUUAGUGAAUUUGAUAAUGUGGAAGUUGAAAGCUGGAAGUCUGAUGACACUGAUGAAGAAAAAGAAGAAGUGAAGAAUUCGCAUGAGACAACUCAACGAGUUGUUGUUGAUCAUGUGUUUGGUGAUACAAAAGAAUUUGACAAAAUUCUUUGUGACAAAGGUGUACAUUAUUUGGAAACUAACACUGUGGUUUAUCCAAAAUUUACAUGCACAGAUAACACAAUUUUUCCGAAUCAAGUUUUUGUCACAACUGGGAAUGUUGAGAAUAUUAAACCUGAAUUCAAUAAAAUGGUUGAAAAUGAUAAUCAAAGGUCAACUACUGAAGGUUUCUUUGCAAAUCAAAACACAGUAGAAAACAAUUUGACUCAAAAUUCUUAUGUUUUUCAAAGUCAAAAAUCAUCACAAAAAUGGGUGGUUAAACGUCAAAAAGAAAACAAAGUUUUUGAAAAAGAUGAAAAACCAAAAAUGGAAGUGAAACUAAAUUCUCAUGAAUUCAAAUUGAUGGUUGGAAAGUAUUCAACAUAAAAUAAUGUUUCAAAAAGAAAAGCAAGAAAAGCAAUCUUUUGGCAAGUUGUGUCAAAUGAUAAAUCAAAAAUUGAAAAAGCACAAAUUUCAAAAGAAAAAUCAUCAAAAGUUCAAAAGGAUACAAGUUUUCACAAACCAAUAUAUUCUGUUGACAAAAUUCCAAAAAAAAAUAUUGAUAAAUUUGUUCGGAAAUAUGACAACAUUAGAAAAUUUGAGACUUCGCAAAAAUUUGUGAAUAAUCAUAAGUUUCAUAAUGUUGGAAAAUCAAUGAAUAAUUCAUCAACUUUGAAUGUCAAAACUCAAGCAAAACCAAACUUUUCACCAAAUCUACCAAAUUUUCCAAAUCCUUCAAUCUCAAAACCGACCAAAGUUUCUUAUACAAAAGGAAAAUCUGAUGUUUAUACGAUCAACCGUUGGCUUGAAGGGAAAGGAAAACAAUAUCAAAAUGGGAAGUUCUCAAAGCAACAGAUAGAGACUGCAUUUGACAAGUUCAUGAAUAACUCUUCUAUGGGUAGUUCAUCAUCUCAUGAUUCGCAAGUUCCAGUACAAAAAUGGAAACCAAUUAUCAAAGUUGCGAAUGUUGUGAAAGAUGAGAUGACAGUCAUUGGAAAUCCAAAAUAGUUGAACAACUAUAUUUCAAUAUCUAGAACUGAUGAUGUUGAUUUAAUGGAUAGUGUCUCAGAUAAAGUGAAAACAUGGUAUUUAAAUUCAAAGAAUUUGUUCAAAAAUACUAAUGAUGGACCCAAUAAGUUUUGGGUUCCUAAUUUUUUUUCAUUAAAUGCAGGUGAUGUGUGAGGAGCAAUAUGAUGCAAAAUGGUAUAUUGAUAGUGGUUGCUCUCGUCACAUGACUAGAAGAAAGGAAAACUUGCGAGAUUAUAGAAGCUUGGAGAAUGCUGGAGUAGUCAAAUUUGGAAAUAAUCACAAAUGUCAACUGAAAGGAUAUGGAAAAGUCACAAAUGGACAAUUCACAGUUAAUAGGGUUGCUUAUGUUGAAGGUCUUCAACAUAACUUGAUUAGUGUUUCGCAACUUGUUGUGGGUACUGGAAAUCAGUUUGUGUUUAAUGAAGAAGGAAGUAUCAUUUCAAAUGCGAAGACAAAUGAAGUACUUCUCAAAUCCAAAAGAUAUGGAGAUAUGUUUACACUGGACAUCAAACAAAUCGUGGGCAAACCUGCUGUGUGUUUACUAUCAAAGGCAUCUAAUGAUGUUAGUUGGCUAUGGCAUAGAAGAUUGUCACAUUUGAAUUUUCGCAAUAUUAACAAACUUGUCACUGAACACUUAGUUCGAGGUUUACCUAUACUAAAAUUUGACAAUGAUACUUUAUGUACAGCUUGCGAACAAGGAAAACAACAUAGAAAAGGUCAUCUGAUUGUGAUAGAUUCAAAAAUCGUAGAACCAUUGGAACUUCUUCAUGUUGACUUAUGUGGACCGUCGACUGUUGCUACAAUCAAUAAAAAGUGGUACAUUUUAGUUAUUGUUGAGGAUUUUUCUCGAUUCACAUGGGUAUUUUUUCUCAGGUUAAAAUCUGAAGUUGCUCAGACGAUGAUUGAUUUUAUCAAAAAGAUUGAGUUUAGUCUUAAAAAGAGUGUUCACAGAGUUAAAAGUGAUAAUGGUUCUGAGUUUAAAAAUCAAACACUGGACUCUUUUCUCACAGACAAAGGCAUUCCGCAUAAUUUCUCUUCACCAUAUACUCCACAAUAGAAUGGUGUUGUUGAAAGAAGAAAUAGGUCUUUAUGCGAAGCAGCCAGAAGCAUGUUGNACAUAUGUGAACUUACAUCAAUAUCUUUUGGCUGAAGCUGUGUCGACUACAAGUUUUACUCAGAAUCGUUCAUUCAUUCAUCGAAGAUUCAAUAUUACUACAUAUGAAAUACUCAACAAUCGAAAACCUAAUGUAAAAUUUUUCCAUGUUUUUGGUUGUAGGUGUUUUAUAAUGAUUCUAAAAGAUAAUUUGACCAAGUUCCAAGCGAAAGCUGAUGAAGGCAUAUUCUUAGGAUAUUCGCAAAAUUCAGUUACAUACAGGGUGUUAAACAACCGAACAAGAAAAAUUGAAGAAAAUUUCAACUUAACUUUUGAUGAUUACUAUCUUAAACAAACGGAUAGUAAAUUUGAACAUAAAUCAAUUCUUGUUAAUUCAGAUACUAAGAUUGAUAAUUCAAAAAUAAAUGAUUUUGAUUAUGACUUAAUUUUUGGAACUCCUGACAGGGCAAUAGAUGCGGAAGUUAAUGCUCCUGAUAAUCAAACAUCAGAAACCUCAAAACAUAACGAUGAUUCAACAAUCACUUCAACGUCGAUAUCUUGUGAAAGUGUGCUUGAACUUCGUAUGGUGGCAGAGCAAACUUUCGAGGGGGGAAUGAAAGUAUGAAUCUUCAAGUUGAGGGGGAGCAUUCGCAAAAUCAACAGGAAUAUCAUUUUGAGGGGGAGCAUCAAGAUGAACAUCAUGUUGAGGGGGAGCAUGAUGAAACAUAGACAAUUAAUCUUGAUGAAAAUGAUGAGUUUCAUGAAUUAAAUGAUAAUUUUUCUGUUGCAGGAUUUGAAAAUGAAGAUAUGUAUGAAGAUGCACCAUUGGAAUUUAAUCAUGAUUUUCCACCACUUGAGAAAUGGACAAGAAAUCAUCGCAAAGAACAGGUGAUUGGGAAUCCACAAGAUGGUGUGUUGACAAGAGCUCAAAUUCGUGCGAAAAAUGAGGUACUAAAUGCGAACCAAGAAUUGUGUAUGUUUAAUGUCUUUAUUUCAAAAAUAGAGCCAAAGACAGUAAAGGAUGCUAUGGCACACUUAGAUUGGGUUGUUGCUAUGCAAUCUGAACUGGCUGAAUUUGAACGAAACAAGGUUUGGAGAUUAAUUUCUAAACCUUCUGAUGUUUCAAUUGUCGGAUUAAAAUGGAUUUUUAAAAAUAAAACCGACAAAGAUGGCAAUAUUAUUCGCAAUAAAGCUAGACUAGUGGUUAAAGGUUAUUCGCAACAAGAAGGAAUAGACUAUGAAGAAACAUUUGCUCCUGUUGCAAGACUCGAAGCAGUUCGCAUAUUUUUAGCUUAUGCAGCUCACAAAGACUUUGACGUUUUUCAAAUGGAUGUUAAAUGCGCAUUCUUAAAUGGAGAACUUGAAGAAACAGUUUAUGUUGAACAACCACCAGGGUUUAUAGAUAAGGAACAUCCUGAUCAUGUCUACAUUCUAGACAAAGCAGUUUAUGGGUUAAAACAAGCACCAAGAGCCUGGUACGCAACACUUACAAAUUUCUUGAAACAAUCUAAAUUUAAACAAGGAUCAGUUGACCCCACUUUGUUUCGCAAGAAAGUUGGGAAUCAUCUCAUGCUUGUUCAAAUUUAUGUUGAUGAUAUUAUUUUUGGCUCAACUGACCCAGCAUUGUCAAUUGAAUGCGAAAAUCUAAUGAAGAGUCAAUUUGAAAUGAGUAUGAUGGGAAAAAUCAAUAAUUUUCUUGGUUUGAAUAUAAGACAGAACAGGGAUGGAAUUUUAAUCAAUCAAGAAAAAUACACAAAGAACUUGCUUGAAAAGUUUGGAAUGACCAACAGCACGAAGCUGAGAGUACCUAUGGCAGUGGGAACAAGACUAACUCCUUCAUUAGAUACUCCUGCUGUUGAUUUAACUGUAUAUUGAAGCAUGAUAGGGUCUUUAUUGUACUUAACUGCAAGCAGACCUAAUAUUAUGUUUUCGGUAUGUAAUUGUGCUAGAUAUCAAGCUAAUCCCAGAGAACCUCAUUUAACUGCAAUGAAAACUAUUUUUCGCUAUCUUAAGAGGACUGUUUCGUUAGGACUUUGGUAUCCUUCAAAAUCGGCAUUCUUCAUUCAAGCUUUUUCAUAUUCUGAUCUAGGAGGAUGUACAUUGGAUAGGCAAAGUACAAGUGGUGGAUGUCAACUAUUGGAUGGGAAGUUGGUGAGUUGGCAAUCAAAGAAGCAAACUUGUGUUGCUAUAUCAACUGCUGAGGCUGAAUACAUUUCAGCUNUCGCAAAUUAUUUGGAUUCAGAGUCAACUUCGUGACUAUGCAAUAAACAUGAAAAAUAUUCCCUUGUAUUGUGAUUCGCAAAGUGCAAUUCGCAUUUUUCAUAAUCCAGUACAACAUUCAAAGACAAAACACAUUGCUCUUCGAUAUCAUUUUAUCAAUGAUCAUGUUGAAGAUGGGAAUAUUGAAAUUCAUUUUGUUGUUGAUAUUUUUACUAAACCUCUUGAUGAAAAAUUAGUUGUAAGAAUUUUAGCAAGUUUGGGGAUGAUUGAUUUGAAUUCAGUUUCAAAAUCUCAAGAAUGAAAGGUCCAUUCAGCAGUUCUGAGUCGAAAUCGUUCAGAAGUUACUGUUCAUUCAAAGGCUUCGCAUGGCUUCGCAUCCGUACAACUGGUAACUAAGAAAUUUUUUGUUUUGUUUUCAUUUUCAAAAAUUCAAAAAUCCAAAAAUAUUUUAUUUUGUUAUGUUUUUAUUUGCGAAAAACUUGAAAAAUCAAAAAUAUUUUUUUUGUUUUGUUCUUAUUUUCGAAAAUCCAAAAAUCCAAAAAUAUUUUAUUUUGUUAUGUUUUUAUUUUCGAAAAAUUCAAAAAUCACAAAAAUAUUUUUUUUGUUAACCUUGUUCUUUAAGUAUUAUGUGUUUUUAGUUUAGUCCAGUGCUUAAUGCGAAGAGGUCACGCAUGUAUGUUUCUAUGGGAAGGUAUUGUUUUUUUUAACUUGUACUAGUUAGGAUGUCCCUAGAAGCAUGUUGCAGCAUGUUGACUCAAGCCUCGUAUGACUCUAUGUGUGAGAAAUGAAAGCCUUAAUGAAAUCAUCUCAUGAAAAUUUCUUCCCAAUAAGGCUUGUAUUCGCAUUAGUCAAAAGAGCUACCUUAUUCUUCUUAUAUGAGUUAAGAGUUUUCUGUAUGGUCCACACAUAACAGAGGUACAUUCGAUCUUAUAACCAAUCUUUUUCAUCACAAAAUUCUUAACACAAAUCACACACAAAGACGUAUGUCCGAGAGGUCUCUGAUCAAACCCAUCGAGACCUAGAUAUACAAACAUUCUGUGUUAAUGAUCUGACAUCAUGAGUCCAUGAUAAAGGUGAAACCCAAACAUCUUUCAACUUAAGGAAUUGAUGGGGAACAUUGUUCCAGAUAUUAACGAAACUUUUGUUUCAGUACCAAAAUUUCGAAACUCCAAAUCAUAUUCAAUUCACAUGCAUGGUCUUGAUCAAACAUUCGCAACCCACGAUGUUUGUUACCCAACAAGAUCCAGUACAACAAUUUUUUAUGAAUAUGAUUUCAGUGUGAGUUUCAUUUGCAAAUCCUAGUCAUGAUAAAUAUUUUCAAAAGCCAACUUGUCACUGACUACACUGGUCAUACAAGUAAUUUCAGUUACAAUUUCUCACCUUAUGUUCAGGUUGAUAUGUAAUGAAUUUUGAAAUCAACCAAAAAAUAUCUUUCAAAAGAAGCCCUUUGAUACUUAUCAAAAAGUAUUCGAUUGUAAUUCAUGGGAGCAUACACAAGCUGUUGAUCAUCUCUCUUGAUGAUUAAUGAAGCAACCUUUGCCUGGGGUUUAACUGCCUUCGUGUCAAAUUGAAUUUUUGACAUCACAGAAUUCCAAAAAAAAAUUUGUUUCUUAUCUUAUUUCUUUGGAACACUGCACUCACGAAAUCCUUGAGGUUCUGAGUAAUACCAACUCAGGCUGAUGAUUUCGCAAGUCUGGCAUAUGACUUCACUUUACAUCCCAAAAGUGAAAGAGCCUUUCCUCCAUGCGAGGGGUUCUAACGGUUACAAUUCUAUAACGGGAAAAUUGACAGGCUGUGUACACGAGACGUAUGGUAUUCUGUCCGGUUUUCUAGGCGAUGUGGCAGCUGCUUUUUGAAAAAUGGCUAACUUUUCGUAGUAAUGGUUUGAUUUUCAAGGUGCCACAUCGGAUUACAUUAAAUGCCUCCCGCUUCAAAUUCAAAUCAUUCAAGGUUACAUAUAAAAAGGGGUUCAAGAUUAUCUUAAACAGUUACGCAAUCAAACUCAUACAUUCACAAAUCCUCUGAAUCUUCAUCUUCUUCAAACCCUAACAAUGGCUGCUACUCAAUCCAACACCGAUGAAGUUAUCUCACAGACUCUAAUGAAGAUUCAAAGCACCAACUAUCUUUUUGAUCCUAAACUCUCAUCUUACCCAGAUGAACUAAAUAUGUUGAUUGUUGCAUUGAAAAGAUCACCUUUAGCAACCACAAUGUUCAGUUCUUUUCCGGUUCUGAUGACAUGGUUGUCAAUGGCGGCAUCAACAGCAUCCUACAACUAUGCCACUGAUGUCAUCACCUUCCAAUUGAUGAAUAACAAGAGGGUUCGUUUGAACAAGAAGAUGUUCAUUGAUUUCUUAAACAUUCCCAAUAACCCUCCGUUCUUUAAACCCAUCAAUUCACAAAUUAUCUUUAUGUUCAAUGAGAUGGGUCAUCAACCUACUCUUGAAAAGAUAAGUGAUUUCAGAAAAUCAAGUUUACCCUGCAUGUGGAACUUUCGUUUUUGUAUCUUUCUAUGGUGUUUAACAGGGAGAACUGUCGGUCUAGACAGGGGUCGGAUGGAAGUGUAUGCAAUGGUGAUGGGUCUGUAUUAUGAUGUGAGUGUUGAUUAUGGAACACAACUGUGGAAGGAGUUUGUCAAAAGUAUUGAAAACACAAAUGCUGAGAAAGGAAUUUCGUGUGCCAGAUACUAGAGUCUAAUUCUUGAGAAGGUGUAUGAAAAAGAAGGUAUUCAAGUUCAAGAAGAUGGAGAGGUUGCAGAAUUUUCAUUAUAUCAUUUUCCAAAAGUAGUUGAAGAUGAUGAAAAUAUCUUCACCAACGUAGCUCGCAUUCCAGAUGUGAUGCUUCGCAAAGUGCACUCAACUCAUAAAAUUCGAUAUAUGAAAACUUUUGAUCCAGCUGUACAAACUGGAGUCUUACUGGAAGUUGCCGGAGAAUCCUCCAAGAAGAAGAAGAAAACUCAGAAGGCAGAAAAAGUUCAAUCUUCUAAAGUCUCCCAAGCUGAAGAGGUUGAGAAAGAAGAGACUUCUACAAAAGCGAAGAAGGAGAUAAUACCCUCAAAAUCUGGGGUAUUAAAGAAGCUUCGUAAAUCUUCUCCUAAUAUUCUCAAGAUGGAGAUCAGAAGUAAGGGGGCAGCAUUUCGCGAAGUUCCAGCUCCUGUUUCUCCAGGAUCAAAGCGAAAACGAGCUCAGGAUGUUGCGAAGCAUAUGCAACAAACACUUUCCAAGAAACGCAAGUUGAUCAUUCGAAAUGAAUCCUUUGACGAAGAAGGUGUUCCAGAGACUCCACCUGUUUCUGUUGUGGUAACUGUUUCUCUUCCACCUGUUUCCAUUCCUAUUACUUCGCAAAAUUCCACAACAACCUCUAUUCCACUUGAAGUAGUCACUACCAAAUCAGUUUCUGAGGAGGUACCUACUUCCGAUAUGGUUGUCAACGUAUCUGAUAUGGGGGCACCUAUUACAAGUGUCGAAACCACACUACCUAUCAGACUAUCUGCUUCUUUACCCAUCUCUUCUGAGAAUAUAUCUACUUCAUUACCACCAUUUUCUCUUCCAACCACUACAAUCACUACUUCAUCUAUUUUUUAUCAUCCUCUACAACAUCCAUUUACAACAUUAUUUCCAUCACAAUCACCUGAAACUCCUCAACCGUCACAACCUAUAUCCGAUGAUGAAACCGAAGGAGGAGGUUGUGGAGGGACUUUUGAGGCACUACAUUUCGAUUCAGAGGAGGAGGAGAUACCUGAUCAUAUGCUUAUGUCAGGUAAGCAAUUCAAAAUCCUGAACCGAAAAUUAAAUGCCAUUAUUCAGUCACAAGCAGAUUCUGGUUCAAAAUCAACAAUAACGGGAUUGGAGGUGGAAUAUCUGCUUAAAGAAGCUGAGAAGAGAAUACUUGACAAAGUAGAUCAAUCAGGCAAAACAAUGAGCUUCACAUUAAAGCUCAAGGGAGUUCGUUCAAUGGAGUUGUCAAUGAGUUGAAAAAUAUUGCAAAAGAACGUCAUGUUCUUUUUGUACAAGAUGUCAAGAAGGUUAGGGAAGAUGUGAAUUUUAAAGUUGAAGAAUUAAAGCAGGAACUUGCGUAUGAGCUUCAUGAUAUUACUUCUCAACAUUUGGAAGUACAAAAGAGAGUUGAUGUGGUUGCUACGGCCAUGAACAAGGUUAUCACAGAUUCUCAAUCUUCUACUCUGGUUCUUGAAGCCAACCAAAAAGAAAACAACGAGAAAUUUGAUAAGUUAAUUCAGUUGGUGACUGAAUUGAAAACUUUGGUUUCGCAACCUACCUCUCAGAAAAUUCUCACUCCUGAAUUCUUUUCUCUCAAAGUCAAUACUUUGGAACAAGCUAUUCAGAAGGCAUUAGCCCCAAUUGCGAACUUUACUUCUUUAUUGCCAAAGAAUGCCCCACCUGCUUUCAAAGGGGUGCAAGGGGGAGAGAAGAAAGCAAGUAAAUGGGAUGAUGCGAAGACAGUAGGGAAGGUGAUAUCCACUCAACUCAAAACUACUUUGCCAGUAUUCACGAAGCCAAUUUCCUCAACUGUAACAACAACAAAACCAAUUUCCAAAGGAAUCACAAUUGGUUCAAAAGAUGGAGGUAGUUUGAGUGCGAAACCAUCAACUGAGAAUACAGGGAAAGGAAAAGGGAUAGCGUAUGAAAAAUCGAAAGAAGAAAAGAAAGCAGAAGCAAAAGCUGAAAUGGAAAAAUUAAGACAUGUGCAGAGUAUCAUGAGGCAAAGGGCAAGUGAUCCACCAACAAUGAACAAAGGUGAUCCUACGAAGUUAUAUUCGUAUGAAACAAUUGAAUCCAAAGUGUUAGGGAAUCACUUAUAUGAGUUCGAGAAAAAGCCAAGAAAGAGUUAUGAUGUUGUGAACUCUAAUAGAAGCCAACUUGAUUUUUCGAUAAACGAGAUGAUGUUUAUCACGGCGCAGUACAAGAUAAGUGAAAAUUUUGAAAAUGUUGAUGAAUACACUUAUUUGAAGAUUAGAUUUCAUGUUGUACUUGCGAAGGAUCAAGAUGAAGUGUGUUCCUUAAUGAAGAUAAAGAAAGUUUUAACAGUUAAGAAGGAUGUGAUGUUUGAAGAUAUGCUUCAAAACUUUCGAUAUUUUGUGGUUCGAGCAGACAACAAGGCAUUCGACUUCACCAUUGCUGAUUUUCCGUUAAUGAAUCUAAAUGAUCUCAUUCAAUUGGCAUCCAUUCUCAAAGACAUGCAAGAUAACAAGCUGAAAGGACAUGAUACUAAUGUAUUCAGAUUUGGUUUCGCACAGAUCAAGAUAUUCAUAGAUAACUACUAUGAUUGUUGGGCGUUGACUGAUGAAGAACUUGCAGUGGGUCUUGGAAGAAAAGUUACAUUUGCUUGGGAAUCAACCUUACCUCAAACAGAGUUAAGGAAGUAUGCUGAUGGAGAAAUUUGUUUGAAACCAUUUGGAAUGGUUUUCGUAGGGAAGGAUACAAAAGGAAAGCCGAAGAAGUUUUUGUUCAAAGUCUCAGAGGUUGAAAGAUAUACUUCUUCGCAAUAUACAAAUUUUAUUGUUCGUAUGAAUAACUGCAAGAAGAACAAUGAAGGAGACAAGAAGGAGCUUAAGAAGAUAAUUACUUGGUAUUCUGAAAUUCGAUGAACUAUGCACUCAGCUAUUCAACAUCUCACAAACUGAAUAGUUUCGACUGUUUACAAAGGGGGAGAUUAUAGACUCUAUGUGUUGUAACAGUCGAAGUGUUAGUUUCUUUAAGUUUCGCAUGUUAGUUAUUUUACUAAGUCACAUUUUGUGCGAAGUGUAUUGUAAUAGACUUAGUAUAUUUUUUGUUCACUCAGGUUGCCUAUAAAUAGGGACUGAGGUUAGAAGUAGAAAGUGCUUGUCACGAGUAUUCAUUCUGCUUAUUUUGUAAUCAGAUCUUUAUCAAUAUAAGAUCUGAUUAAUAUUUACUCUCACUGUUUGAAACCAUUUGGAAUGGUUUUCGUAGGGAAGGAUACAAAAGGAAAGCCGAAGAAGUUUUUGUUCAAAGUCUCAGAGGUUGAAAGAUAUACUUCUUCGCAAUAUACGAAUUUUAUUGUUCGUAUGAAUAACUGCAAGAAGAACAAUGAAGGAGACAAGAAGGAGCUUAAGAAGAUAAUUACUUGGUAUUCUGAAAUUCGAUGAACUAUGCACUCAGCUAUUCAACAUCUCACAAACUGAAUAGUUUCGACUGUUUACAAAGGGGGAGAUUAUAGACUCUAUGUGUUGUAACAGUCGAAGUGUUAGUUUCUUUAAGUUUCGCAUGUUAGUUAUUUUACUAAGUCACAUUUUGUGCGAAGUGUAUUGUAAUAGACUUAGUAUAUUUUUUGUUCACUCAGGUUGCCUAUAAAUAGGGACUGAGGUUAGAAGUAGAAAGUGCUUGUCACGAGUAUUCAUUCUGCUUAUUUUGUAAUCAGAUCUUUAUCAAUAUAAGAUCUGAUUAAUAUUUACUCUCACUGUUCAUACUUUUCGUUCAUUCAAACAUGAUUGCUUUCUAAAUAUCAAUAACAAUUCUCUUCAGAUUGUGAAUCGUCCAUAUACAUUGUGAUGAUGUUUGAUCGAUAACCUAUUUAAGAUCAUACAUGUAAUUUAUCGAUAGGGCAAUAUCGACAAUUAAUGUGAUACGCCAAUUUGGUAUGACGGCUCAAUUAAUAUCAAUCAAUGCAGAAAAACCCUAAUAAUUUCUUCAACAUAAGAGAUGUGUAUGAAUUACACAGCCUCCUGCUCUGAUACCAAUUGAUGAGAAUAAAUCUCUAGAUCGUUUAGAUCUAUCACAGGUAUAUUAAUAAAGAACAAACUAUUCAAUCAAAACACGAUAAAGAACACAAUAUAGAAUCAAUAUGAAGCUUAUGAUUCAAACAUAGUUACGCCUCAGUAGAGCUCGAUAAAGAACUUCCACUGUAGAGUUGAGCUAGGGUUUACAAUACUAUGAUAAGAAAAUAAUUAAAGCGCUACUUACUAAGGAUGCAUGCAUGCACCUUAAAUAUUAAAAACCUAGAAUAAAAUAAUGCAUGGUUGGACAGGCCCAAACCCACUACAUAAUUGGGCUAAAAAGAACGAGCCCAAGAUGCAACAUCAUAAUCCCAACAACUCUCCACUCCGAAUUCCUAAUGAUAUUCCGGAAGAUCCUCUUCCGAACCCCACUCCAGAAUAUGUAGUGCAUGAAAACAUGCAGGUCAUCAUAGCCGCUAUAAAAAGAGACAAAGGCAAAAAGCCAAUGACUGCUGAUCAACAAGUCGUCCACUCCAGACAUCCUCUCAAGCAAAAACAAGGAUGGUCCUAGGAGGAAAUCAACAAGGCAUUAGAGGAUAGCAUCCGGAUCCAAGCUUUUAAGGAUAAUCCGGAUCCGAUACGUGGGAUAUCUCCUCUUUGACGUGAAGGCAUACUCCGAGAUGAAGAAAUCGUUCUGUGUAUGUACUAUGAUCUUCCAUCCAACGAUUCCGAACAUCUCGAUCAUCCUCUCACUCCAUACAUCAAGUACUACAUCAAAUUUGCUCCUCUUCACCCAAAUGACGAUCCGGAAGUGAUCCUCCGGAUGGAACAUGAAAGGCUUGAAACAUUCUACUCCAACAAUUCUCAACCGUUUAAGGAGGUAUGGACCAGAAAAAGAAUCACCCAAGUCCAUGGAUUUGUAAGAAAAAUCCUACUGAAAUUCGAACUUAACUGCCCACUAUUUCGAUUUCAUGUCCUCUGGAACAAACCUACCCACCGAACCAUUACUCAUGCAGACUUCCCUUCCUUGAAUCCGAACGACAUCCUGACUCUGGCUGCUCACUUUCGAGGAAUGCAAAACAACGAUAUCGGCAUGGGUGAUUUCCAUGCUGCACUAAGCUUCCUCAAAGAUUACGUUGCAGAAUUCUGCAGAUGCGACUAUGAGUUGGCUCAUCUCUACGGAACUAAAGACUUCGUUGCUAAGAUCACCUAUGUUCUUCCGAAAGCUGAACUGCUUGAAGAUGGUCCAAUUGAUGAUCCGGUUCUAGGGUUUGUCUACUCUACUAAGAAAACAAACAAGAAGGACUUUUCUUGUGUCCUUGACAAACACCUACUCCCAACCAAAGCACUUCGGAAGUUCAUCUCUCGAGCCUAAAAGUAUAAAGCUCCGAAAAAGGUCAAAUCAAAGUUUGUAAGUCAAUUGUCCUGGUAUAUAGAAGUCAGAGAAUGGUUGUUCCAGGCUUACACCUUCAUCAAGGAAGAAGCAGUAUAAUUGAAUGGAUUGCUAAGUUCACUUAGGUGGACAUUGUUGGAACCAGAAAGUGAACCUCUAGAAAUCCUAAGUCUAAACUCCGAAGUACAUGGUCCAUAGUCAACUGUGAAGAGUGGUCUGGAAUCUUUCCGGACCAGAAGAGAAAAAUAUCAAAAGCUGAAGACAUUCCGGAAUGACUCUCAUGUCCAGAAUGGAUGAAGAUCCGGAGUCACAAUUUUUGUCUUGGUGCAUUUAUUAAGUUUGUCUUUGUAUUGGUGUAACUAUUCAUAGGACUUAGUCUUUUGUAAUAUUAGACAAUCAGAAUUUCAGAAACAUUUCUAUUGUCCAGUCUUAUAUAGGAUUUGUAGUUAAUUCGUUGUAACCUUCACUCCUAUUUAUAGGAGCUUUCAAUGCAAAGUCAAAUACGGAUCAUUCACUUAACUUUUGGCACUUACUAAGUUAUUUAAAACAUCUUUCAAACAUUCUUCUUGUUCUUCGUUUAUUAGCUUUACCUUGAUCAUUUAUUCUCAUACUUCAUUUAUGACUUGAUCAUUUAUUGAAUAUAUUAUCUAAGACUUGACUGGUCUUUCCAGCCUUGACUUGAACAUUUGUUAAUAAGUAGACACUGAUCUUAAGCAUUCACUUAAGGUUUGAGUUUUCAAACCUUGUCCCUACGCAUCAGAUCUAUUUUGUUCUCUCAGUGCAAAUAUGGAAAGUAGUUGCAGCAAGAGAAUUCUUCCCAUAAUUAUUCUUUAGGCAAGAGUUGAUGUGUAGCUUAGGAAAGUAGGUAGCUCCACAAUUCAUGUCUUGAAUCCAUUCAACUGUAACCAUGGUUGUUUCGAAUGGAGGUAGAUCCACACGAUUGAUAACCAUUGGGAGAAUUUAAGCAUCUAUGGAUGCAAAGUAAAAGACGAGUGAUUUGAGAAUAUCACAUACGUUUCCAUAUGCUAGUUUGAAGUUAUGGUAUUUUUCAAUCUUCAAGCUGAAGAUCCUUGUGAUGAGGAAUAGCUCUUCUAGAUUCAUGCGGAUGAAUUUAGCUUGUGUUCUGUAAAAUUUAAUGCCUUUACAAGUAAGAGUGUAUUGAAAGAUAUCGACUUUUAAGUUUUCACAUGCCUCCGACUGACUUUUGACCAAAUGUACUUGAUAUAUUUGUUGUUUUUGUUAUUAAAUUGGCAGAGUUUUUCAAAUUCCAUUAGGAAUAUUUGGGAGUCAGGAAUUGUGAGAUCAAAUUUCAUGAACACUUUGAAGACUUGGUCAUUUGGGGAUAGAGGAAUAUCCUUGUACUUUUCGUAUCAUGGAUUUACGAAGGUUUGAUGAGGAACAUGCUAUUCAUCAAAGAUCAUGCAGAUUGAAUUGACCCAUGAGUGAAUUAGGGUUUCGUCCAUUUGAAUGUCAAAGCAUUGGUCACUCCUUAUUUCUUCAGUAAGUUUGAUAGCUCCCUGGUCACUUUUCCUUUAAUAAGUGGCAAGAGAGUCAUUUCUAUGAUCAUUAAACAUGGAUGGUUCUUCUUCGGAGGAGUUUUUCAGAGAUGGAGUGGACGUCUUUGGGGGAGGUGAUUUUGGUGUAGAUUUGGGAGGAGUUGGAGUUAUUAUUUUCUGGGAAGAUGGAGGGGAUUAAUUAGUGGCGUUCUCCUUAGAUUCUUCAGAAUUCUUCUCAGUUGAAGAGUAUGACUUGGAUUUGGAGCCAAAGUUGUACAGAGGUGUCUUGAAGGAGAGUUUGUCAGCGGUGAAGAAUAUGGAAUCUCUAUUUUGGCAGCUCCAUCUAUAUUCACUUCUUUGGCGAACUUUCCCUCAUUUGAGGAUGAAUUCUAUGACUUCUCCUCAAACUUGUUACUUUUAAACUCCUUGAGGAGUUUAAUCACCCUCGCGAAGCCAAAAUUCAUCUUCACAUUCACUUGGUUGGUUGUUAUGAUGUUGGGAUCUUAGAGAUGAUUGAGAAUGUCCUUUUAGAGUUGUAGAAGCUAUUCGUGAGUUUAAGGAGGAGCAUUCAUCAAAUUUAUUGCUUCAACCAUCACUUUUGAUAACUCUUACAAUAAAACACAAUUAUUAUUUUUUGGAUCCUUGAUUUUCGAUUGAAGUUUCGUGUAACUAAAGGUUCAUCAAAUAUUUCUCGAAUCUUCUUCUCAAACACCUGAGAAUUCACCCUAACAUUUUCCUUGAAUUCUUUCAUUUCCUUAACCAUCUAUUUUCCCUUUAGAACCGUCAUAGCUUGGUCUUUCAUCCUUAAUUCAUCUAGUGAUUUGAUUCUCAAAUCGAUGUGAAGCAAUAUGCAUUGAUCCAAAACCUUUUCCCUUUUUUCUAUUUCAGAAACUCUAUCAGCAAGAGAGUUUAUGUUGGUAGGAAUCACUACUUGUUCUCAUAGAGUUUAUAGAUUAAAGACUGCAGCCAAUAUCUUAUCUACUUUUUCAGAAAUAUCAAAUAAUUUUUUCUUUGAGACUGAGGCUUUCUUCUUCAUUUUGGCAUUAACAUUUUUGCUAAAAGAUUUCUAUGCAGCACUUGAUUCUUCAUAAGAUAGAAACAUGUGAAAGUUCUUUGCUUCAUCACCCUUUCCUAUGUCAUCCUUUUCAAGGUCUAGACCAAAAUGUUGGUUCUUUAGUUAUCUACACUUCGGUUCCAUUUGGUUCUUCUUCAUUAACAUGAUUGUCAGUCUCAUCAUUAACAUUCUCCACCAGCAUGAGCUAGGAUUCCUUUAUUUGCUCUCUGUAUGGUUUCUUCCAUCAUUUCCAUCCAAUCUCGAGUCUUAUCAGGAUUCUGAGCAUUCUUUUAUUUGUUGAUCCAAGUUGCAAUAUAUAUUGUCAUUUUUUGGAAGCUUCCUUCCAUAGUGCUUGCUUAUGUUGGGAUGAUAAGUACUUUUCCUUUCUUUCUAUGACUACCUUCUUAAACUUCUCAAAUUUCUCAAGAGCUUCUAUUAUUGGGGCUUAUAAUUUCUACAUCUUUCGCCUGAAACAUCAUUAAAACCAGCAGCCAUCGGGUUGUCCCCCAGGUUCGUAGAACAUUACACAGUUCUGAUGCUUUUGCCUAAUCCGCUUGUAUGAAAUAUUGGCAGGUAUAGGAUUUCUAGGACUUCCUUUGGUCUUCUUGGUCUGAAAUCAAGUUUAUCAUCAAACUUGUUCUGAAAAAAGUAUGUAAAAAAGGAACAUACGAUGUUAUAUGUGUUGUCAUGUAUGUGUUAGUGGUUGAAAGAUAGAGGAAAUCUACUCGAGGGUAAAUAUGUGCAACCUUUUUCUCUUGGAGACUUUAGGAGUUAGUUUGAAAUCAGGAUUCUUUUUUAAUCUCAAUGAGGCUUCGUCUCCACUUUCAUUUGAAAUAGGUGCACCCUUUUCACCUGAGUAGAUAGAUAAAGUAUGAUCGGGUGAUCCACCGCCAGAUCGAAGGGCCUCUAUAUUAUAUCUCUUGAGAAACUUGGUGCCUAAUAUGGUUCGCUUUUUGACUUACUGGGAGGGUAUUUUCAACUUCCUAUUCGUAAAAACAUUAUGUGAAUCACAUUCACUUAAUUCAACAAUUUUCUACUUGGAUUUCUUUGUAUGAGUUGUUUUUUUCUUAAUAACAGUUUUAAGACAUUUGGACUUGGUCUCAGUAUUAGGCUUGUCCGUGGUCCGUUAGGUGGGGCUAGGCAGUGUAGAAUGAUAAGGUGAAAUAUCGUUCGCAGUGUAGAGAUGGAAUCUUGUGAAGAUAUUCAAUAGCGAAGUCGUAUUAGCUUCAUGUUGAAGGUAGUUAUGUUGUUUAUAUCGAAUUUUACGUAAAUUUGAUAUAUUUAUGUUUUUCUAGGAGCAUUUGUAUUCUUUGUACCUAAUAUCGAAGUCUCUUAGUAUAUUUUGAAUCUGUUGAUGGCAUUAUAAAUAGUGUUGAAGCAUAGGUUAUAAAAAAGGUUUGUACUCUCUAUCAUUUUUCACACUAUAACAUGUGUUGCCUUCCAAACUUAAUAGACCUAAACCAAAUUUAUUUACUCUCAUGUUCAUUUACUUUACGAAAUCAAUAAUUGAUUGAAUUCUUGACUCCUCAAGUGGUAACAUACCAAAAUUCAUCUAGUCUUUUGAAGAAAUACUUUUCCGAUUUCAUUUGUUGAUUCAAUCCAUUUGAAUUCAACUUUUCCAUGUUUCUUAAUCAAUUUUCUUUGAACAAAGCUUUUGAUUCUCUGAAUUUGCAGUUAAGUUUCAAUUAAUUUGAUCUGAUUUCUUUUCGAUUUAAUUUUUCCAAUCUUUCUGAUUCAAUCGAUGGCAAAUUUGAAUGUUAAUACAAUGAUGAAUUUAGCAAAUCAUCUCGAUUCAUCAACAAAAUCCCCAAAGUUACUUCCGGAGUAUUAUGACCAGUGGGCUAAUCGAGUGGAAGAUUACCUAAAUGACAUCGACAAAGAUCUAUGUUGUACAAUUAUAGAUGGUCCAUUUUUUGCAACUGCAAUUGAAGUUGUUGGUAUUGUUGCUCAUAAUGAGAACAAGACUGCAACACGAUUGAGGAAAGAAGUGAAUGACAAGAGAUGUAUUCGUGAACUGUGAGUAGCUUUACCUAUCGUUAUUUCCAACUAUAUCCAUGGGUAUAAAACAACACAGGAGAUUAGGAAUACGUUGAAGGAGAAGUUUCAAGGCAAUGAACGAACGAAUAAAAGAGAUUUACCUACAGUUGUUUACUACUAUGACUGAUUCAAUGAUUUGAUUUACAAAUGUUCAAGGUCUAAUGUUGUUCAUACUGUUCCAGAAUGCAACAUUACAUUCAUUCAUGAAAGGAGUUGAAGAAGAUUUGUCUAAUGAUCAAAACUCAAGAAAACUUCGAUUCAUACUCUUUAUCAAAUCUAUACAACAUCUUGAAAGCACAUGAAGCAGAGGUAAAAGAAAUUGCAAACGUAAAGGACAAAGCUAAUUUUGGAGGUCCAUUAGCUCUUAUUUACAAAACCAACAUCCAUGAAUGUAGUUCUAAUAAAGAUGAUGAUAAUGAAGAAGGAAUGAUUGUGAAUUCAAAAGAUGAGGUUGUUACUUAUUAUUCCAAAAAUAAUGUCAAAAACAUUUACAAGAAGCCUAUCAAGUGAAACUUCAAAAGUAAUACAUUUAAGAAGGUAGCUUUGACAUGAAACACUAUUGUCAAGAACAAGAAAGAUGGAAACGUAAGUAAGAAGAAGGUUUACAAGUAUUUUGUUGGUGACUCCAGUUAUGAAUGUAAUUAUUGCAAGUGUAAGAACCAUGUAGUCAGAGAUUGUAUGUUAAAGUCAAAGGAGGAGAAGAAAGAGAAGGUGAAGGAUGAAGCUUAAUAUGUCAUGGAAAUUGAAGAAUUGUGGGCAAAAACAAAGAACCAUUCACGUGUUGUGAAGGGUGUGGAUGAGGAUGAAGGAACAUAUCAAAGAAAUGCGUCAUCUGUCACACCCCCAAACCGAAACAGCGGAAACGUUCGGGGGCGGAGGACGUCAUGUAUAGUAUCAUAACAAUUGCAUAAUAGUAAAACAAGCAACAACAUCCAUUGUAUUUAAAAUAUAGUUAAUACAUGUGUGUUCUUAUAAUUGAUUGUAUGACACCAAAAAUGUAAAUAAAAAUAAAAGAAUAGUCUUUAAUAGGCUCCGUCUUCUCAAAAACUUGGGUGACUAUACCUGUCUACUAGUUCCCUGAGAAUACAAGUUCUUUUGAAAAGAGAGUAUCAACAUUUAAGUUGGUGAGUUCAUACACAUUUAGUAUUUGAAGUUUGUAUUUGUUCCAUGUAAAUGUUUGUAAGUUCCCCAUAAAAUCCCAUAUUUUCUCUAUUAAAUGAAAAGCCGUCUUAGGUCUUAAGACCAAAAUGUUUGUAUGAUUUUGUACUCUGAAAUAGUGUGAGUGUGUGUUUUCCAUAAAUGUAUGUUUUUUGUGAUAGAAAAUAGUGUACUGCACUUGUAUGAACUCUAUAGUGUAAUAGUUCUAGAAAGUAAUGAUAGGUAGUCCUACUACAUAAAAUAAAACCACUGAAGUAAUGUUUGUUUUGUAAGCCAAAAUGUUUUAGUUAAUAUUUAAUGUGAAUGAGAUUUUAACCAUGCUAAACUAACUAGUGGCCUACACAACUUUCUUCAGGCGUUGAAAUUUAUGACAUUUGUCACUUGUAGACCUGCCGGUCCAACUGUAGCUAACAGUCAAGGUGCGGGAUUGUCAAUCCUGUAUAGAUCUAUACACAUAUUCACGCUCUCCCUCUAAGAGACUUUGGUUAUAAAAAGGACUUAGCAAGAACCUUACUAAUUACCCUGAAGUAGUGUUUCACAUUCUAGUAUUAACAUAUAGUGUGUAUAUGUUUUCUUGUUCUUGUAAAUGAAUAAUGUACUUGUAAUGAAAAGUAAUUUGUACUUAUGUAUUGAUUCAUGUAAUGUAUUGUUGAACUAGAUAAAAGUGUGAAUGGAUCUCAAAACUAUACCUAUUAUAGUUUACAAAUGUUAUGUUUGUAUUAAAAUGAUUGAAAAUGUUAUUGAAAUAAUUUUAACACUCAUAUAUAUACUUGGCAUGUACUAAGAGUCGGACUGAUGAUCCUACCCUAAGCCCACUACCAAAAAAUGAAUAGGAGUCAAGGUACGAGCAAUAGUCCUAAGUCUAUUAAAUCCUGAUUAUACAUAAUGAUAUAUAUGAAUAUGAUUUGAUAAAAGUAACAAUUUAAAAGUUUGAAAACAGUUUAAAAUAGUUUAAUAAGUUUAUAAAAAGCAUAAAUAUCUUAAAAAUGGAUUGUUAUCGCAUGUAAGUGUUAACACAACUAUUUUGUGUUUUGCUUGUAUUCUUCCCCUAAAAGCAUUUAAAAAUGGUUAAACAUAGGGGUAUGAACUCACCUUAUGUGAGUGUUCGAGUGAAGAUACGGUGUAAUAGAGUAAAUUCCACAAGUUAAAUCUCGUAACAAAACCGAGACCUAAUAGCAUUUCAAGCAAUAUAUAUGUAUAUAAUUAGUGAAAAUAGUGGUAAAUAUGAUAUGGAAUAGCCUAGAAAGAAAUAAUCACUUACAAUUAGGGGUAUUAGAAUGGAACCGAAAGUGUAAUAGGUGAUUUCGGUCACCUUUGGGUUUUCGGUCACUUGAUGAUUCAAGUGGUGUUCUUGGUUUUUUUGGUGAAACCAAGAGGAUCAAGGUGUUUUCGGUUGGGUUUAAGGAGAUGGAAUGAUGAUUGCUUGAUGGUAUGAAGAACUCUUGAAGAACUCAGUAUGAUCCUAUGAAGAUUCAAGUGGUUUUCGGAUGAUAGUUGAGAGAGAAUGGUGGGUUUUCGGUUGAGUUCUUGAGAGGGGAAAAAGUGUUUUUGGCUAGAAGGUAUGAUAAUGAGGUAUUGAUUUCGGUACCCAUGUAUAUAUGGCCGAAAACAUGAUGGGAAACCUUCUUUGGGAAUAACAAAACACUUAGAAUCUCAUGCCAAUGGAUAGGAUUUAGGGGUUCUCGGUCAGGAACUCUAUCCGAGAAGGGUUUUCGGCCGAGAACAGUUUGCUGUCUGAAGGGUUUAUGGCUGAGAACUCGAUUUCACUUAUGCGAGGGUUUUCAGUCCUCGCAUUUGGACCAUUUAUUUGUAACAAUUAUAAAUAAAAACGGGUUUAGAUAUAUCAAAACUUUCGAUAAGAUUCUAAUGAAUAAAUAAAUAAACAAGUUGACUUUUAUUUAACAAGUUUUGACUUUUGCUGACUUUUACAGACUCGAAAAUAACAGGUUCUCACAUCAUUCCUCCUUUAAAGGGAAUUUUCUCCCGAAAUUAAGUUUAUAAAGAUACACAUGGUCUAGGGAAAAAGAUGUGAGUACUUUUGUUUCAUUUGAUCUUCCCACUCAGAAGUGAAUUCAGGUCCCCGCUUGGCAUUCUAGCGAACCUUCACUAUGGGUAUAUGACUUUGGUUGGUUUGUUUGACUUCCCUAUCCAUGAUUUCUACUGGUUCUUCCACGAAGUUGAGGCUCUCAUUGAUCUUGAUUUCAUUGAGUGGGAUCACAAGAGUCUCAUCAGAUAGACACUUCUUUAGGUUAUACACGUGGAAGGUAGGGUGUACGUUGCUAAGUUCUUGGGGUAGUUUGAGUUUGUAAGCUACUGGGUCGAUUCUAGAGUUAAUCUCGAAAGGCCCAAUCAGUUUUACAUGCUUUCCAAAGCAUAUCAUGCCCUUCCAGGGUGAGACCUUCAAUAGUACACGAUCACCAACCUGGAAUUCCAAGGGUUUUCAUCUUUUGUCUACGUAGCUCUUUUGCCUAUCUCUAGAGGCUUUCAGUCAUUCACGGAUUUGAAUAAUCUUUUCAGUAGUCUUUAUGAUGAUCUUCAGGCCAGUGAGAGUGCUCUCAGGAACUUGUCCUUUAGCUAGUUACAUACCACCAACUUCAGCCCAAAACAGAGGGGAUCUGCACUUCCGGCCACAGAGGGCUACGGAUGGAGAAACUUUGAUACUGGUAUAGUAGCUGUUUUUUGUAUGAAAAUCGACCAAUGGAAAAUGGAUAUCCCACGCUUUACCAAAUUCGAUCACACAAGCUCUCAGUAUGUCUUCUAAUGUUUGAAUCGUUCUCUCACUUUUCCCAUCAGUUUGUGGGUGGUAGGCUGUACUCAUGUCCAACCUAGUUCCAAGGGAUUUUUGUAGUGAGUGCCAGAAUCUUGAGGUGAAUUUACUUUCUCAAUCAUAGAUAAUAGAUAUGGGCACACUAUGCAGUUGUACGAUCUCUCUAAUGUAUGUUGUGGUUAGUUUCUCCAUCUUGUCUGUUUCAUUAAUUGGCAGGAAGUCAGCAGACUUGGUUAACCUGUCAACGAUCACCCAAAUGGUAUUGAGACCACCCGUUGUCUUGGGUAACUUGGUUAUGAAGUCCAUUGUAAUCCGCUCCCACUUCCACUCAGGUAUUUUUGGUUGCUGUAGCAAACCUGAGGGCUUUUGGUAUUCUACCUUAACCUUGGCACAAGUCAGACACUUCCCACAAAGGUAGCAAUCUCUACUUUCAUGUUUGGCCACCAAUAUAACUUCUUGAGGUCUAGAUACAUCUUGUCCGAACCUAGAUGAAUGGAGUAUCGAGUAUUGUGGGCAUCGUUCAUGAAAACGUCUCUAAACCCACCGAACUUCGGUGUCCAGAUCCGAUUCAUGAGAUAACGGACUCCGUCAACCAUGACUUCUAAGUUCUUAUCCAUCCCUCUUAAGGCUUCACCUGCCACAUUCUAUGAUUUCAAGGCUUCCUGCUGAGCCUCUUUGAUUUGUGUAGACAGAUGUGAAUUGAUAGUCAUAAUCAAUGCUUUGACUCUACGACCUGAGUACUCCUUUCGACUAAGGGCGCCAGCUACUACAUUGGUUUUAUCAGGAUAAUAACGAAUUUCACAUUCGUAGUCAUUUAUUAGCUCGACCCACCAUCGUUGUCUCAUGUUGAGCUCCUUCUGGCUGAGUAUAAAUUGAAGACUUUUGUGGUCUGUAAAGAUAGUGCAUUUCGGACCAUACAGGUAGUGUCACUAGAUCUUCAGAGCAAAUACUACUGCUCCUAGAUUAAGAUCAUGAGUAUGUUGGAUAAGGUGUCUAAGUCCAUAACUUAUUUGGUAUAUACUUGACCCGACCCGACAUGGUCCAUUUGGGUUGCACUUCACCCGAACUAUUUAUGGAUAAUUUUAUGAGAGUUAUACACAUAUUUUUAUUAAUAUAUUAUAAGUUAUAAUAUAUUAAUAUGAAGUUAUGUUAUUUAAUUAGUCUUAGUCUUAAAUUAAUUAUGAAUUAAUUUAGAGAUUAAAAGGAAGACUAAUUAGAUUGUGGGCUAUUGGUUUUAUAUAGUGUGGGCUAACACUCAUUUGUUNAUAUUAAUAUGAAGUUACGUUAUUUAAUUAGUUUUAGUCUUAAAUUAAUUAUGGAUUAAUUUAGAGAUUAAAAGGAAUACUAAUUAAAUUAUGGGCUAUUUGUUUUAUAUAGUGUGGGCUAAUACUCAUUUGUUAAUGGGCUAGGCUUAUGUGGAAGUCCAUGGAUGAUCCAUGGAGCUUUUAACCCAUGGAUCCUUGGAAUAGGAAAAGACAUGGGUUAUUAGGGUUUCACCCUAACCAUGCAUACUAUAUAAGCAUGCUUAUGGAGCAUGAAAGAGAGCCUAAGAUAGCCUAAGAGAAAGCUAGUGUUCUAGUGUGUGUGUGCAUGUGUGUGGCCGAAAAUACAAGAGUGUGUAUACUCUCUCAAAGUUUUCCAAGAGUUUGUGGUGUUUGUGAUUCCAUUUGAGGCAUUCACACUAUUGGUGCUUGGCCCUCAAACUCCUAAGAACCCAACACAACAAAGGUAUGUAAUCUCUUCUAACUCUUUUAUGUUGAAAUGUUCCCCAUGCCAUGUUAGAUAGGUUAUAAACCUUGGAAAAUUAUUAUUUUGCAUGUAUUUAGACAAACAUAGAUCCAAGGUUUAUUAGGGUUGCAUGCACACUUAGGAAGUGUUAGAUUGCUCAAAACCCAACAGUGGUAUCAGAGCCUAGGCUUGCUUGUUUGAUACUUGAUGCAAAAUAGUGAAAAAAGUCGAAAUCGUUGCUGUCUGCAUGCUAGACUCGCCGAGUCCAUUGGGGGGACUCGCCGAGUCCAAGGCAAACUUCAACCUACUCGACGAGUCCGUUCGUGCACUCGGCGAGUAGGAUCGAAAGAAUGCAGAAUCUCGACUUUUGCUGCUGGAAAUGGACUGGAAACAUUACCCUAAAUUGUUUUGGUGUUGUAAAACUUAUUUUAGUUGGUGUAAUGGUUGUUCUAAUCCAUUUACAAUAGCAUAUAUCAAAAAUCCAUGAUUUUAUGUGUUCAUAUAAUUCUUGAAUUUUUGAUGAUCAUGUUCAUGUUCUUAUGAAUUUAGAAAAUGAUAGGAAUUAUUUGCUGAAUUGUUUAGAAUUAAUUCUUAAUCAUUUAUGUGUUUUAAUGGAGUCCAUAAUUUGUCCUCAAGUUAUGGAUUACCAAAGGUCACUUUCAUUUAACACACACUUAAAACACAUAAGUUACAUGAAAAUGAAGAGUCUUCAUUUUUAUGAACCUUUAAUUCAUAAGUUAUGAAAUGAAGAGUUUUGCAAAGUUACAAAACUUGUCCUCAAGUUUUGGAAUUUGUAAAGUUUCACACACUUUAAUAAACUUUAAUUCCAAACCUUAGAGUUUUAAUAGUUAAAAUUCAACCCUUAUACUAUUUAUAACAUUAAUGGUUAAUUAUUAUAUAUAUGUAUAAGAAUAAGUCGUUUUACCGUUAGUAGGCCUCAUUCACGAAGCCGGUCUAUAAGGUGGGUAUAAGGUUGUUGCCUAUAAAAUGGCGACUUAAUGGGUGUAUACUCUCACCCACCGCUUGCUUGAUCGGUGGAGGGUCGUUAGCCGAACGGGUAGAACAACGACUUUAAAUCCUCAUUAAAAGUAUAAUGAAUAUUAUAAAAUAACUAAACAUUUUUAAUUCCUAAUCUUAGUUACUUUAGGAAAAUGUGAACAUGGUGCUAGUCCAUGGAAUUCACACUUUGUACCUUACCAAGUCGUUGGUGGAGCGCGUGUGGUUAACCGGCACACUAACUUGGACUAGUAAGGAUCCCGAAGGGUGACUUAAUGUUUGUCAUAGAUCAAUGGAGCGUGUGUGGUUAACCGGCACAUUGAUUAGGUGAUAAUAUUAAGGGUACCAAGUGAAUUAGCAUGGUUAUUCACACCUUGUUUUGUGAUCCUCGGCAUCCCAGUCACAAAACUUGAAGGGCACAAUCGAGAUUGAAACAUGCCAUUGAAAAGUUCAAUGAAUCUCAUAAGAAUCUAGGCAUUUCAAAUCCAAUUAAAACCUAAUAACUCAUUUUGUUUUCAUGGUGGAAAUUGGUGAAUCGUCAUUCACCUACCUUUCAAAUAUAUUAUUACUUAGAUUACGGCAUCCCUCUUCUAAGUAUAAUAUAUUGUGAUUGGAUCCUAGCCUUAAUAUUACAUUUGGGUGUCUUAUUAAGGAUUCUAUAUAUCUAAUCUAAACUUGCUUUCUUCUUUCAGAUGUCUUCCAACACUAAUGCUUCGGGCUCUAACCCAACUGGUUAUUUCUCUCUCAUGAAUCUGUGUGGGAGAGUUAUCUUUGAUGGUUCCAACUUCAUGGAUUGGAUUAGGAACAUCAGGAUGGUUACUCGUUAUGAGGACAAGGAAUAUGUCCUCGAUAAGGAGUUAAAAGAGCUUGAUGAUUCUACUGCUACUCCUGAGGAGAUCACUGAAUUCAGGACACAUGAGCGAGAUGCUACUAAGGUGGCAUGCAUCAUGAUGGCCACAAUGACAGCCGAGCUCCAAAAGUCCUAUGAGGACUUCUACCCUUUUGAGAUGCACCAAGACCUGAUGGAAAGGUAUCAUCAGAGUGCUCGUCAGGAGCGGUAUGAACUUCCCUGAGGAGUUGGCAAAGGUAUGUGGACCGUUUGCUGAAGUCGAAUGUGAACUUCCCUGAGGAGUUGGCAAUUGACAUCAUUUUGUACUCCUUACCUUCUUGUUAUGACCACUUUUGUAUGACAUAUCAUAUGAACAAGGAGGAAGUUACCCUCAGCAAACUUUAAGGACUCUUGAAGACCGCUGAAACCGGUCUUAAGGGCAAGGCAGUUGUUACCUCUACUACUCCUACUCCAACAUCUACCCCAGUUUUGGCUAUCGGGCAAGGCAAAGGGAAAAAGAGGAAGCACCCUUCGAAGGGUACCAAGGGAAAGUCUCUUGAAGGCUCCUCAUCCAAGACUAAGAACGGUUCUGUCACUCCUUCUGCCAUUCCAAAGGAUGCUGAAUGCUUUUAUUGCCAUGAAAAGGCACACUGGAAGCGAAACUGCCCUAAGUACUUGCAGGAUCUAAAGGAUGGGAAAGUGAAACCCACCUAUGCAGGUAUUUACACUAUAUUGUCUAAUUACUCAACAUAUUCUAACUCUUGGGUGCUUGAUACAGGAUGUGGUAUUCACAUAUGUUCUGAUUUGCAGGGCCUAAGAAGAAGUGAGGAUGUGGAGCACGGGAAGAUAAACUUAAUCAUGGGGAAUAGGAAGGCUUCACCUGUUUCCAAGAUUGGAGUUUAUACUUUGUUGCUUAAUAAUGGGUUAAAAUUAGAUUUGAAUAAAUGUGUAUACUCGUCUGAAAUGGCGAGGAAUAUUAUUUCUUUUCAUGCUUUGUACAAACAAGGUUUUACCUUUUCGUUUGAUAAUGAAUGUGGUGGUAUUAAUGCUUUCUUUAAUAAUGUGUUUUAUUUUAAAGCAUUACCUUGUGAUGGCGUGUAUGAAACUGUGUCGAUUGUAGACAACUUAGGAAAUAAUGUGUUGUAUAUUGAUUCUUCUACUAGCCUAGAUAAAGCAUCAUUGUGGCAUUGUCGUCUUGGACAUGUAAACAAGAAACGCAUAGACCAACUCCAAAAGAGUGGAGUCUUGGAAUCAUUUGACCUCAAAUCAGAUGAUAGUUGUGAAUCUUGUCUACUUGGAAAAAUGACAAAAUCACCCUUCACUGGAACUUGUGAGAGGGGUGAAGGUUUGUUGGACCUAAUACAUACUGAUGUAUGUGGGCCAUUCAAAACCGCCACAAGGGACGCUAAUCGGUAUUAUGUGACUUUUAUUGAUGAUUAUAGUAGAUAUGGGUAUGUCUACUUGAUCAAACACAAGUCCGAAACCUUUGAAAGGUUUAAGGAAUUCAAACAGGAAGUAGAAAAUCAAUUGGGCAGGAACAUUAAGAUGCUUCGAUCCGAUCGAGGUGGUGAGUAUCUUAGUACCGAGUUCCUUGACUAUCUUAAGGAGUGUGGGAUUGUCUCACAAUUGACUCCUCCCAGGACACCACAGCUGAAUGGUGUAGCUGAGAGGCGUAAUCGUACCUUGUUGGACAUGGUUCGCUCUAUGAUGAGUCGAGUUUCGUUACCAAUCUCUUUUUGGGGGUAUGCCUUAGAGACUGCCGCCCAUAUCCUUAAUCUAGUCCCUACAAAGAAGGUUACCAAAACACCUCAUGAGAUGUGGACUGGGAAGGUUCCCAAUUUGGACCACAUCAAAAUUUGGGGUUGCGAAGCCUUCGUGAGGCGUGAAACUCAUGAUAAGCUUGAACCCCGAAGUGAAAGGUGUAUUUUCAUCGGCUACCCACAGAAAUCCUUCGGUUACCUUUUCUACAGACCCAGUGAGAAUGUGGUCUUUGUAGCACGAAGAGGGAUCUUUCGCGAGAAAGAAUUUAUAAGCCAAGGAGACAGUGGGAGGCAGAUUGAUCUUGAAGAAAUUCAAGAAUCAAUUGGUGAAGGAACCUCAGACACUAGCAAUCAACCUGAGGUAGAAACUCCUGUUGAUCCAGCUGACGAGUCUGUACCUCCGAGACGUUCCACACGGGUUAGGAACACACCUUCGUUUUAUUAUGGUUUUCAUAUUACUACGGAAGGUGAUACGUUUAUUAGUGAUAGUACACUAGUAAAUUUGGAUGAACCUAGCAGUGUUAAGGAAGCCAUGGCAGGCCCGGAGUCUGCUAAAUGGAAGGAGGCUAUGGACAGCGAGAUACAGUCCAUGUAUGACAAUCAAGUUUGGAACUUGGUUGACAAUGUACCAGGCCGUAAAACAGUCGGGUGCAAAUGGAUCUUCAAGAAGAAGACCGACAUGGAAGGAAAGGUGCAUACUUAUAAGGCUCGACUGGUUGCGAAGGGUUUUACUCAGACUCAGGGUAUUGAUUAUGAUGAAACCUUCUCGCCGGUAGCAAAGAUUAAGUCUAUUAGGGUUAUGCUAGCCAUUGCAGCAUUUCAUGAUUAUGAAAUAUGGCAAAUGGAUGUCAAAACCGCUUUCCUUAAUGGAAAGUUGGCUGAGGAUGUGUACAUGAAUCAGCCAGAGGGUUUUGUCAGUGCAGAGUACCCUAAUAGAGUAUGCAAGCUUGAGAAAUCCAUUUAUGGAUUAAAACAAGCAUCUCGUAGCUGGAAUCUUUGUUUUGAUGAGAAGGUCAAAGAGUUUGGCUUCUCGAGAAGUGAAGAUGAUUCUUGCGUGUAUGUCAGAGCUAGUGGGAGUAUAGUUAGCUUCUUGGUACUGUAUGUGGAUGACAUACUACUUAUAGGAAAUGACAUCCCAACCUUGCAGGAGGUUAAGUCCUGGCUUGGGAAGUGCUUUGCUAUGAAGGACCUAGGGGAAGCUGCCUAUAUCCUAGGGAUAAGGAUAUUAAGAGAAAGGAGUAAAAGACUAAUUGGACUUAGUUAGAGUACCUACUUGGAUAAGGUGUUGAAAAGGUUCAACAUGUAGAAUUCCAAGAAAGGAGAUUUACCGAUCCAAAGCAAUUCCAAACUGAGUAUGACUCAGAGUCUGAAUACAGAGGUAGAGAUAGCUGAUAUGAGCCAAUUACCUAUGCUUCCGNNNNNNNNNNNNNNNNNNNNNNNNNNNNNNNNNNNNNNNNNNNNNNNNNNNNNNNNNNNNNNNNNNNNNNNNNNNNNNNNNNNNNNNNNNNNNNNNNNNNNNNNNNNNNNNNNNNNNNNNNNNNNNNNNNNNNNNNNNNNNNNNNNNNNNNNNNNNNNNNNNNNNNNNNNNNNNNNNNNNNNNNNNNNNNNNNNNNNNNNNNNNNNNNNNNNNNNNNNNNNNNNNNNNNNNNNNNNNNNNNNNNNNNNNNNNNNNNNNNNNNNNNNNNNNNNNNNNNNNNNNNNNNNNNNNNNNNNNNNNNNNNNNNNNNNNNNNNNNNNNNNNNNNNNNNNNNNNNNNNNNNNNNNNNNNNNNNNNNNNNNNNNNNNNNNNNNNNNNNNNNNNNNNNNNNNNNNNNNNNNNNNNNNNNNNNNNNNNNNNNNNNNNNNNNNNNNNNNNNNNNNNNNNNNNNNNNNNNNNNNNNNNNNNNNNNNNNNNNNNNNNNNNNNNNNNNNNNNNNNNNNNNNNNNNNNNNNNNNNNNNNNNNNNNNNNNNNNNNNNNNNNNNNNNNNNNNNNNNNNNNNNNNNNNNNNNNNNNNNNNNNNNNNNNNNNNNNNNNNNNNNNNNNNNNNNNNNNNNNNNNNNNNNNNNNNNNNNNNNNNNNNNNNUCAUUGUCAAUUAUUUACUAUUGUUUCAGUUUUGCAUGUUUUGACUUCCAGAAUAAUUAAUUUAUUCAAACCUCCACAAUCGGUCAUAUGUCGGAAGUAGGUAUGAAUCAAGAUUGUCAUGAAUUGGGAUUGUAGAUGGCUAAAGAAGUUUACACAUGGCAAUGGUUGCUGCAACGUUCAUGAGUACUCAUAAGUUAUGAGUAUUGGUAUAAACCCACGCUCACUUGUAUCACUUCAUGGAAUUUAUCUCGAGUGAUCGUGAGACGAUAAUAUCAUAUAAGUCUUCAAACCUAGAAAUAUGAGUUGUUACCUAUGAGUUGGUUGUGCAUUGAUUGCACGUAAAUGCAUCAGUAACUUGAUGUUAUAAAACGUGCCUUUGUGUACAAUUCAACAAGUAGUAGAACAAGCAUAUGAGUCGAAGUUUAUCUGUUCCUUCUAGAAAUAGAAGCGAUAUCUGGGCCCCUCGAUGAUUUUGUGUUGACCCAUGCACCGGGCCCGGUCAGAACUAAACUGAUGUAAUCAAUAAAGUUCUUUGUCCAACAAAUCAGAGAUCGAGAAACAACUGGCAGACAAUAAGCAAGACAUAGUUCCAUGUGUUUGUCCGGCUGAUAUCAUGAGAACAGAGGAUUAUAUGAUCACUUGUCUUAAAAUGGCGCUUCAUAGUUCAACAGAGUUUUCGAGAGCUACGAUUGCUGGUUGGUUCCUGAAGUUAUAUAGGCAAAUACAGUUAUUAGACUUAUCCAAGUGGGAGUCUGUUGGAUAAGGUGUCUAAGUCCAUAACUUAUUUGGUAUAUACUUGACCCGACCCGGCAUGGUCCAUUUGGGUUGCACUUCACCCGAACUAUUUAUGGAUAAUUUUAUGAGAGUUAUACACAUAUGUUUAUUAAUAUAUUAUAAGUUAUAAUAUAUUAAUAUGAAGUUAUGUUAUUUAAUUAGUCUUAGUCUUAAAUUAAUUAUGAAUUAAUUUAGAGAUUAAAAGGAAGACUAAUUAGAUUGUGGGCUAUUGGUUUUAUAUAGUGUGGGCUAACACUCAUUUGUUAAUGGGCUAGGC